rnacentral:lncRNA from 1 species
GGGAGGGAGGUUUGAUAUAGAUCUGAUGGAGAUCAUUACUUGCAUGAAUCUCAAGUACGAGAAUGUUCAAUUUCCUACCUCGCGAAAGAUGGAUAGGUUUUCCGGUCCAGCUCUCCGUCAAGUAGGCCCAGUAGCUUGGUACUAUCUCUCACUCGGCCCAAACGAGGCUACCGGGCCGCUAGUUCCAGCUACUGGGCCAUGGCUUAAACAGCCGCCGGUUGGAUUUUGUUUCUCAAUCACACAAUGAUCGGUUGGUUUUACUACAGUCUACAUUGUGAUUUCGAGUAAACUGCAACGGAGGACAUUUGAUCUUUUAUGCCACAGAAUGUCGUUGUUCGUUACAAAAUAUUACUCCCUCCGUUCAUUACGAAAUAUUACUCCCUCCAUCCUAAAUUAUAAAUCGUUUUGAUUUUUUUAGAUGUAUAGAUUUUACUAUAUAUCUUAACACAAUGUAUAUCUAAGUGCACAGCAAAAUGUAUGGAUCUUAUAAAGUCAAACGACCUAAGGACGGAGGGAGUAUUGUUUAAUGCAUCAGGCUACCACAAUUUGCUUGGAAGGCUUUGUUGUUGAUGUACUGUCAUUUGGCUUUUCAGAAAUGUGGAGAUUAGAUUCAGUCUACGUGGAAUAGUAGGGCAAAAGUAAACUGAUUGCCUUGUCAAUCCGAAAGGUAUUUUCAGCUGGGCAUGUUCCAUCACAAAUAUGGUUAGUUUAUCUUCUCGUAUGGCGGUUUUACGCUGUAGUGCGUGGCUGGAGAAUCUUAGAGCGUGUUUGAGACUGCUCCCAUCCAAUUUUUUCAACUCCGCUUCCAAACCAUCUUACCAAAUACCUACAGCUCCAACAAUCCCAACUACAAAAAAAAAGGUAGAUCUAGAGGGCAACUCCAAGGUUUUUCUGAAGUACCUCAAGGGGUGCUCAUAAAAUUCAUGUUUGAUAACUUUUCAUGGAGCUGUGGGGUAAUUAAUCACCAUGCCACUGAUUACACACGUGUCGAUUCGCUAAACAAAACAAAUCAGCGUUGUUCUCCCAUCGCCCCCUCCUCAGACUAGUGCUGCCACCUACGGAUUGGGCACUGUCGGCCCCAAUCUCCGGCGAAAAUGGAUGCUGAGACUGCAACCGCCGUCGCCGCGUUCCAUGCCGCGCCGGGGCUGCAGGCACUGGGCUGCGCUGCCGCAGCUAGCCGAGACGCGCAGUGCCGCUGCUUGUGGUCGGUCGUAGGGGCGACAGGGCUGCCGCGCUGGUGCUGCAAGCGCCGCCGCCGCGCUGGUCAGUAGCAGGGGCUCCGUCUUCUAUCCUUUGCAGGUCUCCAGCAUCUUCUCCAUUGACUCGCGCAAAGUAACCAUAGCUUAUUCCUCCCCAAAUCUGAGCAGAAAAAGAAAUCAAAAUCAAGAAUAAGAAAGGAAGGCGAGUAUCCACAACACGCCUACCCGGUGAGAGUCUGGAGCGUUGCUCCUCCAAGGCUCCGACCUCAUGUGCGACUUCACACUUGUGCAGGCGGCAUUCCAGGUGCCACCACAUGCUUGGUUGUCCUGGUCUUGCGCUGUCGCAGGUCUUGACCAUCAAUUCAGGCAAGCUGUGACUGUGUGAUGUUCUUAUAGGUCCAUCUAUCUGUCGAUUUCAUCGAUUUCGUCACCGAUUCCUUCAAAAAUUAGGCAAGCUACGACCGUCUCUCUCUGAAUCGAGACGUCAAUUCCGACGGCGAUGCAGAUCCCACGUCGAAGGUUGGAGCGACCGAGUGGGGUAGGCCAUUGGGUGGGACGAAAAUAGGGUAGCAGGGUGACGGGAGGCUUGGGGUGGUCGGCGGUGGUCACAGAGGCGAGCUCCGGCGAGAGGGUCGGACAUGGCACGGGUGGUGCGGGUUGGAAGGGUUAGGAAAAAAGAAGAGGAAGAAGAGAAGAGGGAGAAAAGAGAAGAGAUUGACGUGUGGAUCCAUUCACAAAGGGUAAAAUAGACUAUUCAUAGCAAGUCUUCAUGUUUUUGGAGCUGGAGUACUGCAACUAGAUAAACACGUACAACAACUCCAUAUUUUUCUAGAGUUGGUGGAGUGGAGUUGAAAAAAAUGAAGUUGGUGAAGUGGAGCUGUUUUUCAUGAGGUGGAGCAGUUCCAAACACGCCCUUAAUCCUUGACGGAAAUUAUCUUUUUUCGCCCUCGUCAUCAAGAUCCCUACGAUGUGCAAGACCUAAUUGACGUCUAACGAUGGCAUCCAGAUCUGGAAAUAAAUAAGAGCUUUCACUAACUACGACCAUAUGCCAAAACGGAGCUUAAUUAUAUUAUACAUCGCUUGCAGCAUCUACGCCGAACCCACGCGCUCUGCGUGGAUUGGAUUAACACCUGCGUAUAUAUAUGCGAAUUAUGCAAAAAAGAGACGAGGGCAUUGCAAUGCUUCAGCUCACGACGCUUCCUGAAACAUCAGAUUGUUCGGAGCAUAUCAGAACCCACUCACUCAUCAGUCGCUCGACAGACGGAGCUCCACUUUUAGGGACAGAGAGCUACAGCUACUGACGAAUAUGAGAAAGAGAACUGAUCCGCUCUUGCUCCGGAGUGGGAAUCCAGGAUUAUUAAUUCCAAAUUUUCCAACACGACAUGCAAAUCUUAUCUCCAGGGUUUUUGCAUUUUCUGGAGAAGAUCAUCGAUCAUGCGAGUACGCGGGGAAUCGCAUUUUUCUGGAAUUUUGUUGUGGGGGAAACAGCAAGCAUAAUUGCUGUAGCUGACUGUAUAAUCUGCAACAGUGUAAAUGUUCCAAUGUUCAGCGUAGCUGGCUGAUGCAUGUGCUCUCUCUCUUUUAUUUUACAUGGGAAUCGAAAGAUUAAUUUAAUAGCUAUUCCUCCACGAAAAAUGAUCAUCGUUCCUUUUGCCACCAAGGAACCUUAGCUAGAAAUCUCAUAUGUGUAUAGUACAAUGCAUUAUUGCUUGAUGUCUGCCAUGCAUCUGUAACAUGCACAAACUUCGAUUCUCCAUGUUGGUCUUGGAUGAAGAUCUGGCUACAUUUUUUUGAAAAAAUGACUAUCAAUAAAUAACUAAUAGUAUAUUCAGUUUUGAAACAUGAAAGUUAUAUAUUCAGGAAAAGACUUCUUAUUACGAUCAUAAGUUUAUUAGAUUUAUAAGUAUAUCCUAAUAUAAAAUAAAGGUGUGGGUUAUUAUACAAAACAUCGAUUGUUAGCAUUGCGACCUGAGGAGAAAAUUUUAAAUUAGUCUCUAGUACCAUAUUCCUUCUGUUCUAAGUUAUUUUCUAGAUACAUAGUUUUUAUUAUAUGUCUAGACAUAACGUAUAUCUAGGUACGUAGUAAAAAGUAAAAAAAUUAUAUACAUAAAAAGCUAAAACGACUUAUAAUUUGGAGUGCAGUUCUCUCAAUUCCUACCUUUUUAGACAAAGAAAUCGUCUUUAUCCUGACCUCUCUUUCUGUAAGACAUGCACUUAAUCAUUCAAUAUUACAAGUCUCAGUUAAUAGCUACAAAAAUAGCAACAAACAGUAGAAUAAUGUUUACAAAAGGGUACUGUUUAAGCACAAAUCCUGUAACUGAACACCCACCCGUUGUUGACGAAGGUCUCCGUCCGUAUAUGAUCGUACCUUCAAAGUUCGUCACACCCAUUUCAUCUACACUCCAUGCUAUUACACGAACUAAAUCUCGGGCCCUUAUCUUUAGUUGUAUCUUCCUAAUCUUUAAGGAAAAACUUGAAUUUAUUCUGGGGUAUAUUCAGCAGCAUAUGCAGUAUACAAACUACAUGGUCAUGGACACGCGUAGCAUAUCGACACUCGGGAAUCAGGAUAUAUGUACAUGAAUGGGCCACGAAGCCGGCCUCGUCAGCAAUCGAUCCAUUAUCGAUCAAGAACCAAGAUCUUUACCGGCCUGUCCGGCUGUGCGUAAAGAUCAUGUCGGCUGUGCGUGGAUAGUGCUAGCUGCCUAGCUGGAUGGUGUUAUUGAUCUCCCACUCCCUGCAGAGUGACCUAACCGAUCGAUCAGAUUCAGAGCACAUAGGACGCCAUGCACAUGCAUGCAGAGCUAGCUGCUAGCUGCUACUUGCAGCUUUGGGUGGUAUCCCGUAUCCGAAUCCGAGAGUGAUCCACGAUACAUUAUCCAGGCCCCGCUAGCGAAGUGGUGGUGGCAUCCAUCCAUUCCAGCAAUGCAUGCAUGCUUAUGCUUCACGCCUUCACUGUUCUAUUCUAUGUAGAGGUUAAAAUUAAACAUAGGAUGGCCGUAUACUAGCUAGGACAAAGAGACGAGGAGCUAUAAUGAUGGAGCUCUUUUACGGUGCAUUAUACUACCACUUAGUGGUAUAUAGCAUCCAUUAGUAAUAGUAAUAUAGUAACUACUAUUAAAAUUAUUAAUUAAGGUUCGAUUAGUUUUUUUUUCCCGAUCUGCCUUGCGAAGUCCAGACCGCCGCCCACGGCCGGCUCUCCCGAUCUUUUCCACGGUGCACCAUGCGCGUGCCUGGCGCACCAUACCGCCAAUGCCCGGUCGUCCGGUCCCUGCCCGUCCGCCGCUGUAGCAGGGCGCGUCACCGGCGAUCUACCUUGGCGCAACGUGCCUCUCCUGCCCGGCUGCCUGCCGCACCAGGGCUUGUCCCGGAGCACGAGCGCUUCCACACCCACCUCGGGAAAACAACGGCGUUGAGAGGGAUCAGGUCGCUCAUGUCCGGACGGAAGGCGGUGGCGCCAUUCAUUCCUCGCGUGCCGAGUUCGGGUUUGUGACGGCCUGAUCCAGCACCUCCACGUCCAUCCUCUUGUCCCAAAGAAGAGGAAGAUAGUAAAAGAGGCUGCGCUGCACUACUCGCCAUGUUUGAUGCCAUAGCCCUGGCUUCAGUCACAUGUUCUUGUGUACAUUUGCUCACCAGCUUUCGUCUUAGAAACCCCAAUUUAACUGAUGCGGUCAUGUUGCACGAAAUUUUACGAAAUAAUGGUACACACUUUGUAUUUGAGUCAUUUAAUUUGCACAACCCAAUCUCCCCUCUUGGCAACCUUGUGGCAGUUUAACCAAAUAAACUUCAGUACAUGAUGUUUGCAUCGAAAGAUGGCCUCUGACCAUAUCUAUACUAGCAGCACAAAGCCUCAUGGAAUGCGCGCCGUCCUCGGUCACCCGUUCUCUCCAGCCGCUCGGCACCCCGCACCUGGAAUGGUGCCUCCGCCCAUCCGUCCACACGCGACAGAAACGAAACGCCGGUGCAUUGGAUCGAUAGGAUGGAUAAGAUCCGAAAUCAUAGAUGGAUGUGGGCCGGGCUCUAUUUGGGUAUGGGUAGGGCCAUGACGAAAAUAAUUAAAAUUAGAUAGAUGCCAUUCCUAUUCUUUUUCCCCAUAAUAUAUCAUGUAUACUACCCAUACCACUAGUAAAAUUUUUAGCAGUAUACAAUUAAUCUCAACCAUAUUUUUAUACUAGUCUUUUUCGAACACUAGUAUAGCUUAGUAUAAUGCACCGUAAAAGAGCUCUGAUGAUGAUGCGGUAACAAGUCGAAAACAUGCGAGUAUUCUAAACACGAAAUUAGCUUUUUAGGAAAUGGAUAGAUUUCUCCGACCUUUGCGACCGCACACAGUCAAAAUCAAAACACGAAAUUAGCUAGCCUAGCCUCUAGCAGCUUGCUAUCCGCUUUUAAUUUCUAGCUACCAUACCGAACUGACUGAUUGAGCUGAUUCCAUUGCUGCAUACAUGUUCAUGUCUCUCAAGUCGAUGCUGUACGUGCAUGCAUGUAUCAUCCAUCAUGAACGGACGAUGGUCUGAUAAAACCGAACUGAAUUCCCUGAAUUUCUUUUACAUGUGAUUGAUAUAUCAUUGACGGAUGAGCCUGAAGCAGCACUAUAUACCAUAUACACUACCCAAACCCAAGAAUAUAAUCUGAUACCCGAUUCCAUUAGUGAGGACGACGAGAGGCGAGCUGAUGACGGUGCAGGCAUGCAUGCAGAAAGGUUUGGUUGAACAGCGACAGGUUCCGACGGGGAAAGGAAUUAUAUGCGCAGUGCAGUGCAGCCUGCAGCAUUUUCUUCGUCAGCACGACGGAACGCUGCAAGUUAGGGUAGCAGAACUGACAGCUGAGAUAUUUACCCGUCAGAAUAGCAUACGUGAUAACUGGCCACUUGCACACGCACCAGGACUUCUCCCAUGGACACAGAUGGCUCAACUGAAACGAAUGAAGAAGCAGCAAAAGUGAGACAAGGUUUUUGAUCUGACCCCCGGUUCGAUCAUUCACUCCCACCAUAUUUAUUUGUUUGUUUGUUUUUACCAUUAUCAUAAAAUUAAAAAAGUCUAAAAUCAUGCAAGACUAACGUGAGUUUUAUAACAGAGCAGAAAUAGACUAGGCACCCUAGCUAGCUAGAGAGAAAAGAAAAAGGAAGGAAAAGAAAAAGACCUUAUUAGCUGAUAUGUUAAAGAGUGAAAAGCAGAGAAAGGUGCAAGAGAAGGUAGGGUGGAAAUAUGACAAAUACCACACAAAACCCUACCAGCAGGAUGCAGCAUCUGCUUUCCAUUUUGUACGACCUGUCAGUUAUUAAGCGAGAGCCAAUCGCGGUUCGAUAGGUGGGAUGACAAAAAGGUUUGGAUCGGGAGUCAUCAUGCACGCCAUUGACAAAUGACAAGCAUGUAGACUGUAGAUCAGUGGGUGAUCAGCGGGCAGGCGCGCACAUAAUGAUACGGCUUGGUACUACGCUGACUUCGGUUCGGCACAGCCACAUGUGUACGCAUAUCUUGGACAGAAUUUUAAGUUGUGAAUCUCCAUUCAGCCCGUUUCUUCCUUCUUCGAUGACAUUGAUAUGUGUUCCCAUUGUAUGUAUGGUCGUUAUCGGUCCUCGCGGAGGCAACAAAAGGGUCCGACCGCUAUAGCUUUCAUAUUUGACAUUGGUAUAACGAGUCCUUUUUUGAUAAUAGAUGUAACUUUGAUUCCCAGUGGACUAUGCCAUUUUACUAUUGCUAAUUGAGGCUCCUUUUGAAGCCACCAGGUGAAGCCACCUAGGAUUCUAGGUGAACACUCUAGAAAAAGAGAGAAAUUCUCCCAAAAAAGUAAAACAUCUAGCCAUCAUAGACUCAGAAUCAUCAUAGCCAUUGGAUCUAUUAUGUUUUUUUAAAAAAUUACUCAUUAUGAAAAUAGCCUAAAGUAACCCCGUAAAUCUAUAUCUAAAUUACACACCUCUGCCAUUACAUAAAAUAAACUAAAGUAACCCCUAAUCUUCAUCAAAAUUAUCCACUUAUGCCAUUAUAAACAAUAUUUAAAAUAACCCCUAAAUUUGCAACCCAAUCGCCCACCACUAAUACUUAAAAAUAACCUAAAGUAACCUCUUAAAUUUGCAUCUAUAUUACCCACAUAUGCCAUUAUUAAAAAUAACAUGAGGUAACUAUACAUUUGAACCCAAAUCAUCUUAAUUAAAAAUAUACACCAAUAUAUGAUUCUAAACCGUCUAUUUCUUACACUAUUAGUAUAUGAUAUAACAAUUAAGGUAUAUAAAUGUGAUGUGUGUCACCAUUUAUAAAGAUAUAGUGAAAAUAUUGAGAAUAUAGAUUUAUGUGUUGAAAUUAUACUCCAUUCAUCCCAAAUUACUAUUUGCUUUGGCUUUUCUAGAUACAUAACUUUUGAACAAAUUCAAGCACAUACCUACAAUAUGAAGUGAAAAGUUAAAGAUUAUAAACGUGGAUAAAAAUGUUAUAGACUAAUUACUAACUAAAAUCAAUCACAAUCGAAUGAAGAUAAUAACUAUAUAUCUAUGCAAGUAUUGUGUUCGAAUAUUUAACAAAUGAGAGGUAGCUCAAGGUAAUAGUUUUGUAGUUCCAUUGGAGACUCUGCAUUAGUUCUCACAAAACAUGCUAGAAAAAAGACAAAUCCUAAAAAUUCUCACAAAACUUAGAAACACCCAACAUCAAUCAUGUAAACUCUAAUAAUCAUAGUCACUGGUCUAUAUUAUUUUCUAAAAAAAUACCCACCAUAAUUCUAAAAUAAACCCUUGAGCUCUCCAAUGGAAAGAAAAAUGAGGCCACAUUGCUACUGAGCUCUGUCAUUAUGAAAAAUAAACUAAAGUAAUUUUAUAAGACCACAUUGCUACUGAGCUCAAAAAUAUGUUUUAUAAUGACAUAGCUCAGUAAUUUUAUAAGUUACCCACCAUAAUUUAAAAAUAAACCCUUGAGCUUUGUCAUUAUAAAAAAUAAUCUAAAGUAAUCCCAUAAUAUUCAUCCAAUUUACGCAUGCAUAUCAUUAUAAAGCAUUGCUUAAAAGACCAUUCUAAAUUUGUAUCUAAGUUACCCACUAUGUCGUAUCAAAAAUAACCUAAAGUAAACUCUUAAAUCUUAAUCUAAUUAUCUUAAUGUGCAUCAUAUAGAAAUGUUUAAAAGUAAACUAAUAUAUGAUUCUAAAUUACUUAUUUAUGUUAUUGUUAAUAUAACAAUACUAAGUUAAGGUAUAUACGCAUGAUGAGUGUCACCAUGUAGACUAGUUAUACAUGUACGGGAGGAAGUGACAAAAAAUAUUGAUUUUUAUACUAAACACAAUGUAUGGAGGUGCAAUACAAAAUAAAAGAGAUUGGAUGUGGAUGAAAAAGUGUAUAGAGUAAUUACUCUUCAACCACAACUAGACAAACAUAAGUACACGUCUAUACGAGUAUUAUAUUGAAGUAUUUAAAAAUGGGAGAGUAGUAGGUAAAGAGUUUUGAUUAUUAAUUAGUACAAGUUUAAUUUCUAAAUAAUUUUAAAAUACAAUAGCUUUUAAAAAUAUUAGCCCGUGCCUCCGCAUGGGCUGAUGGACAAUUUAAUAAUUAACUUGCUUCUACAGAAUAUCUUUGGUAAUGCGACACGGAUACAUGGACUAAUUGUGGAUGAUCAAGUAUUAGAAAUCGUGUCGAUGUUCUAGUAGGGUCCUUGAAGUUAAAGGCCUACUAAUUAAGAUCGAAGUAGUGCAUUCCACCACGGAGGAUACAUGUAGGCCAUCGAUCAAUCUCUGAGCUCCAGUGCUAAAGGCUGUAAAAGAGCCCACCGCCCAAUGCGAAGUGGCGAGCAGUCAUGUGUCCAAGGAGAAUGUACAAGGAUUCAUGUAGGCAAGUUGGGAUGCACAUCUGUGCCACCCACGACUAGCUUGCUCGAAGCUAAGUAGGGCCAGCCGAGCACCAUGCAUAUGCAUGCACGGAGCGAGACCAACAAUGAAGCUUGCAUCCAUGAUCUUGUCUACGCAACGAUCAGCAGCCUAUAUAAAGAUCAUGUCUGUGGUGUAGAUUAGUUUGAUUUACCCAGUGCACAGGAGCAGAUCAUGCAUUCAUUUGACACGCGCCAUUCCACGAGCACCGGGCCUUGAGAGAAAACCCAAGGCCCUCACGUCGCUCUCAAAAGCGGCUUGGGGGCGAUACAUCCAGCCCUCCGCUGCAUCCUCCUAACCCUAGGCCGACGGCCGACCGGCCGCCGGCGGCCCGAAGCCGGUGCUGCUCGCGUUCCCUCUCCCCUUCUUUCCCUCCCUUCCUCUCUUCUCUCCCAACCACACACCUAGGUCGCUCCCUUCUCCUUCGUUGUCGGCGAGGCUACUCCGGCCCUCCGGUCGUCAGAUCCGCACCUCCCAAUGCCGGAUCCAUCCUCUUUGGGCCCGGAUCUGAGGUCUCCCGGGUCGAAGCAGCUAAUCGUCGGUGCGUUUGAAGGGAAGGGGAAGGAGGCGGCAGCUCGAGGUUCUGCGGCCUCCCGAGUCGUCUCCCGCAGCAGGGGCUCGGCAGCUGCCGGCGCACCUCUCGUUGGCGGGGCACGGAGGUCGGCGGCGCGGCGAAUCGCGGUGGGGGCCUGGCGACCGGCACCUCGGCACACGACGCGCCUCUUAGUGGCGGAGCACGUGGCCGGCGGCGCUACACCCCAUGGCGGGGCUGGCUGCCGGCAGCGCGGCGCUCCACCGACCCACCGCCGCAAGAUCCUACCUUUUGCGCUCACAGCAGCUCUGGAUCUGCAUGGUCCCAGGCGCUGGCGCCAGGCUUCACCGGGCUGUCACCGCUGGGGCGCUCGGGGGCUCUCACUCGGGUGUUGUCGCCGCCACCACCACCUACCUCCCGGGGUCCUCGGGGGCUCUCACUCGGGGCUGGCUCGUAGGCUUCCGCCCUGCGCCGGUGUGGAUCCGCCCCCCAACGACAUGGAUCCGCCCUCCCCAGUACAACUGCUCCCGCUGUUCAAGGCGGUCUUCUCCGCCGGUGAAGGUGUGGGUCGGCUGACACUGGACCCACCCUCCCCCGACCCCACCCCCACCUAGAUUUGCGUGCGCCACUUCUGAUCAUCAUCGUCGAGCCUCGGGAGCUCGUCAUCGUCACCGCCGUCGCCACUUGUUACGCUACUCGUGUAGGCGCUGGGUGCCCUUGAGCCUCCUGUUCCAUUGCCCAUCCUUGGUCGUGUAGGUGCCCAUUGCCGGGCCUUUGGUCAUGGGGAUUCUUCCCCCUUUGGUCGUUCGGUUGGUGGGAGUUCUAGGGUGUGUGCUACCGCUCGUAUCUACUGGCGCUCCUCUCCGGGUGAUGCUGCACUAGCUGUUUUGGUCGUUGGGUGGCGGUGGCGUGCUCUUUCAUUUCUCGUUGGCGCGUUUUUGAUCAUCUUUGGGCCAUCACGGUCGCCCAUGGUCGUCUGGGCCCUUCCUUCUUCUCAAUGGUGCCUGCAGAUGUUCCUCAUCAUCGUCGCCUUGGAUUACUCGUUGCCAUCCCAUCGCAUUGGCUAUCAUCCAGGACUCGACGGUCGUCUGCUGCGUGGAGUUAGUUUUGGGGGCCUUUGGCGAAAGCUUUGCCUGGCAUUCACCAGUGCUGACAACGGUUGCAUCCUUUAAGGUAGCUUACCUUGCUGGGGGUGUUGUUGCGGCCACCAAACCCAUUUGAUUUCACCAAGUGAAGACUUGGACUGCUCCUCUGUGGACAUUCGGACGAUGACGGUGUUGGCGUCGCUCCCUCCUUGGAGGCAUCAUCUUGCAUGACCUUCUUGCUCUGCCUCCACUGGCUCCGGGUUGUUAGGCAACCGGUGAUGUGCAUGUGUUCUUGGUGCCCUUCUAUCCUGCAUGUAUCGGUCGUCUUAGGUCGUGUUUGGUGUGGUGGUGUUGUAAGUUUCUUUUCUGUUGUGUUUGUGUUGCUUGUCGUUAUUGUAACUCUGCGCUUUGGGGUCUCUCCUGAAGUGGCUUCAUUGUAACCCUCUUCUUCUUAAUGAAAAACGUGCUAUGCAUGUCUUAAAGAAUAUAUUUAGUAGAUUAUAAGACGUGCAAAAGUAACACAGGCAUACAAGUAUUUUUUAUAAUAUAUAUAAUUACCUAGAUUUGUAAAGUAUUUGAAAUGUAUACAAUUUAUGUGUAAAGAAACACAUGCAUAUUUGAAACUUUGUUGUUAUGAGUUCACAUAUAGUUUUUAUUCAAUUAAUGCCCAAAGUUAGAUAACUUGCCUAGCCGCACACCUUAUGCAAUACGCCAAUACCGUACAUUUGCAAACAUUGAUGGAUCAACAAAGGGAUUAUGGCAGGUUACUAGCUGCCACACCAUUAAAGUAGGGCUGAGGUGUGUUUGAGGAAGAUAAAGAGGGCAAGAGGAGUACAACGGAGAUAAGAUGUCGAAGAAAGCACUACAUGUGAAGAUCCAGCACAUGUCGCCCUAUGCUACUUUAUGUUUGUCAAUGCUAAUGAACGGAGGUAGUGCAUAACGAUCAUAAGGUACGUUGCAUGAUAAAAAUCUAACAGUAUCCUUUUCAUUCACCGUAACAUCUAGGCAAAGAAACACCGCCUCGCCUAGCGCCUACUGCCUAGCGCUUUUGAAACAUUGACUUUAACCAUGGAUACCAAUGAAAGUUUAUUAAUUUGAAUAGCGGAGUCAAAGGAGGAGAGAGCGGGAGUACUGCUCAGAGAGGCACAUAGCUUUUCCUUUGUUCUUCUCUCUUUAACAACGUUCUGUUGAUAAUGUUAGGCUAUCAAUUUGAACAUGUAUGACGCUUUUGGUUCUAAGUUUACUAUACAUUAAAAUCUAUUGUUAAACUGGAUCAACCUUCUUUUAAAAAAAACUGGAUCAACCAGCGAGCGUGGUUUCUCAAUUGGCAACAAAUGAGAAAAUCUUCACAUUGAUUUCUUGGAGAGAUUGAAAAAACAAGGCCUCUUCUAUAAACUGAAAAAAAAAACCCUGAAGGACAAGGACACGCAUGCGUGGACCAUAUGGCACUUAAAACAAAGUCGUCUGGACGACUUUGGAGCAUACCCUAUCCUGCCAAUAUCUUUUUUUUAGAAAAAAUGCCGGCUAGAAGAUAAUUAAGGCCACAAUUACAACGUUAAUCUCAGGCCAAUGGAGGCGCACGGACUCCAUCAGACGGUAUGCAAAGCAAAUGUCUGCAGUGCAAUUCGCUACAAGUGUAAUAAUAUGCAUGGACGUGAUUGUCUUUUGCCUCACAAGAUAAUCUUGUUUCAACUAAAAAGGAUAUCAGCAGAUUAUAUUAACAAAGCAGGGUGAGUGGCCUUUUCUUUUCUACACUGCUUGAUCGAUCUUUCUAUCCUGAUUGAUCAUGUCUAUGUGUUUUGAUUGGAUACUUACACUGCUGAAUGGACACGCACUCAUGCAUAUUAAGCAUAAUUAUAAGCAUGCACAGAUUUCACGCCCCAUACGUUACUAACUCCUCCCUCGCAACCAUAGUGGAAAGGGUGAAAGCCAAAAGUGUUACUGCAGUGGUGGUCUGUUCAGUGAUACUUCUAGUUUAUUAGGCGUUGUGGCCUGUUCUGCAUGGCCAGCCUUUCAUGUGUCCAAGGGCCAUAUUUUUGGCUGCUAGGGGAGCAUCACGCAUUAGCUAAGAUGAACUAAAUUGGAUAUCUUUCCUUGAAAAAGGGAACGAGAGCUUCAAAAGAAACCACAGGAUUGGUGACAAAAUUUUCGAAAUGUUGUCAUUUUAAUUGUUUCAAGUGUACCAAGGUGAUUUCCGAAAUGAAGACUGAUUCUGCAAUGUGGGAAGUAUAAUUAUCAGGAAAAUGUAUGUGAGCUCACUUCAUUCUAUUUGGCAAUCAUAGGUUGUGCCUUGAUCGAAAGUGUUUGGGGUUUGCUUGAAUUUCUGCGAAACAUUUGCAUACUUAAUUUAAAGAAAGAGAAAAGGCAAAAAAAAAUCCGCAUAGGUUAGUUUGUCAAGAAAAAAAAUUAUUAUAGCUCGUAUUUUCAUUGUAGCAUCCGUAUGUCUUUCUUAUGUCAAAUCCCCCUAGCGCCGCACUCAACUAUAUGAUGUGACAUUGCAUGGAUUCCACGUACAAUUCUUUUCGAAGAUAACUAAAAUUUAACUAGCUGAGGUGUUUGGAUCCAUGGAUACCCUUCAUUAAUUGCUGUACAGUGUCAGUGGGAAAUUCACGUGAACUGGUAGGGUUAUUUUGGUCUUUUAGCUCGUUUAGCUGGGUGCAUUUUUUGGCCUGUAGCUAAAUAGCUAUCCCUAGCAGCUUAUGCGUAAAAAGGACCUAAAUAGCAGGUUAGAGAGCUGAAAAAUCCAGACAAAGACUACAUUAUGGUAGGGCAUUUUCGUGUAUUAUUCCUAUAUAGAAUUGUUAUAGAGAUUCGUUCAGACUCAACAUAUAUGACACGGCUAAGCGGUGGUUAAUCGAAUGAUUACAUGGCACUAAACUGUUGUUAAGGUGAGGUAGAGAUGAUUAGUGCACAUAUUUAUUUAGUUAAUGAGUGAUUUGCAACAGUUAAAACAUAAGAGAUUAAAGUCAAACUUUUACGAUACUUAAGGGAUGAAAAUACAUGUUUUCCUUUAUCUCUUCUCAUCAAGAUCAACAAAUUAUGGAUCAUCUACUUCGAAGUUAGGCAGCCUAAUUAGGCACACUCCCAACAAGACUCAUGAAAAGGCAGAAAUAUAUAUGCUCCAACCAAAAGUAGAGUAUAUAUGCAAGUUCCCUACACAUAUACCGUGACGUGUGCAACCUUUGCAAAAUAAAAGGAGGAAUCCAUGCAUUCUCAGCUCAAUUCUGAUGGCUCAUAAAUCGCCGUCUGAGCUUUAAAGCAAGCAUGCUUUGUUUAGUUAAUUCACGGAGGGAUCAUAACUACCACAGCAGGACAUUAUGCAUAUCUGCAUGAACACACGGUAUAUAACCCCGAGAAUGCCAAAUCCAAAGGAAUUCAGCCCAUGCAUGUGUGUUCUUUAUCCCUUGUAGGGUAGAGCAGAAUCGAUCUCUCAGUUUCGAAUGGUCCUGUCGAUCUAUAUGAGCCAUGCACACUGGAGAGUGAAUUAUUUGCAUAUUUUACGGGUACAAUUCCAUAUUAGUCACCCCAUAAGCUAUUUGGUGGUUUCUGCGGCGGUGUAGCUUCCUUCUUACACUGCUUCUGGAAUAUAUGCUGCACAAGUGAAGUUACAGAUGUGCCAUGGCAUAUAGCAUCUGGUAGUAGUUUUCUUUUCCUCGAUCAAGCACCUUGUCUUCUUAACUUUAUUAUGUGCACCACAGGCGAAAUGAAUAUAUCUUGAGCCAAACAGAAAUGGGAAAUCUGAAAAGAGUACAUGUGUCUAGCUCCCAUAUUGAGCAAAGAAUCUUGCACGAACUUCGCAUGAUAUUUACAGAGAUCAAUAAAAGUCCGAAUCCUACAACAAUAUUCACUUUCGAUUUCUUACUAUGUUCAUCCACUGAGCCAGAAUCUUAUGAAAAAUUAUUGCACUUAAUUUUUAUCUCGUUUGCUAUAUUGUAAUCAUAUAUGUGACUAUCCAUGCCAAUAUUUUUUUCUAUUUAAUUUGGUAGCUAAACUCCACCGUAUAAUUGAGAGAGAUCUUAGCUAAUGUUUGGUGAAAGCAUAUGGAAUGAUAUAAGAUAGUGUCCACGUACUUCCGGUAAGUUUUGUUUUAUAAUGGUAGAUGUCAGUGGUCCAGAAGCAGUUUUCAUUGUAUAUUCCUUGGAUUGUUUAAUAAUGCAGGUGUGAAAGCAUUGUAUUACAAUGGGUACUCUGGGUUAUUUUUCGUAAUAGUCGGUAAAUCAGAAUAAGGUGUCAUGAUAUUUUCAUUUUUUUUCCUUUUUGACAAAUGUGGGUAUGUUAGAAAUAGGUUAGAUAUACAACGGUAAAUUUUUUUUUGCCAAUUAUAAUUAUAGUACCCAAAGUCAAUUUUUUGCAUGUUUCGUCUAAGGAUUAACAUGGAGAAUUCCAAUUAGUAAUAUACAAAGAUAUCCUUGUGUUCCAACUCUGGUCUUUUGCUCCUGAAACACCAUUUUAAUUUGCACGAACUGCAUGUUGUUUUCCAAUGAGCCAGACAACAUAAGAGGAGGGGAAAAAGUACUCCCUCCGUUACAAAUUAUAGAUCGUUUUAAUUUUUUAUUCAUAGAUGUUUGUAUGUAUCUAGACAUAUAUUAUAUUUAAGUGCAUACAAACAUCUAUACGCCUAGAAAAGUUAGAAUGACGUAUAAUUCGAGACGGAGGGAGUAGAAGUUGGUGGGAUAAUUGGCGCCUACUUUCUGCCACCAUGUUUCCUAAUGGAGGUACUCGUGCUCUACACCUAUACAUACCCAAGUAAUGGUGUCUGGACCAAAUGAUAGGAUCGUUGAGCACCAUGCAAUUAGCAUGAGCGGGGGGCCCACCCACUAGCAGCUAAACCCUGCUGUGCUACCACCUCCCCGCCUCUCCACUCACUCACCCCUCUGUGCUCUCAGGCCACCAUAUAUGCAUGCAAACGGAUGCACCACAUCUCAGUCGCUCUCUUCUCUGCUAUACAUAAUAGCAGCUUCAUCGCCCUUCCCUCCUCGAUUCACCACCCUCCUCGAUUUACCUCCACUCCACAGCUUCGACAUCUCCCUCGUCAAUUCCCUUCUCCUCCCUGGUGGAAUCCAAUCCGAUGCGGCGGCCACCAUCGGCACCACCACCAUUGCCAGCCCAAGUGGCGGCCUCGUGAGAGGUUGGCAGCGAGCCAAGCCUAGGAGACGGCAUCGGUAUAUCUCGGAAUGUGCUGCCUCCCAACACCCCCGGCCACCGCCUAUAAAGCCAUCGCCAUGGCUCCCCCUCCCCACCCCCGCCAGAGCUAGCUAGGGAUCGAUCUCAUCUCUCACUCGCCCGCUCGUCUCCCACCGAGCUCCAUCGCCGGCGCCGGCGAGACCCACCAGCAGCUAGCCACAUGGUGAAGUUCUCGAAGCAGUUCGAGGGGCAGCUCGUCCCCGAGUGGAAGCACGCCUUCGUGGACUACUGCCUGCUCAAGAAGGACCUCAAGAGGGUGCAGCACGCCCUGCUGCUCAUCGGCCGUUGCGAGGCGGCGGCGGCAGGCCUAACCGCCGCCGCACAGCAGCAGCAGACAAGCGAUGACCGGCACGCGGAACGUGUUGUUGCUUCCCUGUCCCAAUGGCUCCAUGCUGCCGGUCUCUUUGGCUCCUCCAGCACGCCCAAGGAUCACGGAGUCAUACACGUACGAAACUGACGCUUCGAUCAAACGUGCACACGUAGUCACGUGUACGUGACACACCCUUCUCCGAUUGUUAGUGAAUCUUUUGCGCUUUUUUGUUCGUGUCCAGGUGCACCGCCGGAAGCUGGCGGGGCCGGCGGCGAGCAGAGGCGGCGGGGACGAGUACGAGACGGAGCUGCUGGAGCCACUGGCGGCCGCCGACGACAACGAGGCGGCGGCGACGCGGGAGUUCUUCGCGCGGCUGGACGCGCAGCUCAACAAGGUGAACCGGUUCUACAAGGGCAAGGAGGAGGAGUUCCUGGAGCGGGGCCGGUCGCUGCGGAAGCAGAUGGACAUCCUCGCCGACCUCAAGGCCGCCGCCAGGGAGGACACCACCACCAAUCCCUCCGACUCCUCCGUCGCCUCCGGCGGCUGCUCCGGUGAGCACUUGCAAACCGAUCAAUUGCAUUUCCCACAAAUAGGGUAGCUAGCUCUGAUCAGCAGGCGAUCAUGGCCUCCGCCGCCGCAAGCCCGCAACAACCAGCAACACGGCCGCGCGCGGCCGGCGUAGCUAGCUAGCGUGCGCUCGUCGUCGUGUCGCGUGGCCGGUGGCGAGCGAGCUGAGGUAGCGUGAGACGAGAUGUCACGUAGGCUCGCGACCGGCGCGGCGAAUGGGGGCGCUGGCCGGUGGUGCCUGCUGAUUGGUGAGGUGAGGCCCACCGUCCAUGUCCAUGGAUGAUGCUGGAUCAGACGUUUGAUGAGCUUUGAGGCGUGUGAGCAAGAAGUCACUAAGCUCUGUGCCCAGGAAUAUUGGCUCUCUCUCUUUUUAUCGUGUGGGUGUCUUUAGUAGUUAGUCGUGUCUGCAUUUGGCACGACACAUAUUGUGUUGUUAUCCUGACUUUGCUUUUAGCGUCUCCUGGCGUCUCUUUUAGGCUCGUUUGGUAUGGCUUAGGGGUUCUGGUUUUGUAUCUGUAGUAGUACCGUAGCAGGUGGAGCCGAAUCCAUAGGAAGCUAUUUUUUUAGAGCUUCACCGGUUUCACCUCCUUCCCAAUUCAUUUUGAAGUCUUGGUAUCCGUUCCGACUUCGUGCUACUGUAACGCACAGUGCUAAACAGUGCGCGUUACUGUACCAUGCUAAGGGGCCUUAAUAUUUGCCGAAUUUCAUUUUUUUAAUUUUGACGAUGGAUCCGCAUUGACAGUACAUUAGCAAAAGCAUUAGUAGCAGAUAACAUCUGGAUGCCUCGCUCCCCUGAUUCUUCUAGAAAGAAGAUAAGAGAAAUAAUGCAAAAUUCCGUGCAUUAUUUAUGCUGCUAGAACAUGACUCUUGAAAAAGCAGAAUUUCUUCCUUCAAUAAUAGUACACACAGAGCAUCUAUAUUUUAUUAUCACGAUUUCUGAUCAAAUUAUCUUUCAACAUACUUUUUUAGAUUAUUCAUUUGAUGUCAUCUUCUUUUAUCCUACUGAUGAAAACAGAGGAUGAGUCCACACGGUACGCGAUGACGUCUGAGACAGACACGGACCAGCUGAGCGAGCAGGAGGCCACCACACCGACCAAGGACCCCGGCGUCACGGCUCAAGAAGACCGGCAGAUGGAUCUAGACGGUUCUGGAACCUUCGGGAGGUCGGCGAGCGGCUGCGGGAGGAAGAGCCUCAAGAUCAACAUCCCCCUGACCAACCCCUCCCGGACGAUCGCCGCGCUGGCGGACAUCCUGCGGGACGAGCUCGCCGCCCAGUCCGGCUCCAAGAAAUGCAACCCCGACGGCGGCAUGGGGAAGCACGGCGUCAGCAAGACGAAGCUCCGGCACGCGGAGAAGAUGAUCAGGGGCGGCUUCGUCGAGCUCUACAAGGGCCUCGGCUACCUCGCCACCUACCGGUAAGCUCCGCGCAUUCGUUUGUGCGUUCAGGUUCAGAACUGCUUGAUCAGAUUGAUGCUGAUUUUUUUUUUAUUUUUUUGGCAAUGAGCAGGAACCUGAACAUGAUGGCGUUCGUGAAGAUCCUGAAGAAGUUCGAGAAGAUCAGCGGGAAGCAGGUGCUCUCCGUGUACCUCAAGGUGGUGGAGAGCUCCUACUUCAACAGCUCUGACGAGGCACGCACACGGUUUGCUCUGUUCCACUCUCUGUCUCUGCACCGCUAUCUGACUGACAGAGAAAGCUCGCCGAACUUGCUAUUCUGAAUGGAACUGAUGACGAGACGACAUUCUCGCUGCAGGCGCUGAAGCUGAUGGACGAGGUGGAGGAGAUCUUCGUCCGGCACUUCGCCGGCGGCAACCGGCGCAAGGCCAUGAGGUACCUCAAGCCGGCGCAGCGGAAGGAGUCCCACUCCGUCACCUUCUUCACGGGCCUCGCCACCGGCUGCUUCGCCGCGCUCUUCGUGGGCUACUGCGUCAUGGCGCACAUGGCCGGGCUCUACCUCUACACCUCGACUCCACGCGGGCGCGGCGGCGGCGAGGCGGCGCGCUACAUGGAGACGGCGUACCCGGUGCUGAGCAUGUUCACGCUGCUGUUCCUGCACCUGCUCCUGUACGGCUGCAACAUGGUGGCGUGGCGCCGGUGCCGCGUCAACUACGGCUUCAUCUUCGCGUCGUCGCCCGCCGCUGCCGGCGGGGAGCUCCGGCCCCGGGACGUCUUCCUCACCUGCGCCGCGUCCAUGGCCGCUGUCGCCGGAGCCAUGUUCGCGCACCUCGCGCUCGUGCUCAGGGGAUACCACGCGUCGCCGCACGUCCAGGCCAUCCCCGGAUUCUUGCUCCUGGUGAACCCUCUAUCUACUACUGCAAUUGUUCUUAUUCUGAUGGUCUCCUGAUCGUGAUCACUAGAGGCUCAUCAAAGGACAUUCUCCAUAUAUGCUCCUGCAGCAACUGCACCUGAUCAAGAAUGGGAAUAAUGGAAUGUGUUCUGUCGAUUCAUGCAGGUGUUCCUGCUCCUUCUGUUCUGCCCUCUCAACGUCGCGUACCGUUCGAGUCGGUUUCGGUUCCUCAGGAUUAUGAGGAACAUCAUCCUGUCACCACUCUACAAGGUACAGCAUCAGCAGCACUUGCAGUUAUUCAUUCUGAUAAGCCUUAGCAUAAUCUUCUUGGACCCAAACUGGGCCAAUGUUCGUUCAAUUUGUUUUUAAUUUUUUCAAAAACUGGGCCAAUGCAUAGCCUGAUGAUCUUUGAACAUUUGCAGGUUGUGAUGGUAGACUUCUUCAUGGCCGAUCAGCUAUGCAGCCAGGUGCCUAUGCUAAGGAGCCUGGAGUACUUGGCCUGCUACUACAUCAGCGGGAGCUACAUGACGCAGGAUCACGGCUACUGCAUCAACACCAAGCAGAUCAGAGACCUGGCCUACGCCGUCUCCUUCCUGCCCUACUACUGGAGAGCCAUGCAGGUAACAGCAAGGUCUACCACGCAGUAGAGUCCGUUCAUCUUCAUGAACAUUCCUCAGUCUCUGCAGUUUCUGAACUCUGGAUGUCUGAAAAACGUUUAUGCAUUCAUAUCUUCUGUUCCAGUGCGCGAGGCGGUGGUUUGACGAGUGGGACACGAGCCACCUGGUGAACCUGGGCAAGUACGUCUCGGCGAUGCUCGCGGCCGGCGCCAAGGUGGCGUACGAGAAGGACAAGGGCCUGGCGUCGCUGUCGCUGCUCGUCGCCGUGUCGAGCACCGCCACGGUGUACCAGCUCUACUGGGACUUCGUCAAGGACUGGGGCCUGCUCCAGCCCAACUCCAAGAACCCCUGGCUCAGGAACGACCUCAUUCUCAAGAGGAAAUCCGUAUACUACUUGUCAAUGGUACGUUCAUCAGUUCAUCGCCGUGCAUGCAGAGAAACUUGUAAAGCGAGGUCAAAUGGCUUCAGUUGCAGUGCAGGACAAUCUGCUCUUUCAGAGUUCAGACAGCCUGUUAAAUUGAGAAAUCAACAACCAAAACAGAACUUUGGUCAUGCAAGAAAAUCACAAAGCUUACAUUUUACAAUCAGUAUCCAAUACUAAAACUUUCGGCAUCAUGGUCUAAAUGGACGAAACAUGCUAUUUGUUCUGCACUAGUAGUGAAGAAUCACGUUCCAGAUAACCAAAGGCUCAAGUGAAAUGUUCUCAUUCCUGUCUGAACCUUUUUGCAGGGACUGAACCUCGUGCUGAGGCUUGCCUGGCUGCAGACCGUGAUCCAUCCAAAUUUUGGGAGCUUGGAUUCUAGGGUCACUUCCUUCUUCCUAGCGGCCCUCGAGGUGAUCCGGAGAGGUCAUUGGAACUUCUACCGGUAAGAACUUGCAAUUUGAUGGUUGCGCACACAGUCUCAUCCUUGAAAAACAACACAUCAAGGGUCUGAACGAGUACAUGAAAAUUUUUCAGGUUGGAGAAUGAGCAUCUGAACAAUGCGGGCAAGUUUCGGGCGGUAAAGACGGUUCCACUGCCUUUUCACGAAGUGGACGAGGACUAACGUACUACUGACCAUGGCUAGAUCGAACAAUUGUUUCUUCACCAUUCUGCUGAAUUUUUUUCGUAGUGAAGAACUCGAGAGGCGGAGAAUUGUUGGGAACCUUAGCUGUUUAUGCGCGUAGUAGUUCCUUCAGGAUGCUGAAAAAUCAUUUGUUCGUUCCUAGUAGAUGCGUCAAUGUGUAAAUAAGAAAGGCAUCGCGUUUCGCAGUGUUUUGUCUGACCAAAUGUGAGCCUUUUAUUCCAAGAUAAACGAAAAAAUGGGUACAAAAGCAUGUCAAAAUUAUCACAAGCCACAAUCCAAUGGUUCCUAUGACAGAUCCCGCGGGUAAUCUCACCGGUCUAUGAUGGUACAACAAGAACAGCAACAGCGGAAAUAAUUAAAUCAUGAUCUGGUACACUGAUAUAUGUAUAUAUGGAUCUCUCUGUUGGAUUUACCACGCUAGCGAUAGCAAAAGAGCAGCCAUGGCGGUCUGCAGGACGGCGACGCCCCAGUGCUGGUGCUGCCGGCUGCUCGCGUUCUGCAGGAAGAAGAAGCAAAAGCAUUAGUGAUUAUCAAUUGAUUUUUUUUUCCGUGCUAGUUCCUACUAUAAAUAGGGAAGAGAAUCUUGUGUUUUAGCGUCGUGAUCCGUGCAUUACCACGUCGAACGCCGACGGCGCGGGGCCGGACACGUCCUCGAGAUCAGCGGGCGACGGCGCGGCGGGCGCCGGCGGGCUCAGCGGCUGCGGCGCCUCCGCGGGGGCCUCCUUCUUGCCGUGCUGCUUCCUCCUCCUCUUGUGCUUGUUCUUGCCCUUGGAUGGCGCCUCGGCCGGCGGCAGCGUUGCGGGCGACUCGGCCACGGGCGCGGGCGUCGCGGGGGGCAGCGUCGCGGGAGCCUCGGCCGGGGGCGUGGCCGUCGGCGGAGGCGCCGCGGCGGGCGGGAGCACCGCGGGCGGCGUGGCCGGCGGCGGCGUGGAGGGAGGUGGCGUCACGACAGGGGGAGGCGUCACCGGCGGGGGCUUGGCCGGCGCGACCGCGGGCGCGGCCGGCGGCGGCUUUGACGGCGGGACCGGGGUGGCGGCCGGCGCGGGGGUCGCUGGGGUCGGCGGCGAGUUGGCUGGCGCCGCGGGGGUGGCCGUGGGCGCGAGCGCUGCCGGUGUCGUCGGUGCAGCAGGUGUCGUCGGCGCAGCAGGAGUCGUCGGCGCUGCCGGUGUCGUCGGUGCAGCUGGUGUCGUCGGUGCAGCAGGUGUCGUGGGCGCAGCCGGUGUCGUCGGUGCAGCAGGUGUCGUCGGCGUCGCAGGAGUCGUCGGUGCGGCUGGUGUCGUUGGCGCUGCCGGUGUCGUGGGCGCAGCCGGGGUCGUGGGUGCAGCAGGCGUCGUUGGCGACUGCGCCACGGCGGCGCCGAGGUGGAGCGCGAGGACGGCGGCGAGCACGGCGAUGCGGCGCCAUUGCCGGAGCAGCGGCGGCGCGGCCAUGCUGUUGGCGCGGUGCGGAUGCCGAGCUAGCUCGCUGACGGGAAUGCGGUCGAUGGAUCUCGCGCCGACCGAUGAAGCAGGUAGCCGGCGAUGGAGGGGAGUAUAUAGCGUGUCCGUGCGCGCGCGCGCGGGCGGGUGCGGUUGGGAAGGACGUAUACUAGCUUGGGAGUGAAGGGAGUCGGGUGGCCGGGUGGGCGUGCAGCGCGACGCCGACGCGAAAGGCGACGCGACAACGGCCUCCGGCCCCGCGCGCAGACCGGUGUGCACGCUAACUUGCAUGCCUUAUUUCUUCUUGUUGUUUACAAAUAAUUUAACCAAACCCAUUAAUUUAGAUGACCAAAAUCAAGUACUUGAGCAAAAAGAAAUGCGUCUUCUUGCUACUAAGAGCUUUUACAUGUGUACAUGAGCAAGGUAGCUUGUGCAGCGAGAGAACAAGGACACCAAACACCUUUUUUGCUGUCUCGGUGGCCUUUUCAAAAUCUUUGCUUCAGAACAUGUGAUGGUGCAAGGAUACGUGGUGGGUGCAUGUAGCCGUAUGUGUGUAUUCCUACUACGCGGUACUAUGCACACUGUGGUCAAGAUCGGAAAGCAAUGAUUCGGACGUCUUGCGAAUCACAGUAUGGGUUGGUCAUUAUCUGCCCAUACAAGUACAGCGUUCAUAUGAAAUAACUUACGGGACGUUUGGUUGCUUAUUUUUAGCACGAGUCCCAUCGAAUGUUUAGAUGCUAAUUAGAAGUAUUAAAUGUAGACUAUUUACAAAAUCCAUUACAUAAGUGGAGGCUAAACGGCGCGAAUCUAUUAAGCCUAAUUAAUCCAUCAUUAGCAAAUGUUUACUGUAGCAACACAUUGUCAAAUCAUGGACUAAUUAGGUUUAAUAGAUUCGUCUCGCCGUUUAGCCUCCACUUAUGUAAUAGGUUUUGUAAAUAGUCUACGUUUAAUACUCCUAAUUAAUAUCUAAACAUUCAAUGUGAUGGGUGCUAAAAAUAAGCAAGAGGAACCAAACCAGACCUUAGUUUCUGCUAGAUCAAAAGAUAAAACCAAUACAGGUGCUCGCAUUUUCCGAUUUAACCAGCGUUAUUUUUUCAGAUUUGCCCCUCGAUUCCCAUUUCUGGCCCGAUGACGACGAAUUGACGAUGACAACAAGGAUCGUGGUUGCUGUAGCGGAACGAUCUCCAGGAAGGGGACAGUGACAAGCGACCAGCACGAUCAGGUCUCAGCUGGUUCACCCCCGCAUCCCUUCCAGCUAGUCGAUCAAGUCGCUUGCAUUUCACGAUCAAGUCAGCUUGCAUUUCCAAACGGCCGAAAUUUUAACUUGUGGCGGGCGUUACACAUCUAUGUACAUUUCCAGCUCAUGUCACCAACGCAACGCAAGCUAGCUAGCUAGCUCGCCGUGUUGUUAGGUCUCUUUGCGGUUUGGUGGACGUGUGUAAGGUGACACGUCGCUGCACGCUCUGCUCGAUCGCUUGCUCCCCACGGGAGCGUUGCCCAGCACGCACACAAAAGGGAGAGCGCAUUCCCCUUUUACGGGCUUGCCAGCGUUGCGUCCGAGAAUUCGUGUCCUCUCAUCUCGGUGACCAGGAUGUAUAAGAGGGCGCCGGACCAUCAGGUCGUGCGUCGACCGGUCGGAAUUACUGGGUAGCUCGCCAGUCAUGUUCCUCGGCUCCUGCUGCUCGCUUCCUCUUCUCUUCCUAGUGCCUGGCUGGCAGUACUCCGGAGAGUUCUGGAACCUUUUAGGAAGAGUGUUAGUAUCCUUUUCAGAUAACGCUAAAUUGUUGGCGUGAAUUUGCCUUCGGAUACUAAAAUGUGUUGUCUGUUGAUUUUACGGAGUGGAUACUAGAUUGCAGGAGCAAAUGCUGUAUGCUAAAAUGCAGGAGUAUUGAGAGAAAUCAGGAUUUUGGAUCCGUCUGAAAGAAGGGUUUCGAUCUAAGGCCCAUUUUUCCAAGAAGAGUUGACACCAGUGCCCAGCCGAAGAGGUUGUGUAUGAGCUGGGCCGUGGAAACCACAGCGGCAGGCCGUCCGUGCAGCUCCAGCUCGAUGAAAACACAGGCCCAAAUCUCCGCCGACGGAAAAAAAAUCUAAAAAAUAAAACCUUAUCAUGAUCUCCGCUCCCCCCCCAAAAAAAAGAGAAAUAAAUUUAAUCUCAUCGUGAUCGGCGACUUCGUUCCGUUACGCCUCGUCUCGUCUGCCAACGCACCACGGCGUGGUCGGGACUCUAGGGAAGCGAGCCGUGCCCGUCUCUCCGAUCCCCUCCACGCUCGCCCCCAUCCCCGCCGCCGCCGCUGACGCCGUCGGCGAAGUUGAUACCACCUGCACAGCAAGGUGGGGGCAUACACAACACACCAAUCACCCUCUCAGCCACUUCGCCCGCAACUGCCCUCACACAAAUUUCCCGAAAUCUCCGCUUCCUCCUCUCGUGUCCUCAGCUAGCCAGCUCUCUCUGUCGCGCGCGCGUCUUCUGGGCUGCUCGCCGCCGCCGGCGCGGCAUCUUCUUCUCCGACCGAUCAAACCCAUUGAUCGAUCAUGGCGUCGUCGAGCGCGGCGGCUGCUGCUAGUGACAGCCAGGGCGGCCUGAAGGCUCGGGAUGUCUGCAUCGUCGGCGUCGCCCGCACGCCCAUCGGCGCGCUGCUCGGGUCGCUGUCGUCUCUCCCGGCCACCAAGCUCGGCUCCAUCGCCAUCCAGGGUACGUCCCCCUCCCUUGCCAGUCCCUCGUCUCCAGCGGAUUGGCUGCGCCCAUAACAACCCAUUAACGAAUCCUUCCCUGUGUGAUUCUUACCAAAUCGGCAAAUCCCAAUGCGUCAGGCGCUCUCAGGAGGGCGAAUGUCGACCCGGCGCUCGUGCAGGAGGUGUUCAUGGGCAACGUCCUCAGCGCCAACCUCGGCCAGGCCCCGGCGAGGCAGGCCGCCCUCGGCGCAGGCUUGCCCAACACCGUCCCCUGCACCACCGUCAACAAAGUUUGCUCCUCAGGAAUGAAGGGUACUACUACUAGCUGCUAGUUGUUAAUUGAUUGUUAAUUACCCUUGCAAUGUGGAGGCUUAUCCUGGCACGUUGCCACCAACUUGUUGCAGCUGUCAUGUUUGCGGCGCAGAGUAUUCAGCUGGGGAUCAAUGACGUUGUGGUCGCUGGUGGAAUGGAGAGCAUGUCAAAUGCCCCCAAAUAUGUGGCUGAAGCAAGGUUCAUUUCUAUUCCCAAAUCCCAAGCGAUAGUUAUAGGCUGGAAUGAUUUUGUUGUGAGCAUCCUCUGUUGUAGCUUGUGUUUAUAAUAAGCGGGUGACAAUAAAACACAGACGAGGAUCACGAUUUGGACAUGAUGUCCUGGUCGACGGGAUGCUGAAGGAUGGCUUGUGGGAUGUCUAUAACGAUUUUCCGAUGGGGAUGUGUGCUGAAUUGUGUGCGGACCAGCACUCAAUCUCAAGGGAGGAGCAGGUUGCUGCUAUUUCCUGGCUUUAUUUAUGAAUUACAACCUGUUAUAUCCUACUACUUAUUAGAGUCUAAUCGUGGCAGUGACUUGUUCUUUCUUCUAGGAUUCUUAUGCUAUUCUCAGCAAUGAACGUGGAAUAGCAGCUCGGGACAGCGGUGCAUUUUCUUGGGAGACUGUUCCUGUGCGUGCAUAAUUUUGAUUGACCAGAUAACUCUUUUUGUGUAUUAAGUUUUGAUACCUCAAUACAUGGUACUAAUCUCAGACAUUUGUUGUUUCGCAGGUUGAAAUUUCUGCUGGUAGAGGGAGACCACCAGUAGUUGUGGACAAGGAUGAGAGUCUUGCAAAGGUAAUCCUGAGGUCUAGCUAAUAUGAUUGAUUUUGGUUGUUACAGAUUCAAAAAAAGGUUAUGUAAUGUCGGAAUGAAAACGAAAGAGCAUACAUGAAGACAUUCACAUUUAGCAGUGGCUAUAACAACAAUUAACACAAUUUUUUUCUUGUCAUAUUUGACGUGAUUCCUUGGUAUCCUAUAUGCAGUUUGAUCCAGUAAAGUUGAAGAAACUUGGGCCAACUUUUAAGGCAAAUGGUUCUGUAACUGCUGGCAAUUCUUCUAGUAUCAGGUUUGCUUCUUUGUUACUCUGAACAGCCGUAUAUUAUCAAUAUAAGUAACAUGCAGCCAAACUCAAUACUAUACCAUAUUCUAAAAUAAGCAUAUGCAUUUAAACUAAUUUAUAUUGAGUUUAUAACUGAAAUAAUUCUAUUUAGUACUAUACAUCUUUUGGCAUUGUUCUGAUUCUUUUAAAAACAAGAAAGGCUUCAGCCGACAACAAACAGAUCUGAGCUGGUCAGAAUUGUCCUUUUAGUUGCAUUUGUUAUGCCUUAAGCUAGUUAUGUAAAAUAAGAUCUGAUUUGAUUCGAUUUGCAUCUAUUCUUUAGUUGAGCUUGUUAGGGCCUAUCCCUGUAAUGGUGAUCAUUAAGCUAUAUUAAAACUGGAACCCCACCCCCCUCUCUUUAGUCUCUAGUAUGCACCCUCACAUAUAUCACUGCCAUGCCUCCCUUUCUAUUCCUCCCUUGCCACAGGCUUCUUCUCCCUUAUGUCUUCUUGUUGCUCCUUAUUAAUCUAAUCAUCUCAGUCUGUAACAAUACUCCUUGUCGUUGCAUUUGCUUGUUGGAUGUAUACCUGUACCACUGCUUGUUUGUGAUCAGACCACCUUCUGCAGGCAGUCAAACAUGUUGCAUUUCUUGACCAGUGAAAAUCGCAGGAACCAGUUCUGGUUCGUUCUAGAGUACCGAUGCUAGAUUAUUCGAGAGUGUCUGGGCUGACUGCACAGAAGUACUGCUGAAAUACUAUUGAGCAUUGAGAGCUUGAUUUUACAGGGGAUACAUGAUUGUCAAGACACUAUUCAAUUGAGUAAUUAGAAGGAGCUGGUAUCAUCGGGUGGGGAACUUGCAGCAUGCUGCCAAACUUAUUUUUUAUUCCUAGCCAACCCUAAUUGGCCCUGUAGGUUCUGAUCCAUAACAUACAAUUCGGAAUUUGUGCAUAAAAAGUAGGUAUUUAAUGCAUAUUUCAUUAUUGAUUCGAAAUAAUAAUUAGUACCCUGGUCCCUCUGUUCCAGUUUUGAAAUGGAGGGAGUACAUGGUUAGCAAAUGAGGCAGGACAAGAUGGGACGGUCCAAUUUCUUUUAUGGGAUGGUCCAGGGUUUUUGGAUGAUAGUGAUCCCAGUAAUAUGCAUCUGCCCUCCACAAAGGACUCUGCUGAUAAAUCUAAAUGACUUCCUAAAACACAGUGUUGCCAUUGUCACUGUCAAAGAGCUAGAACAAGUAACAGAGCUGCAGAAGUAAUAUGCAGCUACUUGACUAUUAUUGAGGGAUCUUCUGUUCUUUUUUUGGAUGAUGUGUUGGUAGUUGCUUUUAUCAUAGAGAAACCACAUUUCAGAACCAGGACAGCUGAUGCAAGUGCCUAUUCUAGAGGGGAAAAACAAGGAACAAAAGGGAUGCACCUGAGUUUAUACAACGGUGGUGGUGCAACUUGCCAUAGGAGGUAGAAGCAGAAUCACUGCUGGCUUUGCUCAGCAAAUCAAUUCCAAAGCGUAUCUAGUACACGAGAAGGAUCCCUAUGUGUCACGAUUGGUGGAGAGAGGGUUACCUGCCAUCAUGCUCACUUGCUCAGCUGUGAUUUUUCCUAUUUCAAUGUUUGAACUCUGCUUUUCUUUAUGUCUAAUCUAAAUUAAGCUUGUUUGGGUGAUGUGUGAUUCAGCAAGUGUAAUGCCAUCCUUAUCUGUCAAUGUGCAGUGAUGGUGCUGCCGCAAUUGUCCUUGUAAGUGGAGAGAAAGCUAAGAAUCUUGGCCUUCAGGUUAUUGCAAGGAUCAGAGGGUAUGCUGAUGCUGCUCAGGUAACUUUUGCUUGUGCCUGUCAAUGCCCCUAAAAUAGCAUUGUCUGGCAGAGAAAUCUCACAUAUGUAAGAUCUUGACCUGUUGGUUUUUAUGUUACUGAGGAAAACAAUGCUUUUGCCUAGCACAAAUGCCUGUUUUCCAUUCAGUGGUGCAUCACUAUAGUCCUAGUUAUCUUGUAAUCUUGCUUACUGUGACAUGUUACGUUGAACAAUUUUUGUAUGUUUUGUGUGAACUCCUUACAAAUGCAGGCACCUGAGCUGUUUACGACAGCUCCAGCUCUUUCUAUUCCGAAGGCUAUAUCAAGUGCGGGUCUUCAAACUUCACAAAUAGAUUAUUAUGAAAUAAACGAGGCCUUCGCUGUAUGUUCUUGACCUUUUCAGUUUCAACUGUCAACACUUAAGCCUCCAAGUCCAGACUUAACAAUGCUUCUGGUCAUUUGCAGGUUGUUGCAUUGGCUAAUCAGAGGCUUCUUGGUAUCCCUUCUGUGAGUCACAAAACUUUACUUGUCUGUAUAAUUCAGCAGUUAGUAUUUGUAUUUGUAUCUGUGAAUGAUCUCAUAAAUGUAUGCACAUUUCAGGAAAAGCUAAACUUAAGUGGUGGUGCUGUUUCGCUGGGCCAUCCUAUUGGUUGCAGUGGUGCACGGAUUAUAGUCACUUUGCUUGGGGUAUGCUUCUAGCCCAUGUAUAGCUAUGAUGUAUUAUUAUUUACUGCAAAAUAUGCCCUGUUUAAGCACAUAAACAUUCCCGUUUCUUCCUAUCACAUUUGCAACACUCCCAUUUGGUUUUCUUUAAUCAGAAUUUAAUGAACAUACGGUGGCAGGCUAAGAUAUUUCUUGCUUUAUCAUGUCACAAACCACCCUUUUCACUAUAUUUCCAGCCAUGCCUCAGAGUAGUUCUACAACUUCCAUGUUUUGCUGAUACAGGACGGCAAGAAUUGUAUAAGUUGAGAACUUGACCUAUUGAAUAAUGUUAGCUUACACUGUGUGGGCGGCCAUUUUCUUUUUGUGCAGUUCUGUUCAAAUUUGUUUUUGUAUCCUUAUGUGCACACAAAGUAAUUUUAUAUUUUGCUGCCAUCUAUUUUUCUUCUUCUAAAUGUGUCAUGUUUAAUAGUUUGACUUGAUGGCAUGGUGUGUGUCUUUGUUAAACUUGUAGCUUUAUUUGCUCUACAGAUUCUUAGACAGAAACCUGGAAAAUUUGGUGUCGCUGGAGUUUGCAAUGGUGGUGGAGGUGCCUCAGCACUAGUUUUAGAGCUCAUGUAAGCUCCUAUGGUGUUUAUUCAUCACACUUUUUCAAGUCUUCAAUUCUUUAUUACGCUUAUGAUCCAUUUGAUUUUUUUUCAAUGGCAAAUAAUAAAACAUUCAUUAAUAAGAGUAACUUUCAGUACUCCUCGCACUACAUUUUUUCCACCUGCAAAGUUAUGUUGUCCAUUAAAUUGAAAAAAAAAACACUCAAUAGUUAUUUGGGCUACUUUCUUAGCUUCUGUGACAUGGUGCAGGCAACCCUCUUCGCAUAUUCAUUCUUCAUUGUGAAGUUGGUGCAAGCAAAUUAGCAGACAUGAAUUGUAUACUAUGUUUUUAUCACUGUAUCUUUUGUCAUUUGUAGGGGGGAUUAGUUGGUGUUGUAUAUGCCAGAUGUAUGGUAGAAGAAACACUGUAAAAUAAGACUUGUGCUACAAAGCACAGGGCACUAUCUUGUACCUUCUAUGGCAAGUAUAGGCGUAUAGCAAAUGAAAAUAACAGAGGGGCAGAAGGAUAAUGUACAGAUACAGGCACCAUGUUACUAAAAAUAGCAAUGGGUACUUAACAACCUGUCAUGGUAAAGAUUUUUGUUUACCAUUUUAUGUUAUCUGAGUAUAAAGUUUGCAUCUUACCCCGUGAAGAAGAUAAGAAAAGUGUUCAGCUUUUACGAGAGGAAGUUACUCCUUAGAGCAGCAAAAAAAAAAAAGUUCAUGGGACAAUAUUAUCUUUAACAGGCAUAACAAACUGCAAUAUUGUGACUUGUUCCCCCAACUUGGAACAUAAUGAUCAGAUCUGAACGUACGACCCAUCUCUUCAUCAGCUUUUAUUUUCGAGAAUAAAGAUAGUUAUCCAAUGGGGAAAGUGCAAAGAAAGAUCCUGAAGGCAAGUUAUGAGCCUGUCAUUGUGUUAAGAUACGGUUAAGAGGAGCCGGGCCGAAAUGUACUAGCCCCCAACAAUGAUUGAACCCACGCUACAAAUCAGCCCAAGCUUGCAACUGAAGCAUUGCAGACUUACAGAUAUUUGUUAGAACUAAAUGCUAGGACCAUCUGCCUCAUCUAGACCGUACAAAUUCAGCAGUUCUCCGUCAAGAGAAAAAAAGGUUCUUCAAAGUUACCCUGUUUGAAAGGACUCGUGUCUUGAUCGACCAUCUACGACCUGCAUAAUUACACUCCCCCAGAAAUAGAUUAGCCCGCUAAUCACUACUGUUCAUCGCAGCACAAUUAUCCUGUCGACACCGUCAGCCACUGAAGCUGUGCCGUGUCGGUCAUGGCAUGCGUCACAGGAACGGAACCGGAGCCGGUGCUCCUGUUGCCUUUGCACAUGCCACGUGAUCCCAUGAUCAGUAGGUGGCAUCAGUGGCGUCCAGUGUUAUAUAUGCAUAUCAGAUGGGGAUGGGGUCUCGUCUCCAUGAAGCAUCUUUCUCCCGAGUCAAAUCCGCCGUCCUGCGCGCGUCCCGCCUCGCCUCGCCUCCCCUCCCAUCCCCUGCACUGCACUUGCGAGCUGCGAACCACCUGUAAAGGGCGCAUGAUUAGGUUAGGGCCAUCCCCAAUUGCGGAUGUCCCCCCUCAUCGAGCCAUCCCUUCGGUUUCUCUUCAAUUUCAUCCGCCCAGUAAAUUCUACGAACAAUUUGUGAAUAAAUAAGUGAAAUUUAGAAAGGGGUAAUGGCAUUUGGCGAUAUUCUAGGAAAGUUCAGACUUCAGAUAUUUGUGUCAACACCAGGUGUGCGUGCGUUCCAGGUUCGAUGUUCUCCUUGUUCUAGCAUCGGUGACGCACGAGCUCGUCGGGUUUACGCAGACGAUGGUGUCGCGCACGAUUCCUCGUCCCUGUCAGAUCUAGAUAGACGAAGUCACCACUCACCAGGGAUUCCAAGCAGAUUGGAUACCCUACCAGGUAUAGCCAAGAAGCUGAUGCGCACCUCUUUUUUUUUUUCAGAUAAGAACCAACUCAAAAGGGCACACAUCUGAACAAACUUUGCUCAAAAGCUCAAGCUAAACGAAUUAUCCCUGGUCCCAAAGUCGAGAUUUCUGAAGCACUGCUGAUUACAGAAAUACUUUAAAAUCUGCAAAAUCAACAGAGCAUUCACUAGUGGCUGAACGCACCAGUUACUCCUCAGCAGUUAACAAGCCUUUGCACAAUGAAGCAGAUCUCACCACAACAUCUAUGUUAGUGGUAGACAGGGAUGGCGAAAGAAUAAUCACGAUUGAUCCACUCAAAGAAUCACACGAAGUAAAAGGUCGACACAAAAUGCCCUACCUAGUUGUUUUUGCAAAAGAAAAAAAAAGCCCUAGCUAGUUAGAUUUACGAAUUUACGAUGACCAAGAUUACAAUGGCCUCGAACCGGAGGCAUCAAGACCUCUACUCUGGCUGUUCCAGCUGGAAUGGCUGAAAUCGGUCGUGAAAUCCUGGCUGCCGAACGCCAUCCGCUGGAACAGCCUGAUCUCGGCCGUGUUCGCAACGUUGAACAUCUCGCUCUUGCCUGGCUGGACACCGUUGGUUAGAUCCACGUCAGCUAGGCUAUCAAGAACCCGCACCACCUGAGAGGAGAGGAAAGCAGUGAUAAAUUUUUUUUGUCAGAUUCUGGUUUCAGAACAUGUGCAUGUACUUUCUUCUUCAAUCUUAUAUGGAUAUCAAGUUUUGGUUUGUUGAGAUGUGCAUAUUCUCUCUUUCUUCAAUCUUAUACCUGACUCAUCCUGGGUCUCCUGGAUGCUGAAUGCCGAAUACAAGCUGCAGCAGCCUCAAUCAUACGGAACAAUUCGACUUCGUCGUAGUUCUUAUCGAGUCUGGCGUCCACCAGCUCCCCUACUUUGCCACUCUCAAGUGCUUGUGUCAGCAAUGGCCUAGCCUGCAAAUAACUACGGUGUCAAGAAAUGUUUGAUUGUUGCAAAUUAAAGAACGAAAGCAAUCCUUCACUAAGGGGUUACAAAAACAUAAUAUCAGAAAUUCACAGAAUCUGUUCUCAAUAGCUGGUCCCCACAGCACUAUUUCUCCCUUGGUUGGCUGACUUGAUGAAUUACCUUUCUAUCACAAUUCAAGAGUGGGAUGUGUAUCUGGCUGACUAUAGUGUUAUUAAACUCUCAUACCGAAUUGAAUGUAACCAAUGAGCAAGUCUACUUAACAUUUUGAAUAUGGAAUAGCUCAAGAUAAUGCUUAGAUUUCCUUUGCUACUAAAGGGCAAGAAAAUUGGAACCUCUUAAUGCAUUAAAUUAACUGUUAUGCUUACCCACUCAACAAGGCUCUCAUCACCCAAUGGUUUUGAUGCAUCAACAGGCUUUCGACCAGUAAUAAGCUCCAAGAGAACAACACCGAAAGAGAAUACAUCUGAUCUCUCAGUCAACUUGCCACUUGAUGCAUACUCUGGAGCCAGGUACCUAAAUGAGAAACAUGCAUCAGAUUAUAAGAAAAUUAGGAUAGUUCUCUUGGGCUUGUCACUGCGUUACUUACCCGAAAGUUCCCAUCACCCGUGUAGUUACAUGCGUGCAAGCAUCCAGAGCUAACCUUGCAAGACCAAAAUCAGCAACCUAGCAAAUGGGCACGCAUCCAUUAGUAACAACACCAGUAUUAUUAAAUGCUUUUGAAGAUAUGUAGAAAGCAUUGUUACCAGCGCUUCAAAGUUAUUGUCCAGUAAAAUAUUGGAGGAUUUUAUAUCUCGGUGGAUUAUUCGUGGAUGACCUGCCAAGGAAAAGAAUUAAGCAACAAAAGAUAAGACUUGUGCAAAUUAUCACACAAAUGUAGGAAAGAAAUGAGAGAUAUCAUUACAGUCUUCAUGAAGAUAGGCUAUUCCCCGAGCUGAGCCGGCUGCGAUUUUAACCCUAGCUGGCCAUUCCAAAACCGGCACUCCGCGUCCUAUGGUGACAGAUCAAUACAAUUAUACAUUAAUUUAUUACUCCAGAAAAGGAACUACAAAAUUGCUCCUGCAUGAUAGUAAAAGCUUACAACAUACCAUGAAGAUGGUAGUGCAGUGUGUUGUUAGGCACAAAAUCGUAAACGAGCAAUCUCUGGUCAUCUGAAAUGCAAUACCCUACUAGAGAGACUAGAUGCCGAUGAUGCACGCGGCUGAUAAUCUCCACCUCCGCAUGGAACUCACGUUCUCCCUGCCCACCACCUUCUUUCAGUUUCUUAACUGCGACCUCUUUUCCAUCAGCUAAGCAACCCUUGUACACUGACCCAAACCCACCUUCCCCUAGCAGGUUCUGAGCUGAGAACCCAUUUGUGAUCUGAUACAAUUCCUCAUAAGUGAAGAACCGACAGUUGCCCAUACUGAACUCUGGCAUUGAAUCUUUCGAUUCAGGACUCCCAGCAGUGAAGUUUGUUUUAGCUGAAUACCCUGGAUAAAAAAGAGUUUUAGUUGUUCAGUUCAUCAUCACUCAGGUAAUAUAAAGACUGAUCUUAACUUUUAAGGUGUAUAAUUGCUGUGAAUGCACUUGAUUAAAUUACCUAGCACUUGUGUGGGAGAUGACGCAGGUGAAGGCAUUACGAAUCCAGCAUGGUAACCAUGCACUCUCCUCCGUUUCUUCUUGUACCAUAAUGCAGCUCCAACCAAGCUAAGCACAAGAAUGGCAACGACGACACCAAUGCCUGCCUUUGCACCCGAACUCAUCCCACCACUGCUUCCUGAGGAGCUGCUGCUCUGCGUGGCUGGGCUUGAUGAUUUGUUGGAACCCCGGUCCCCGUUGGUUACCGGGCUGGCUGGAUCAACUGCCGUUGCUGGGGCUGGCACCGACGGUGUACCAGAGCCCGGCGUCCCUGAAGGCGAGGGGCUAGUGGGAGUAGGGAUCAAAGGAUCUCCAGAGGUCGGCGCAGGGCUAGCUGGAGAAGGUUCGGCAGGAAUUCCAGAAGGUGGUGGUGCCGGCUGAGUUCCAGGCUUCCUUGGCGGCCGAUGAUGCCGUGGUGGAGGCGGCGGCACUGCCGUCGGCGGAGUUGGAUCAGCCGGUGGGUUGGGAGCUGGCAAAUUGGAUGGUGGUGGUGAUGCAGCGGCAGGCGGGAGUAUAGGCGAUGCCUUUGGCGGGGCGGCCGGUGUAGGUGGUGGUGGCAUUGCAACCGGCAGCGAGGGUGGCGGCACUACGGCUGUUGGGGCUGGUGGCGGAGAGGCAACAACUACCGGCGGCGGCGGCACAGCGGCAGGAGGAGGCGGAGCCGAGGAGGGCGGUGGAGGAGUGAGCUGCGGGGGUGGCGUGGAUGCGGAGGGAAGGGGAGGGGGCGCCGCCGGCGAGGAGGGAGGAUCGGCCGGGGUAGCAUUGGGCUGCGUCACCGGAGCCGGGGAGGCCGGCGUGGGUGUGGUGGUUACCGGCGACGGGGUUGCUGUGGACGGCGGCAAGGUGGCCCUGAUGGUGCCCGGGGAGGGCGAAGGCGAGGACGCCAUUGGAGCCCAGAAGGCUGGAGCACUACAGCGCCGUCACUGCUGAGCUGCUGCCUUCUUGGUGGAAAUGGACGCGCCAAUCAUGGGACACGCCGCAAUUCAAGGGACAAUCGAGCCUCCCACACGAGAAAAUCUCGCGGAUUCGCGCAGGAACGAGUCGAAAUUGCUCUCCUUUCCUUCCUCCUCUGAUCCCUUCCUUCUCUCUCCUGACGCUGCAAGAACGCGGAGGUGGUGAAAUCUCACCUCGACCGCCACAAGAAACAGCUUCUCGCUCAAAUCAGCAGGCGCAACACUGCAUUAACAUGGCUCUCUUCAGCACCAAAAGCCGACGCAUAAAAUGAAUUCAAAAUUUCAAAUCCUCCAGAAAGUGAGUCAAGAUCCCACCUUUCUCACGGAUGCAGCAAAGAAGAAGACGCAGCGACGGAAGACUGAAAUUCCGAGAGAGAAAAAAAACAGAAUCCUGAAGAAGCAGGCACCAAGAUUAGCUUCAAGACGGAGGCGGACGCGGUGGGUCUCUCAGAUCCGGCAGUAACGCGGUAGCAUUGAAGGCGAGGCGGAGGUAACGGCAAGAACAGCAAGGAGAGCAAGCGGACAAGACGAGGACGACCUCUCUCCUUUCUCUGGCUUCUUUUCCCCCUUUCCUCUCUCGCCUCUUCCCCCCGAAAUCCAACGCAUGUGACUCGCUGUACCUUUGCAGAAAUCUCUCCUGGCUGCAAGGUCACCACCCUGCCCGAGUGGGAAUGAAUUCCAAUUUCCACUCGUCUCUUCUAGGGGAGAGAGAGGGAGGGAGGGAGGGAGGGAGGGAGAUCGUAUCGUGCACUGUCAGUGUGUCACUGCUGCCAUGGUUCAUGGUUGGGUUGGAAAAAGACUGCCCUCUUUUCAACUUUGGCCCCUGACUGUUUUGGGAUUUAACAUUUCUCCUUGCGAUAGUGAUCUGUGAGCUGUGAACCUGUGACGCGUUUUUAGGGCUUUGGGUGCAUUAUUCUCCAUGUAUUCCUAUUUGAAGUAGAAGCACAUCUUUCGGUUUUCAAAAAAAAUAGAGGAAAGGGGGAAAAAAGGCUUCUUCCUAUAUUUCAGAUUAAAGGCAGGAUUCCUGUUCACCUAAACUGCAUCAAGAGGAAAUUCUUAGCAAGGAAGUAUUACUACAAGCCCUGAUUUGUCAUAGACAAGGAGCACUGGUGGUUGAACUAAUGACCUGAACAAGGGUGACACUGAUACUCCGGCAGGUCAAAGAAAACUAUCAGCAGGUGAAUGUUGUACAUCAUCUUAACUCUAUCUAAACCACAUGGAUAAAGUUAAACGAAUUUCACAUGGUCCCUCACGGCCUCACUCCUCCUACCUUGUUAAUAGUAGAGUUAACUUAUCCAGAGAGAGAAAAAAAAACAUAUUUUUUGGAACAGUUACAAAGCAGGAAGUUCAGAAAGGUUUCUUCAUAUGCUUCGUUUUCUGUUUAACAACAAUUAGGUGACAAAGAAGACAAAGCACAUUUGGAGUUUAGCUGUGCCCAACAGGUGUGUGCACAUGGCUGCGUUUUAUGGGUCUCCGGAUUGAAAAAGCCCUUUUUCCCCCCUCUCUAUUUUCAGAUGCAGGAUUGCGCGUUUGGACUUGCCUGCCAGAAUUUGACCCGGAAAUGUCUCGUGAGUUUUUAAAACGGUUAGAUCAAAAUGUUUGACAUUUUUUUUCAUAUCCAGUUUCCAGGGGCCAGAACUUUGCCAUCAAACAUAGCUUGGAUUGAAGAUCUAUUUGAUCAGAUGAGAGGAGCUAAGGUUUUCUCCAAGAUUGAUCUGCGAUCAUGUUACCAUUAAAUUUGGUUCUGUAUUUUUUUUAAUUAGUGAACUCUGAAUGGGGUCUUUAUUGAGCUUACCAUAAUAUUCUGGUUUGUUAGGAAAAUGAUCUGUUUGGUCAUCGACAUAUAAUCACUCGGCACAUCGCUGUAAGAAUCUUAAAAAAAAAAUCAAUGUAAGAAAGAGUUGAUAGUACAUUCUCUCUAUUUUGUGUUCCGUUGUGCUGCAUUUGAACGGGGGAAGGAAGAUGCAUAGUUAUAAAAUACUUCCUCGUUUUAAAUUAUAGGUUGUUUUAGUUUUUUAGUUCAUAUAUAUUUGUAUGCAUCUAGACAUACACUAUUUAGGUACAUACAAACAUCUAUGCACCUAUAAAAGCUAAAACGACCUACAAUUUGGGAUGGAGGGAGUAUGAGUUGCAUGAAAGAUAGCACCAGGAGAUCUCAUUGGUUGAAGUUGACCCGUUCAAACUUAAACAUCUCCAUGUAGAAUUGUUCAAAUUAGUCUGCAGAGUACUCCAUAAACAGGGUUUCUUAAAGUUGACUCAAAAGUCAACCCACCUGCAGGCUAAAGAAACGGGGUGCAAGUGCAACCAUACAAAAAUCACAACUGAUGUUGGGGUGUUUGGAUACAUCAUGCUAAAGUUUAGCACCUGUCACAUCGGAUGUUAGGAUGCUAAUUAGGAGUAUUAAACAUAGGCUAAUUAUAAAACUAAUUGCACAGAUGGAGUCUAAUUCGCAAGACGAAUCUAUUAAGCCUAAUUAGUCCAUGAUUUGACAAUGUGGUGCUACAGUAACCAUUUGGUAAUGAUGAAUUAAUUAGGCUUAAUAGAUUCGUCUCGCGAAUUAGCACAGGGGUUCUGCAAUUAGUUUUAUAAUUAGCUCAUGUUUAGUCCUCCUAAUUAGUAUCCGAACAUCUGAUGUGACACUGCUAAAAUUUAACACAUAGUAUCAAACACCCUAGUUCAUCACUAUAACUUGACCUCGAUUUUUGUGCUCGGACUCUUCGGAGGAAACAUGCAUGGGCAGCUACGACUUUCAGCUACUCCUCUGCCAUUGUUUUUUGUUUUUUUUUGGUAAAGUGACAUAUUGAAAUUGAUCUUGCUACUAUUGACACCAAUAAUUUAAGCUUAGGAUCAUUCCACCAAAAAUUAUUGACACAACUCGUCCCUAAGCUUAACCACAUCACCGAGGCAACCAUGACAGCUCAUGGCGAACAGUGUGAGGCACCGUCACUGUAUUUUCGUUGACCUGGGCUACGCUAAAGUAUCGCGGCUUCUGUCCACACGUGUCUGAUUGAACCCCCAAUUUCAGCAUCUCUCGCUUUCCAUGCAAUCUCGCAACAAGUGAACGUACAGCUAGUGUCCACAUUUGCCCCCAACAAACAGCUCGAAAUUGCUGACGCGAUGUUAGGCAGAUGCCAAGCAACCUAAUUGCCCUGUGAGAACAUAAUUAAUUACUUAAUUAGCAUUGCGGUACGGUGCCGGCCAAAGGAGAGCCUUGAAACAGAUCACGAAAUAGCAAUACUCGUUUGUUAUUUUCUGAGAGCACGAGGGGAAAAAAUUGUUCAAGGAGAAUUACAAUGAGGCGCUCAGGCACAAAAAAAACUACUUUAUUUUUUUGCCAUGUCGUAUAAAAUUGAUGCUGAGGGAAAUGAGGGGAUAUUUAAGUUUUUACCCCAAAAUAUAAAGGGAUAUUUAAGUUUGGUUUAGGUGCUUAAAGUGUGUAGAAUGGCAAUUGUCAAUUGGAUCCUUUUUAAGCAUUUUUUUGUGUGAUCUUGCCCGUCUUGGAAGUGCAAUUGUGUUUUUACCCCUGUUUUUUAAAUUUUGUGAUUUUUCCCUUACAUAUUCACAAGUCAAUGCGAUUUUACCCUUAUCUUUGCGUAUUCGCCCCUGUUUUGACCAUUGACUAGGGCAAAAUCACAUUUUGAUGGAAAAUCACAAAGUUGAGAAAAUGAGGGCAAAAUCACAAUUACACUUCAAAGCAGGGGUAUGAACACAAAUGCCUCCUAUUACUAAUUGGAGUCUCCUUUUGAGACCUCCAAAUGAAGUCACCUAGGAUCCUAGGUGGACACUCUAGGAAAAAAAGAAAAAUCCUAAAAAAAUAAAAUAUCUGACCAUCAAUCGGUAGACUCAAAUCAUCAUAGCUAUUGAAUCUAUUAUGUUUUAAAAAAUUACCUACCUGCCAUUAUGAAAAUAGGUUAAAGUAACCCCUAAAUCUAUAUCUAAAUUACCCAUCUCCACCAUUAUAUAAAAUAAACUAAAGUAACCCCUAAUCUUCAUCUAAAUUACCCACUAAUACCUUUAUAAAAUAAUUUAAAAUAAGCCCCUAAACUUGCAACUAAAUUGCCUCCACUAAUACUUAAAAAAAUAACUUAAAAUAACCUCUAAAUUUACAUCUAUAUUACUAGCAUGUGCUAUUAUUAAAAAUAACAUUAGGUAACGCUAAAUUUGAAUUCAAAUCACCUUCAUUAAAAAUAUACCCCAAUAUACACUAAUAUAUGAAUUAAAGCAUAUAUGCAUGAUGUGUAUCACCAUUUAUAAAGAUAUAAAGGAAGUGAUGAGAAUAUAUUAUUUUUUGUUAAAAUAAUGGCUCAAACUUAUGGUCCAUUAAACAAAUUCAAGUGCAUCCCCUUGCGAUGCAAAGUGAAAAGUUAAAAAUUAUAAAUGUAGAUGAAUACAUUAUAGAGUAAUUACUAACUAAAAUUUAUCACAAUCGAAUGAAGAUAAUAAGUAUCUAUCUAUAUAAAUAUCGUGUUUGAAUAUUUAACACAUGAGAGGUAGCUCAAUGCAAGGUAAUAGUUUUGUAGUAAUGCGGCCUUAUUUUUUUUUCCAUUGGAGGCUUCGCAUUAGUUCUAAUAAAAAAAGACAAAUUCUAGAAAUUGUCACAAAAAUCAGAAACAUCAAAUGCCAAUCAUGUAAACUCUAAAAAUCAUAGCAUUGACCUAUUAUAUUUUCUAAAAAGUUACCCACCACUAUCAUUAUGGAAAUAUUCAAAGUAAACCUCUAAACUUAUAUCUAAAUUACCGAGCUCUGCCAUUAUAAAAAAAUAAUAUAAAAUAACCACAUAAUCUUCAUCCAAUUUACCCAUGCAUAUCAUUAUAAAGCAUAACUUACCAUUCUAAAUUUGUAUCUAAGAUACUCACAUAUGUUAUUUUUAAAAUAACUUAAAGCAAACACUUAAAUCUUAAUCUAAUUACCUUCAUGUUCAUCAUACAGAAAUGUCCAAAAGUAAACUAUUAUAUGAAUCUAACUUACCUAUUUAUGUUAUUGUUAAUAUUGAAAUACUUAACUAGUAUAUACGCACGAUGCGCAUCACCAUAUAGACCAUUUAUACAUGUAUGUGAGGAAGUAUUGAAAAAUAUUAAUUUUUAUGGUAAACACAAUGCAUGGAGGUGCGAUACAAAAUGAAAAAAGUUUGAAUGUGGAUGAAAAAAUGUAUAGAGUAAUUACUAAUUAAAAAUCAAUCACAACUAGACAAAGGUAAAUACACAUCUAUAUGAAUAUUAUGUUGAAUUAUUAAAAAAGAGAGUGGUAGGUAAAAAAAUUAAUUAUUAGUUUAAAUUUAAUUUUUAAAUACAAUAGUUUUGAAAAUUUUAGCAUGUGCGGAAGCACGGAUUGAUGGACUAGUUUGCUCUAAUUUUCAUUGAGUUUUAUUCGGGCAACUAUAUUGAUGUGUUCACUCUCUCUUACCAAGCACUCGUGUCUAAACGCUGACUCUGCGAGGUACAGUAGCCAGUAUGCAUAAAACACGGCGGUUCUUUUGUUUUUGCCCCUUCAAUUUUGUUAGCGUUGGUAAUUAAUCGCACACGUGCUUAUUAAAGCUUGAGGGGGUUGGAGGCAUGUCACCAUUUUGGGAGCUAAAGCGUCAUUGGGCCAUCUCAACUCCUCGUCCGAUUCCGAUCCCUACAAAAUUAGUAGGCGCGUAAACAAUGGAGGCGUUGGAAGCUCGAGAUCCCGGCAGAAUCGAAGCACGUACUCCGUAGGAGUAGUAGACUAGCAUUUUCUGUGUAUAAACAAAUCAACAAACGAACACAAAGUAGUAGGAGUAAGAAACUUCCUCCUACUGGUGUAUAUAAAAUUCACUAUCUGUAUUGAUGAGAUGACCCGGUCAAUCCACAUUUUAGGGCCACGCGACGCGACGGCCACGAGCACCGCCGACGACUGCUGGGCUGAGCUCGUCUCCCCGGAAUCCAGCCAGGGCUCACGAAACCGCGUCGGCAGCGGUGGCCCACGGCGGUGUCGGCGCGCGCAUCAAUAAUUCAUGAGAAUUGACCGCAGAUAUAUUCUAACGAACUGAAGAACCGUAGUAGAUCCGGAUGAACAACAAAAAAGAAUGUUGACUUGGGUCCAACAUCAUCAUCUAGAGUAACAAAAUCGAAGCUGUCAGCCAGUCACCAAAUGGCGGAUCGGAUCCUCGAUCCAGCCACCAAACGAUGGAUGCAACAAGAAGGCGGCGGGCCGGUCAGCCUGUGUUGCGCAUGCCGGCGGCGAUGCCGUUGAUGGUGAUGAGCAGCGCGUCGCGGAGCCUGCGGUUGUCGUCGUCCCGCCGUAGCCUCCGGAGCACCUCCACCUGCAGCAUGUUGAUGGGGUUGAGGUAGGCCAGCCGGCUCUCGAUGAGCCGGCGCAGGCUCCGGUUGUGCGCCGUGAGCUUGGCGUGCCCGCUCACCGCCAGCACGCACCGCUCCGUGCGCGCCAGCUCCCGGCGCAGCUCCCCGCCCACCGCGCGCCGCUCGGGGGCCACCAGCAUCGCCUCGUAGUGCGCCGCCAUGGGCGCGUCCGCCUUCGCCGUCACCAUCUCGAUCAGGUCCACCGUGCUCUGGAAGAAGGGCCACUCCGCGUACAUGGCGCGGAGCUCCUCGCCGUGCCCGCCGUCCAGCGCGCCCUGCAGCCCCGUCCCGACGCCCAGCCACGCCGGGAGCACCAGCCGCGUCUGCGUCCACGCGAACACCCAGGGGAUGGCGCGCAGGCUCGAGAUGCCCCCCGCCGGCUUCCGCUUCGCCGGCCGGCUGCCGAUGUUGAGGAACCCGAGCUCCGCCUGCGGCGUCGCCUCCUGGAAGUAGGUGAUGAAGUCCGGGUCCUCGUACACCGUGCGCCGGUAGUGCGCGCAGCUCACGCGGGAGAUCUCCUCCAUCAGGUGGCGCCAGUUGGGGUCCCGCGGCGGCUGCGGUGGCCGCAGCGUCGCCAGGAGCACCGCAGUCGUGUAGAUCUCCAGCUGGCGGACGGCGGUCUGCGGCAGACCGAACUUGGCCUGCACCAUCUCGCCUUGCUCCGUCGACCGGAGCGUGCCCUGAUAAGAUGAGAUGAGCGUGCCUUCUCGUCGUAAGGAACACAAGAACACAUGCGAAAGAAGAGGUUACUGAGGAGCAACCACGCACCAUUACUGAGCCGGGAGGCUGCGACUGGAUGGCCAGGUAGGUCGGCCCGCCACCGCGGCCGAUGCUGCCGCCACGGCCGUGGAAGAGCGUCACCUUGAUCCCGAACUCGUUGCACGCGGCGACCACGUCUUCCUGAGCCUUGUACAGCUCCCAUGCGGCGGUGAACCGCCCGGCGUCCUUGCCGGAGUCCGAGUAGCCCACCAUGACCUGCAAGAAUCAAUGAAUUCAGAAGUUUCAGACAAAAAUUGGAAUGAAAACACAGAGUUCUAGUGCUUGGUGGCAUUCCAUUUCUUGUGUACCUCCUGGUGGCCAUUGUGGUUCUUGAUGACAUGCUCCCUGUACCAGUCGAUGGAUAGCAGCUUCCUGAUUGCUGAGCCAGCUUCUCGCAAAUCUUUCACGGUCUCAAACAACGGAACAACUCUUAACCUGUUCACCAAGGAUCAAUUGAAGAGUAAUCGAAAAAAAACACUGUUAUGAUGAUGGCCCUAGCAAGUCAAUAUUCAAAUCACUAGACUGUACAAAUUGGCAUGAACAUCAUGCUUACGUUCCACCAGGACAUGGCCUUCCUAGGUCCCCGCUAACUGUAAGCCUUGCAUCCUUCUGCAACAGCUCAACAGCAAGGACAUCACUUGCCUGCAAGGAAAUCAGAAAAUGAAUGUCAAGCUAUAUAACAUUUGUGAACGCCUAUGGUUCUAACUUCUAAGCUGUGUAACCUAGCUGCAGAAGGGUGUUAAUAAGCAUGGCAUGGAAAGACAUGUAACUAAAUUUUACCCCACUAUGUGGGUGCAAUGCAGGAUAUAUCUGCAGAACUGUAAAAUAUUGAUUGCGGAUAAUUAAGAUUGUAUUUAUCUUUUACUGCAUUGUAUAGAUGCAUGGUGUCUCUUCAUACAUUUGAGGCCAUGGAAAUCACAUAUGCUCCAAGCGAGUCGCUCCCUAAUUCUGCAGCAACCUUGAAGGUGUCCAGAACUUCUUUCACAUCAGCAGCAACCUAUACAGAAGAAAAUAAAUGCAGAUGUAGGUGAAUUAGUGUAGAGUUUAUCCCUUUCUUUUUCUUUAACUAUCACACAGUUUAGACAGUCAUAAACUUGUGAUGCCAAAAUUUAAAACAAUGGAUACUUAAUCCAUUAUUGAUAGAUCCAGGUUUGGUAGUUCUGGUGUUGCGGUCUCACCAAACACUUCACAGACCACUGCCUCUCUAUUAUCAGUUUAGCAGAGCAGUAACCAAUUAGCCAAUUUGGCACGGGCCACCGUCAAAGACACAAAUUAAUCUCGGCAGCAAUAACUUCAAUAGGGACCAACGAUGCAACAUGAGGGUAGCUUAUUUCCAACUAGAGCUUAAUAGCUUUGAUCAGUUUUAUAAUCUGUCAUCUUCAGAAUGAUAUUCUAACAUGAUGUUGAAAGUUGCAAACAUUACAAUAAUGUGGAAAUCAAUUAAAAUGACUUUGAGCGAUUAAUAAAAAAAUAUCAAGCAGCAAAUAACCUUAAGAACUGAAGAAGUAUUAGUCUAGAAUGCAACCUUUAACCUGGAUAAGAUUUAAACAACACUUCGUCUAUAGGAUUCGAAAAGGUUGCUUUACACAGGCAAGGACUAACCUCUAUGCUUGGAGGAACUAGUGGACGCUUCCCUUUCAGCUCUCUAGUCAAGAAAUCCAACUUCUUUUCUUCAUCCCACUCACUAUAAACGCCAAGAUCCAAAUAAGAUGUGACAGCAUCAAGAGCUUCUGUGUGUCAACCAGAUUCCUGCAGCAACGAAUAACUUUGCCUAAUCUUUUAUAGUUGCCAAUAGGAAACUUAGAAGCUGAGCAAGCAAAAGCAGUAGUUUUCAUUAUAUGUACCUGGCGCACAUCGAGCUUCAUUAGCACCAUACCAAAGGUUGCAACCCUUCGUAUCAAAUCUGCCAAUCGGCCAUCAGCAAGCACGCUAGAUCCACAUGAUUGCUGCCUCACAGAGUAAUGGAAGGUUUGAGCACUACUCAAUACAAGAGCAGUUCUUAUAUUAAGAGUCAGGAUUCUUGAGCUACCGUUGCUGUUUCUCACAACUCAAAUAGUCUUAUUUUAUCAAUUUAAUUGCAGAUACAUUUUCUAUUUUUACUGAUAGAGAAACUUCUGUUUCUUAUUUCCAUCCUCUCCAUACAUUUAGUAAAAGCUGUCAAGCUUACAGUUUUUGUUAAAAAAAAUGGAACUCAUAUGUAUUAGGGUCGUUCACAUGACUGUUGAUGGUUAUUCAGCAAAAAGUUAGCAUGGACAAAAGCAACUUUGAAUGACGUUAUUAAUAAUAUCUGUACCAAAUUUUCCAGCAUGGAUACUUCUGAUUGUAAUUUUAAGUAGCAUCACAUGAUUAACCCAGCAUUGUGCAACCACAGUUAUUCAAGAGGACUAACCAGUGAUUGAUAGCACAAGAGCAAGGGCUCCAAAAGUUGAUCUGAUGUUUCACAAUAUUCUUCAGUGUCAUAGUCACAUGGUAAAUCCUCAAGAAGAAGUUCUAGCCUUCUGCGUGUCUUCACCAGCUGGCAGCAGAAAUUAUGAUCAGAACAAUAAUGAAAAAAAAACAUGUAAAAUGUACUAGUUUGGUCCUAUAUAUAAUUAGCACCAUUGGUUUGGUUUAUUCUUAUAUUACCCCUUUGUAUCAAAUUUGGGUAUAGAGCACUAAUUGCCCAAUAUUUGGAUUUAUAAUUUUUCUGGUACAAUAAAUUUGCAAGACAACCCUAGGAUCUGUAUGAUAAUAAAACGUUCUUAUAUUCACACUAUAUUUCUAAUAAAUUGAAAGAUAUGAUUCUGACCUUUUCUUUCACAUGACCAAGGACAACCCUGUAAGGAGUAAUUCCUGGUUUGUCUGAUAUGCUUGGCUCAAGUAACUUCCUAAAGCUACUUGAUCGACCCAUAUUAGAUUCUUUCAACAACUUCCUCAGUUGACCGCCACUUGGAGUUCUACCCAUCUGCGAUUGACGACCAGUAGGAGAUGACAAUGGACCGUCUUCAAAUUUUUCUGGUAAAUUAAGACCUCCCUGGAAAACAUGAGUGAUAAACUAACUUUUAUUGCAUGCUGUGUUGGACAGCUGAUCGGCUAGCAAAAAGGAAUCUGCCACACCCUGCAAGCUGCCCACACUGUGAUCAAGCGGAGGAAACCAUUAAUCACCUGCUGAUAGAAUGUGUCUUUGCUCGAGAGUUUUGGUUUAAUAUUCUGAGAAGGGUUGGACUGCAGGCUCUCACCCCUCAUCGGAGUUUUGAGGAUUGGUGGGAAGUAAGUUCUAACAAUGUGCCUGCUCCCAUUAGAAAAGGCCUUAACUCUCUAAUUAUUCUGGGAGCCUGGACGUUGUGGAACCAUCGCAACCGAUGUGUCUUUGAUGGGGCCUAUCCAAGUGUUACCAGAGCUUUGUUGUCGGCCGGUGAGGAGUUACAUUUGUGGGGUAUGGCUGGAGCUCGAGGAGUUAAUCACCUCCUUGCUCUAGUGCCAACUGAGGAGUGAAGGUUUAGGUCAAGGUCGGCUGUUUUUUUCUGUAGAAAAGGCGCUUGUCGGCAUGGUUCUGUAAUGGUGUGUGUGUUUGUGUGUUGUAAGGGUUCUUAUCCUUUUUUCUUCUUAAUAUAAUGAUACGCAGCUCUCCUGCGUGUUCGAGAAAAAAAAACCUUUUAUUGUAUGAAAACAAAUUUAGAUGUGCAUUAAAUCUAUCUGGAUGGCAAGCGCUUACUUCCUUGCUAGAGAAAAAAAACUUGGUAAAACAGUUGUCAGAAGCACAUUUUCUAACUGGUGAGGUCUUCGUAUCUAAUUUGUAAAUACUAGAUUAGGUAAGACCAGGCUGUAUUCAAUAAACCUGCGUUAAUGUGUAUGCCUAUUUUCUAACAGCAUAAAGUUUGAUUGAUCGUUAACUAUUGCUCAAUGAACUUCACAUAAAAGUAAAGAACAUUUUCAGACGUCACAAAAUUGGCAUGUUCUUACAGGACGACUUGGGUUCCUUGGAAGAUUUAUCAUCCUGAAUUGGGAUUCUCCAUCACUGCAUUCUGCAUCAAAGUGCAAUUGUUCAAGGUUAGAAGUUGAUGCGGACAUAUAGAAAUGCAUUAGUAGAUGCCACUGCAAAAUUUAUGUGGCGGAGGAAACCCAGGUGGUAUUAGAGAUGAUGCAUGAUGUUAAAUCCUAGCCUGUUACACAGGAGGUUUGUUAACUAAAGAUUCUAAUUGAAUGGUAAUAUAAAGGAAUGUUUUAAAUAAUUCGUCAAAUAUUGUCCAUUUUAUGCACAUGCACAUAAAGUUAUCUGCUCCAAACAGAGAAAUCUACCUGUACAUGAAGGAAGAUCAGCACCAGAAGGAAGCUGUGCAGGUAGCGCCAAGCUAUGGUGUAGCUUUGCAUUGUUUUGAGGUACUGUUUGGUUCCAGGCGUUGGCCUUUAGGUCCUCGGAUGCUGAUUCAGUAGAGGUCACUCGAAAAUAUCAACACAAAUUAUCCAAUGAACUUUCUGUGAGACAUGAACAUGUACAGAAUGUGCUGAGCUCAUUUCUACACCACGUAAAUGUUUUACCAUCUUAAACUAGUAACAAUCCAAUAGUUGUCAUAGCUGAUGAUAACUAGCCAGCUCCUAGCUGGAUUUGAUAAUCAAGUACAAAACCAUGAAACUGACCUUUGAGCAAAAUUUCAUUAGCCAAGCUUGUAACCUUGUCACUGCAUCUCUUGACAGACAGUUCAAAGCUGAGAUUGUCUAAUUCCCUGAUGUAUAAGUCAAUUGCCAUCCACCGGGACAACAAUGAAACAUCCCUAGUCACCUAGUAUUAUAGAAUGACAAUUUUUUUCAGUAUUUCUGAUUGCAUCAAAACUCACAGAAUUGAUGACUCCAUCAAACCAUUACAGUAGUACGAGAUAGUGAACAUGCACCAAGUCACUGAUAUCUUACUUUUGCUGUAACAUUAGGAUUUCCAUCUCGGUCCCCACCCAUCCAAGAACCAAACUUGAUUGGUGUGCAGGUUAGUGGAAGUGGGCUUCCAGUGUGCUAUAGUGAAGUAUGACGAAGAAAGGUUGAGAGUUUUUUGGGAACCAAAUAGAUGACAAAUCUAAUAAAGGCAAUCACUGUAUCUGUACCUUCUUUAGAGCACUGCUAACACGGCGAAGAUAGUGUGGUACCGCUUUCCAAAGGGAUUGCUCCACAAUAUGAAGACCUACAGUGUCAGUAAAAAUAAUUAUAAGAUAUACAUAAACAGCAUAAGUGACAAAUCAGAGACCAGGAUGCUUAAUUUUCCUACCAGCUCUAGCUUCGUCAACUGGUGUAGGUUUAUGGCGCCUCAACUCAUCUGUCUGCCAUAUUGCUGUGAUUUCCCUUACCUACAUAUCAAAGUUCUGGGGUUUCGACUGAGGAGAAUAAAAGAAUUACUAUGCAAAUUCUCAGUUCUGAUAUAUACCAGAUCUUCAAUGAGCAUUUCUUUAUCCUCAUGGCUAAGAUCAGGGCGUGCAUUGAACUCCAAAAGAUGCUACAACACAUCUCCAUCAGUAAGUGACAGCCAAUGUAGUAACGAGGGGAAAUGGACAAAGAGUUUCUAAUAAACUAUAGAUGUUAAACUCACAGCUACUCUGAGGUGCUUGUAUUGCAAAGUUCGCCGAUUUAUUUGGGUGGGAUGAGCUGUCAGAACAAUUUCAACCUCCUACAAAAAAAACGAUCAAGCGUCAACUAAAAGGCUUGAUGAUGCAUGGCACUCUUAAGAACCACAAUGUAGAAAAGUACCUGCUUGCAAACGGUGUCAUAUAGUUGUUUCGGAGGGACGCCACUUUGAAUCAGCUUACCAAAUAUAUCAUCACAAGAUUUUGAGAGUUGUUCUACGUUGCGUGCUUUCCGAACCCUACAUAAAAAAAAUUAUAAUAUGCAUAAUCAAUGCACAAUAAUAACCAGUUUAACAUAAACUGUAAAAUUUAGUUGAUUUUCCAAGCUAGGUAAGAAUGUUCAACGGUCAGGAAAUUCAUUAGUACAAAAUGGGUAAGAUAUUACUGCUAGCUUGCAACAUGCAUGAUGAUGUGGCAUCAAUUCACGUAAUGUAUUACCUAUGUAAUUUUUUCUUAAGCGUCUGGAGAGACUCCUGACCAUUACUAAAUAUGUCAAGCUAUUAGAUCACUUAUAAUUAACAAAAUAAGUAUUACACCAAAUUGUGUUACUAGAUUGCAGAAAUCACUGAUUGCUUUCUCGGUAGAAUAUUCCCCCUAUGACGAUCAUAAUCAACCUAGUAUGUGAAAGCCUAAGGCUCAUAUAGUUAAAUAUAUCUGAGGAGGGUGACACUGACAUGGAAAGGAAGCAAUCAACCAUGACCCAGCAUUACAUGUUGUACGCAUCACAUUGUACGUAAAUUCUUGGAUUCUAGGCUGAGAAAUAGAAAACAAAAAAAGGCUUCUGAUACCUAAGGUUGCUGCAAUGCAAUGUACCAUUACCUACCAUACAUACGAUCUGAACAAAAUAUAGUCCGUCAGAAGUCGGAGAGGACAACAAAAUCCUGCAUACUUAUUUGUAUCCUACUUAAAAGUUAAAAUCUAGACCCAAAUUGAUUUGCUCAACAUUAUUUGACCAUCAAAUUGGGGAGAUGAGCCUUUCGAGUUGAGUGAAUCCUACUGUAAAUCUCAAAUUGGGUUCAAUCCGAAUGUUGGCACCGAAAAUGUUACUUCGUACUGGGUAGUUGUAAACUUGCAAUGCAUGCCCAUUCUAAAGUAUUAUAUUGCAAUGCAAAUUUUUAAAAUCUUGAACGUAAUUAACACAGGAAUCGUACAUUCAUAAGCACAUUGUUAGAGUAUGCAUUCCUGCGGUUCUGAGUAUAGAUCAGCGUCGAAAUGCUAGCGAGCGAGCCUACCUGUGAUGGGUCUCCGCGAUGCCCAUGAGGUUGAGGUAGUGGGAGAAGGCCCGGGCGACGCAGAGCGCGUCCUCGAGGGACAUGGCGGCGAGGUCGGCCUCCAGCUGGCUCUCGACGACGGCCGCCGUGUCAUCCAUCCCCGCCGCGCGCGUGGAGACGGCGCUCUGCACGAUCGAUCGCCGACGCAAGAUCGAUCGUUCGUGCACCGAUCGAACGAUAGAUUUGUCAGAUCACCAUUUCACAGUUCACACUUCAGUGACUUGACACGCACGCCGAGAGCAGCGCAGUGCGGGGGGUGAUCGACGAGAUCGAUAAAUAAUGCGAUGGCAAACGCAAUUGCGUGGCCGAUGGAUGCGGCGGCGGCGGAUCGGAGGUGUACCUGGGCGAGGAUGCGGAUGCGCUCGAGGAUGUGGAUGAAGCGGGGGCCGAGCUCGCGGAGGAGGACGUCGUGGAGGAGGGUGGCGAGGAGGCGGCAGUCGUCCUCGAACGCCUGGAACGAUAUGCCCUCCGCGAUGUCAUCCGUCGUGUCCAGCAUCCUCCUUCCUCCUCUUCUUCCUCCUCCUCGAGAUCGAUCGACGGGUUAAUGGAUUGGUAGAGAGAAAGGGGACGUGUCGACGUGAGACGGAAUGGAAGUCUCUGCGUGUGUUACGCGAGGCUGCGAGAGGGGGAGGCGAGGCAGAGGUGGGGGAGGAAAAACCGGAGGGCGCGGGCACCCGAAAUAGAAGGUGAUACGCUGAUACUGAGGGCCCGUGGUUGCGCAUCCAACGGAUGCAACCGGCCGGGUGCACCCGAUCCGCUCUAGUGUUCUUUUACGGAGGGUCCAAGUUCGUGGUCACUCGGUGAGAAGCCCAAGGGGCCCUAAAUUGAACCUAGCCCACCACCGGCGCCAACCCCGAAAGGCCGAAGCAAACCUGUUUUUCGUGACCCCGUUCCGAAAGCCCAAAACGUACUUGGGUUGUAUAAAGCGAGUAUAUUACUGUGUGUGUUGAGUGAUACUGACCUCCGUCUCUAAUAAGUACUGGUCACUUUUUUUUAAGGAACGACUGGUCACUUCUGAACAAUACAAAGCUCUGUUCGGCUGGAUUUAUAAGCCGGCUGAAAAGCUAAAACGGCUGAUUUGCUGUGAGAGAAAAAUACUGUUUGGUAGCUGAUAAGUUGAAGCGAACGUAGCAUAUGUUUGUUUCAAAAGACAGUUAUAGCGAAUCGAAGAAACAAGAAUAUUGUACUGUACUGCACACCACAUUUGCAAGUUCCAAACGACAACAGCAGGAUAGCAGUACGUGUUGUUGUUGAGGUUGGUUGGGAAAAUUUUUUUGCUGCAGCACAGCAGGCGGCCGUGUCCCUGGACGGGCUGCACUUGCGAGCGAGGCCGCGAGUCGGAUGCCGAAUGAUGCUGCAUUGAAGAUGGGCUCAGGAUCCGGAUGCUGAACGAGCAGGGAGGCAUGGAGGGGGCGGCGAGGCGCCUCAGGAUCCGGAGGUCAGCGCUCCGCUCCGGCGGCAGCGGCGGGAAGCAUCAUGUCAUUUCGGUCGGAUGGCGCAGCAGAGUGGGCAGGAGGCCGCAGGGCGGCAGACGGCUGCAGCACACUGAUGGAUGCAUGGAUGGAUGGGAUAUGUGUCUGUCGCAGCGACAAGGCAGCCGCAGACGAGACAAAAAAGCUUGGAACUGGAACUGUGGAACACUCUGCUUGAGUGCUUGUGCUUGGUUUCCUAGACGGACGAUCGAACAGGUGCAGCAGAGGCCAUGGCCUGCAGAAGAUCUGAAGUAGUAGUACAGUGGAACGCUAAAGCAGGCAAGCAAGCUGCGGCUGCGAGAAGGACAGAAGGGGGACGAAGCGAGGCGACAGCGAACAGACAUUUUUGCCUUGACAGGGGUGACUCCGGCAAGCGCCUGCCUUUUCUUUCGGGUCAUUACGGAUUUACGGCAUCUCCAUCUCGCUCGACCUUGCUUCCUUGCUUGGGGAGCCAGGCCAGCACUGCAGUAUGAAAUUGCUUGCUUGCUGCUGCCACAAACCUUUUUGCCCCCCCCCCCCCCCCCCCCCCCCCCCCCCCCCCCCACAAAAAAAAAAAAAACCGCAGCUACUGCCGGGAGAGUCCGGUGUCUAGGCACUCACGCACCCCCGCACAACACGAGACGCUAGCUUCCCCCACGUAGGCCCCUUCCAAUCUUUCCAUAGCCCAUAGCUCCAUUUCUCCAAACGGCCAGACGACCUUCUCUUUUCCUUUACUUUUACCACGCUGUCUUUGAUGAGGGACGAGCUGUGCUGUGCUGUGCCGUGCAGUGUGCACGCAGCGCAGCGUAGCAGCCAUUACCUACAGCAGGAUGCCGACGCCGCGGCUGACACGCACCGCGCAAAUACGUAGCGCUACAAUUAUUGCGUGCACUGCACUGGGAUACUGGAAACUACUCUGGUAGGAGUACAGUACAAUUCCUAGGCGUCCGGUGAAUACUCCUACAGGCUACAGUCCUGCUCCUGCGAUGCGACGGUGACUAGAGCCUAUAGGAGGACUAGCGAGCGAGUGCCAGACCUCAACUGGCCACCGCGGCCAGCGUGCAGGCUAUCCGUCAGGCUACGGCUGGCCCGCCUAGCUCAGGCCCCCACCUUUCCAAGGUCCUUUCUGUCUCUUAGAUAAAAGACCAUUACUGUCCGGCUUUAUAAAGAAAGCAGAGCUUCACUGGGACAACAGUUUACGAUUUAGGGGUGUUUGGAUACAAUUUUAGAAGUAUCUCGGAUGUUCGAUACUAAUUAGAAGGACUAAAUAUGAGUUAAUUAUAAAACUAAUUGCAGAAUCCAAUACUAAUUCGAGAGACGAAUCUAUUGAGCCUAAUUAAUUCAUGAUUAACACAUGUUUACUGUAGCAGCAUAUUAUCAAAUCAUGGAUUAAUUAGGCUUAAUAGAUUCGUCUCGCGAAUUAGACUCCAUCUCUGCAAUGGAUUUUGUAAAUAGUGUACGUUUAAUACUUCUAAUUAGUUUCAAACAUUCCAUGUGACAGGUACUAAAGUAGGUGUAUCCAAACACGCCCCAGCUAUUACAGAUAAACUGACAUGCAGCUAAGACUUUAGCCAAACCCACUCUACUAUUCUCUCUAAGCAAAACAAGCAGCGUAACAGCUUGCUUUAAGACUGUCAUAAAGCUGAUACAGAAAGAUUAGCUGAACUACACACUCUCUCAAGCACCUUCUGAUCAAGAAAAAAGAACCAGCAGAAACCGUGGGAACUGGAUUUGUCGCCCCUCCUUUUUCAUGUGUUUUGAGCAUCUUCAGACCUUAAUGAUAACAGUCGAAGUCUCAGCUUGCGAAAUGCCGUAUCGAUCCAGAGUUGCUCCUUCUCCUUGUUCAGGAUCUUCCAUUUCUGCAUAAAAGACAUUGAACGGUAUAUGCCUACGUCAGGAGAAGAAACAACAACAUUGUUAAAGACUAGAUCGUUUCUAAUUAGCCAUAGGCUCCACGCUAGACAGCCAAAACGAAAAAUAAAACUCCUAAUCUGUUUGUUAGAUCCUUCCUGUACUCUCUCUUGAAGCUCAUCCUAGUUGGUGUAAAAUGCCACUCUACAAUAUCUCUAAUCACACACCAGCAGAACUGCGCGACUAGACAUCGGAAAAAGAUAUGAUCAGUGCUUUCUAUUUGACCACAUAGUUUGCAUUCAAUUGGUCCAGGCCAAUUUCUCUUCUUUAGCUGUUCUGCCGAUUGGACUUUGUCAUUGCAGACUUGCCAAAGGAACACUUUGACCUUUAGAGGUAUCUUGGCCCUCCAAAUGCACAUCAACCAUCUAUUCGAGAGGCCUGAGAAGUUAGUUCAGUAUACAGAGAAGGAGUAGAGAAGUCCCCUGAUUUUUCUAAAGCCCAUCUCACUGUGUCUGAUGUUUCUGACAAAGUAAUGUUACCUAUUAGGUUGGUUAGAUUUUCCCACUCUAUUUCCUCUCGAAUUCCAAAAUUCCUUCUGAAAGUCAGGUUAAUGUCCCCAUGCUGAAGAACCUCAAAGACCGACCAUUCUUGUUGAUUGCAUACCUCAAAGAGUUCAGAAAAGGCAAUUUUCAGAGGGCAGUUACCUCUCCAUACGUCUGACCAAAAUCUUGCUUUCUUCCCAUUCCCGAUAAUGUAGAUCAGCCCUCUAGCACAACUAUCCCUUGCCUCUAGCAGGCCUUUCCAAAAUUGUGAUCCAUUCUGCUUAUGGUAGCUAAAGAAUCCCUUCUCGCCUAAGUAUUUCUGUCAAAGAAGGUUACAGCAGAAACUGUCAUCUCCUCUUUCAAUUUUGAAGAUCCACUUAGCCAACAAACAUUUGUUCAUCUCUCUAGUGUUUGUGAAACCUGCCCCUCCAAAUUUCUUUGGUGUAGCCAUCAGGUCCCAUUUUGCCAUAUGAUACUUCCUUUUCAUUUGUGGUCCAUGCUAAAAGAAAUUUGCUCUAGCUGAAUCCAUCUUAUGGUGAAUCUCUUCUUGCAGGAGGUACACACCCAUUGUGUAGUUAGGAAUAGAGCUAAAACAUGAUUCUAUCAGGAUCAUCCCCCCCCCCCCCCCCCAAAAGAAGAUAAUCCAGCACAUUGCCCUGAUCGUGCAUGCUUCUCCCCCUUUUUGGGGUGGCUUCCCCAAGCUUAAAUGGUUCUGUGAUAUGGUUUUAGAGCUAAAACCUCACUGAUUCCUAGUCAACUGACCACAUUGCAACUGAAAAACGUAUCCACUUGUGUUUGUCUUCUCUUGGAUGGCCAAAAACCUUUACACAUUUGGUUAAGUGAUAUCAUCUACGUGGCUGAUCUGAUCCUCCAGGGAGAGAAACUUCAGAUAUGAAAUAUCAAGGACCUGCUUCACGGAAACAACUAUCAAUUUUCCUCUUGGUUCUCGANNNNNNNNNNNNNNNNNNNNNNNNNNNNNNNNNNNNNNNNNNNNNNNNNNNNNNNNNNNNNNNNNNNNNNNNNNNNNNNNNNNNNNNNNNNNNNNNNNNNCAAACGAAGACAAGCCAACACUUUGCCACGUUGACAAUCUCUUCUCCACUUUUUUGGUACACGUAUGCCAAAUCUGAAAUGGUCAUGUGUUCGUUGUUAACCAUUAUACCCAGAUAUUUCAUUGGUAAGCAUCCGACAUUGCAGUUGAAAAGUUAUGCCACUCUGGUUUGUUCCUCUUCGGAUCCUCCUAGAACCUCACUCUUUUGGUAGUUAAUACGCAGAUCAGACAUAUUCUCAAAACAGUAUAAGAGAAACUUGAUAUGUAAAAUAGAUUGGUCAUCUAGCUCUAACAAGACAAUUAUAUCGUCUGCAUAUUGGAGAUGGGUAAUACCGCCCUCUAUCAGGUUUGGAACAAGGCCCUUAAUUUCUCCAGCUUCUCUAGCGUUAUCCAUCAUAAAUCCCCAAUGUACUUUAUCAUAUGCUUUCUCGAAAUCCAAUUUCAGAAUAUUCCCCUUAAGUUUAUUCAGGCCAUGUUUAGUUACUCCCAACUCCCAACUUUGACACUAUGCAAAAAGAAGAUUCCCCAUCACAUCGAACUUGUGGUACAUGCAUGGAGUACUAAAUGUAGAUGAAAUUAAAAACUAAUUGCACAGUUUUGUUGUACUUUGCGAGACGAAUCUUUUGAGCCUAAUUAGUCAAUAUUUGGACAAUAAUUCACAAAUACAAACGAAACGCUACAGUGUGCUACAGUGCUGUAACAGUAAUUUGGCACCUCCCAAAUUCCCCAACUAAACAAGGCCUCACUCUCAAUUCAUGUACCGUCAAGAAUGAAUCCCCCCCCUCCUCUCUGGCUUCCUCUGCGCGCGCGGGGGCCCGCGCAGUCACCGUCACGUUUCAGAAACACAGCAGGCGGCCAGUUCAGGACCAGGCACGCCCCUGCCGCCAGCGCAACUGCACGGCGCGCGCUCGCCGCGGCCUGUGCUUCCUGCUUGCCCGUCCCUGUGCUUCGCGGCUCCUGCGGGAGGACGGAGGAGAGCACAGAGCAGUAGAGCACACGGCUGCGUUGCUGACUUGCUGUUCCUGCCGAGCGCCAAUGCCACUCUCCGUCUCCACGGCCUUCGUUUCGGCUUCCUUCCUGCUCCCUAAAACGGGAGAGUCUCAGAGAGUGACCAGCAACAAUCCAAAGUAUAUCCACUCCCUGUUGCAACAUCAGAGGAGAACACGGGCUAAUUACACGAAACGGAACGAAGAGGCUACCCUGUCACCACUACACACUUUCAGGACUCACCCUACUGUAAUCUGGCUUUCAUCACAGCCACCAGACACGUCCAUCCAGCCAUGCUUCUUUCACCCGUCCGAUGAUGAGCAGAAGCACCAGCCAAAAAAGGGGGGCAAAAGAUCAGAGAACACGCAGAAACUAGUUUCCGCAAAACUACCUACAAGUUUCUCCAUGUUCUGCUCCCAGUCCAUCUGUCUGAACUGUCUGAACCUGCCGCUAUAGCAGCACCGACCCAAGGAGCGCAGCCACGGUGCCCUGAACCGCCACCAUGGACCAGAAACCCGCCCGGGCCAGCGGCCGAGAACCCGACCGACGACGACGCCAUGAGGCUUGAGCUCGCCUCAGGCUUCCUCCCCCCGUCCUCCCGCGCGCCAGCGCGGGCGCCGGGCUCCUGCAGGUCCUUGCACACCACCACCCCGGCGGGCGCGUGGGCCGCGUCCACGGCGGCCACGUCGUAGCACAGCCCCGGGUUGUCCCACGACGCGAACCGCCGCCCCAUCCGCCGGUAGAACCCCGGCGCGAACCCGAGCGCGCCCGUCAGGUUGUUGCCGUUCAGGUACAUGGCGCCGAUGCUGGGCAGCUGCGCCAGCCUCGCCGGCACGGGGCCCGUCAGCCGGUUGUGGUCGAGCGCAAGGAACCGCAGCCCGGACAGCGCCGCCAUCGACUCCGGUAUAGCACCGGCGAGCCCGACGUUGGACAGGUCCAGCGUCGCCAGGCCGGACAGCCUCUCCCACCCGGAGGCCGGCAGGGUCCCGCCCAGCGGGUUGUUCGAGAGCAGCAGGUCCUGCAGCGACGCCAUGCCCAGCACGAACCCCGGCAGGGCGCCGGUGAGGCUGUUGUUCCGGAGGUCCAGCAGCGUGAGGCUCUUGAGCCCGCCGAGCUCCGGCGGGAUGCCCCCUUGCAGUUGGUUGUUGCUCAGGUCCAGCUUGAGGAGCCCUCUCAGAGCACCUAGCGACGGAGGCAGAGACCCGGUUAGAUGGUUCUUGCUCAGGUCCACGAUCAGCUGCUCGUCGUGGCGGCGGGGGUUACCGAGUGUCGCCGGGAUCGGCCCCGACAGCCCGUUCCCGGACAGGACCAGCCGCCUCAGCUUCAGCAGCGCGCCGAGCUCGGCGGGCACGGCGCCUGUGAGGUUGUUCUCGACGAGCACCAGCGACUGCAGGCUGGCCAGGCGGCCGAGGGAGGCCGGGACGGCGCCGGUGAGGCCCGGGUUGGUGCGGAACUCGAGCGUCUCCAGGCUGCCCGACAGCUUCUCCCAGCUGGCGGCGGGGAUCGCCGUGGGGUUGCUCGCCGGGAAGCAGCUGUAGAAGGACAGCGUCCGGAGGCGCCUCAGGUCGAACAGCUGGGGGCUGAACUUGGCGUCAGGGGCGCACUGCAGUGAGUUGUCAAGAACUGGGCCAAUGCUGAUCGAUGUUGGGUACCACAAGCCAUUGAACAAGUCACAUGACACCCCCUGCACAAAUUCAGGCAUCCAAGAACCAGUUAAUCCAAAGAAUUUGAAUUUUACAGGCAAGCAUGCUACAAUCUGAGAUUUACAGCCAGCCAUCAUCAGUUGCAGACAAGGUAACUAACACAUGUUGAACAGUAACCGGAGUAGUUACUGGUAGCAGUAACACAGAGUGGGUUGAUCCAAGAUGGUGCCAUUUCUUAAAGGUACACCUACAAUUUUGGCACCUUCUUAACUGUUACCAGUAACAAUCAAAUUGUAAAUCCGACCAGUGCAUUCUGAAAGGUAAAUAAUUGCAAGAGCAAAUUCGUAUGUGUGGAGUAUAAAAGUAGGCAUGUAUUCAUCAUAGAGAAGAAAAGGCAUGUCUGCAGAGCAAAAGGAAGAAGAUACUAAAAUAGGAGAGUACUGUUCGAGGCAUGUCGAGGAAAUAUGCCAUUUCAAAUCAUCAGAGAUUCUUUUUCAUGUGAGUGGAAAAGCUCCUGCCCAAGAGAUCAGAUCCUCCUAUAUCGAGUAAGGCUGAGGAGUGCGUGAAGACCCAAGGCUGAAGCACCAGCAGAGGUCUCAUCCAACAGUGAAGCGAAUGUGCACAACGAACACUCGAACAGUGGUACAACACUCUUGUCUCUUGAAGCAACAGUUCAGGAACAGAGCGCUUGAAGAACACAAGCAGGACAAAACAGAGGCUACCUAGAACCAGGAAUUUCAAAACCAAGACGAGGAAGAGGAAGGUUCAUGUAAGCAAAACUCCAGGAAAAUUCAAGAAGUUCAGAGCAUCUGAACAAUUGGCAUCCCGAAACAAGACACCUAUCUGGACGUUGCCUGCCUGAGCGUCCUUUCAGGCUUGCAGCGAUGGUUUGGAUUGGAGCUGAAAGCAACAGGGCCGGCAUCACCAAGGAAGGAUUGGCGACCAGCAUGGGCAAAGCAGAACAAAAAGAAACAAAGCGAAGAGCUUUUGAGCAAGCCGAUGAACAGCCCGGUGCCAAGGAAUUGCGCUACAGGGAUUCAUGAGAGAGGAAAAACUGUACUAGUACUAGUCUGCUGCCUGCACACCCAGCAGAGCACACCCAUGGCAACGACUCCGCAGUCAGGCAGGCAGGCAGGAACGCACCUGGAUGGGCGACCAGCCGCAGGGGUCGGGGUAGAUGCCGGAGCCGUUCCACCCCUUGCCGACGAAGCUCUCGAUGGCCGCGUACAGCGCCGCCCGCUCCUUCUCCUCCAUCGGAGCCGUCGGGGAGUCGGACCCGUCGUCCUCCUCCCCUUGGCCCGCGCAGGCGCCGAGCGCUACCAGCAACGCGAGGCCGAGCGCCAGCAGCCGGCGGCCGCGAGCGGGUCUCAUCGCCGGACGAACAGGAGCAGCUGGACACUCGAACAGCUAGCACGCUACUCCCGCUCAGCUCUGGAUCGAGCACGGAGAACACGCCCGCUAUAUACUAGCAGCGGCGGCGGCGGCCAUUGCUCGCUCCUCACUGUGGCGCUGCAGGGUCUCGCGAGGUGUGCCCCUCGUAGGUAGCAAAUAAAUGCGGCGCGGAGGGAGAGCGGAAGGCUGGGCUGCGUGCUGCGGCUGCGGGGAGGACCCGGGACAUUCCCCAAUGCCAAGAGCUGCUCUGGGGAUCCCAAGGCGAAGGCGGCCAGGCGGGCGGCCGCCGCAGAGCGCAGCCGACACUACGACAGGCGGGCGGGCGGGGCGGUGUGCGUGAGUCUGAGAGAGAUUGCGGGAUUGGUUGGGUUUUGUGUGUGUGUGUUCNNNNNNNNNNNNNNNNNNNNNNNNNNNNNNNNNNNNNNNNNNNNNNNNNNNNNNNNNNNNNNNNNNNNNNNNNNNNNNNNNNNNNNNNNNNNNNNNNNNNAAAACAGAGCAAGUACUCAUAUGAGGAAUGAGUACUGAUUUAAAGUUGUAGACAACACAGAAGGAACUUACCGCCAAAUACUCACUACACAGCGGUACAUUUCCAUCAUCAUGGCCUCCGCUCUAUGGUGAGCAGUGGGUCCGUGAUGAGCUAGAUAUCUUCCAAGUUCCCCCACUGUGGCUAUCCACGGGGAUGAGCCGUACCGUAGGAUACAUACGAUGGGACGCACCGACCGGUGAAAAGAUGGCGACGGCGCAGUGGAAAUCCCCGGUGGGCUGACGGGGGUAGCUGGCUCUUUUAUUAACCGAAAUGACUUAGCAGCAGUUGCUUCCUCCCCGAGGCCUUUCUCGAUUUUUGUGCACGAGGCAGCUGCUUCCUCCGUCAGGGAAAAAAAAAACGAGUGACUGGAUGUUGCUAGUUGCCGCUGAGAUUUAUGGGUUGUUUGAGAUUAUUACUAGCGGUGUCGCUUCGAAUGCUAACUAUAGGAUUAAAUAUGAGUUAAUUAUAAAAUUAAUUGCAGAACCCUAUGCUAAUUCGCGAGAUGAAUCUAUUAAACCUAAUUAAUCUAUCGUUAGUAAAUAGUUACUGUAUCACCACAUUAUCAAAUCAUGGACUAAUUAGGCUUAAUAGAUUCUUCUCGCGAAUUAAACUCUAUCUGUGCAAUUAGUUUUGUAAUUAGCUUAUGUUUAAUACUCUUAAUUAGUAUCAAACAUCUGAUGUGAUAGGUGCUAAAUUUUAACAGAAGUAUUCAAACUGAUCCUUGAUUAGUGCCAUUAUUCGAUUUCACUCUACCACCUGCAUGGUCAAGUAAAAUGGGACAUGUUCGCAGGCAACUUGCAAGCAGCGUAUGCUUCAAGGCAAAUCAUUCAGGGUUGCAUCCAAACAUGCCCUCGCUGCCUGGGUAGUACAGUAGACACGAGCGAGAAACAUCUUAUCUCGUGUCUAUUUCAUACUUAUUAGGAUCGGAUCGGACAAUGAACCGGUUGAACUCUCGGUUCGUGGUGGUUCAACACGGUUCAAAUAUGGUAACUUAUCAACCAAAAUCAUAAACAUAGUUGCAUCCUGAUGGUUGCUAUCCACGCUACCGGAGGCAAGGGUGGGGGGUUCGAACCCCAGCCACACCAUUUUCUUCCUUGUGCUCGGUUUUCUCCAGUUUGUACCGGUUUCUUAUCCGAUUUUAUACCGGUUUCUUGCUAAAAACUGCCGGUUUCUUAUCCGAUUUUAUAUCGGUUUCUUGCUAAAAACUGCCGGUUCAAUCGGUUUUUCCCGGUUCAAUUACUUAUCCGAUCUUUUAGGUUUCCCGGUUCAAUUACUUAUCCGAUCUUUUAGGUGGACCGGACCGGCCGAGACUCUGGUUCGGUCUUUUACCGAUCGGACCGCCAGUCCGGUCCGGUCCUAAUAACUAUGGUCCAUUCUACCGUUGUUGCGGACGCGUCCGGCGUCUCCCUCCCUCCCUCUCUAUAUCUCUCUACUCUCUCUCUCAAAAUAAAUACACUUCUAGAGUUUGGAUAAAGAUAUCAAUAUUUGUGAGAAAUUAUAUAUAUACCUCUAUAAAGAUGUAAUCAUCGCACCUUGGGAGGAGAGAAAGUAGAAAAAGACAACUAGAAUUGGGUGGUUCCAUUCCUAAAUGUACACUUAUUUUGGGACAAAUUUUAAACUUUAGGACCAGUUUGGUGUAGCUCCAAAUGACUCCGACUUCGGGGGUGUUUGGGAAGGGGUGCUAAACUUUAGCACCUCACUUUUAGCACACUUUUAGCACUUGAACUCCCAAACAGGUGUGCUAAAAGGCGAGUGCCAACGUUUAGCACCCUUAUUUUCUUUAGCCCACCCAAGGGGUGCUAAUGGGUGCUAAAAGUGGUCUCAAGUCCACUUUUUCCCUAGUUGCCCCCCCUCUCUCCUCUCCACUUUUCCCCAAGCCAAUCAUAAAUGAGGGUGAUGUAGUCAUUUCUCACAUAGGGUGCUAAACUUUAGCACUGUAUCCAAACAACCCCAAGUGCUAAAUUUUAGCACUCCAUUUGAGGGUGCUAAAGUUUAGUACUGUGCUAAAGUUUAGCAUUAUGUAUCCAAACGGGAUCUUCCUCUGACAUUUUACUGUUCACGCAAGUCAUUUUUCUCUCUCCCCUCCCUCCCUCUUACAGAUCAAGGAGUAGCCGGUGGAGCCAGAUUUUAUUACUCCUCCAACUCCGACUUCUCGGAUGCCAGUGGAGGAGCCGGAGUCCGCGGGAGCUCCACCAAACUGGCCGGCGUGGGAGGGAGUGCACGUCUACAAUGGCUGACCAGUGGUAUGCCAAGUAGUAUGCGAUGGCUGACAUGUGGGCCCCGGCUGUUUAAUAAACGUGGCAUUAGGGAUGGCCGCGGCACCCAAGCCUAGGCUCAUUCACGGUUCACGCCUCUCUUCUUGAGCUACCCAACAAGAGAUUACGUAGCUGAGGCAGAGCGGCUUUACUCCCCUUUGCAGAGCGCAGUGAGAGGCCGCAGCUCGAGCUGAGGUAGCUGCUCCGUUGGCUGAUCCGUCGUCACGUUGCCCAACCCACACACAUGUCUUGACACACCCGCCCCCAGCGGUAGAGCAGGCGUAGAGUCGUAGAGGGUGUAAAUACGGAGCGAGCAGUCGUCUGGAUCUGGCGUUCUGCGAGACUGCGACGGGUAGCGUGCGUGCCCAGCGGCGUCGUAGCGGCGCCAGCGUGACGGAGACCGAUGGCGACGCCUACUCUACUCCGAUCCUGCUCGAUCCGCCUCCGCUCCUAGUCCCAUCCCUACUCGGGCCCGGCGGCUACCCCCUGCGCCUACGCCUCGUGGCAGCAGCGGCUAUGGUAUCGGAAAGGAAAGGGUGCAGCACAGACCAGAUCGCCAGAGCAAGAGGGAACGAGGACAUGGACGGAGCGUGCGAGCUAGAGCCACAGGCAGCUGUCCGUGGAGCACAGGAGCAGGCGCACGCGCCGCGGCUUGGUGCGCGCGCGGCCGCCGGUCAGUUGCAGCCUGCUAGCCCGGGCUGCUGGGGCAUGGCAUUAGGCAUUAGCCAUUGGCAUUGGCUUUUGGCCCAUGGGGCCGACCGGCCGGGGAGCCUUGUCGAGUCGUACGUACGUUCACGCCGCUCGAAACAAUGGCGCAGUGCGAUACCUCGGGCCGCCACUGCUCCUCCGGUGCUCCAUCUCUCCCACCCGGUGGAUACAGAUAACUGUGUGCCAUUGUUUCGAGCAGGAGCCAGUACGGCCAGGUUAAUCCUCUUCCCUGAAGGCCUCAGAGCAAGAGCAAUAAUUUAGCCAGCGACCGGCUGCAAGCCCAUGCCAUAUCAUAUCACAAGGAUAGGAGACGGAAGGGGCGGCAUCUCGCUCGUAUGCGGGCUGGGAGAAGGCUGGGAGAGUUAAUUUUUUCUCGUACCUUGCGCUCAAGUCGGGCGAGAUGGGAAGCGCCGGCUCCGUAGUCUCUCUCCGACGUGGCCUGUUUUUCUGCCGAUGUGGACUUCUCCCAGCCGGCUUAUUCACGUUAUUAUACUUGCUCUUAAACCAUGUGUGCCGGAUGGGCAAAUCCAGGCACGCAGCAUGCAUGCAACCUCCUCCAGGGCUGACAGCCUGAGCAACGCGCACAGUCCCUGCCACUGGGUUCAAUUCACUAGCCGCACGGGCUAAUAUUUUAAAAAUUAUUGUAUUUAAAAUUAUUUAGAAAUUAAACUCGUAGCUAAUAAUCAAAAUUAUUUACCUACACCUCUCUUUUUUUCAAUACCUCAACAUAAUACUCAUAUAGAUGUGUACUUAUCUUUGCCCAGAUGUGAUUGAUUUUUAAUUAGUAAUUACUCUAUACAUUUUUUCAUCUAUAUUCACACUUUUUUUAUUUGUAUCGCACCUCCAUACAUUAUGUUUAGCAUAAAAAUCAAUAUUUUUCAUCACUUCCUAUAUACAUGUAUAAGUGGUUUACAUGGUGAUGGUUUACAUGGUGACACUCAUCGUGCCUAUAUACCUUGACUUAGUAUUUCGAUAUUAACAAUGACAUAAAUAAUGACAUAAGUAGUAAUUUAGAAUCGUAUGUUAGUUUAUUUUCGGAUAUUUUUGUACGAUGCACAUGAAGAUCAUUAGAUAAGAAUUAGGUGUUUACUUUAGAUUAUUUUUAAUAACGACGUACAUGGGUAACUUAGAUACAAAUUUAGAAUGACAUUUUAAGUAAUGCUUUAUAAUCAUAUGCACGCGUAAAUUGGAUGAAGAUUAUGGGGUUACUUUGGAUUUUUCAUAAUGGCGGAGCUCGGUAAUUUAGAUAUAGGUUAAUUUAGAUAUAGGUUUAAGAUUUAUUUUAGAAUAUUUUCAUAAUGAUAGUGGUGGGUAACUUUUUUAAAAAAUAUAAUAUAACAAUUACUAUGAUUAUUAGAAUUUACAGGAUUGAUGUUUUUGAUUUUUGUGAGAAUUUUUAGAAUUUGUCUUUUUUUCUAGUGUGUCUCAUCAGAACUAUUGCGGAGUCUCCAAUGAGAAAACAAUGAGGCCACAUUGCUACAGAACUAUUACCUUGCGCUACUUCUCAUUUGUUAAAUUUUCGAGCACAAUACUUAUAUAGAUAUAUACUUAUUAUCUUCAUCCGACUGCGAUAGAUUUUAGUUAGUAAUUUCUCUAUAAUAUUUUCAUCCACAUUUAUAAUCUUUAACUUUUAACUUUGCACUGUGUAUAUGAGCUUGAAUUUAUUUAAUGGACCCUAUGUUUGAGCUAUAAUUUUAACAUAAACAUUUAUAUUCAUCACUGCCUCUGUAUCUUUAUAAGUGGUGACACAUCAUGUCUAUAUACCUUAAUAAUUAUAUCAUAUACCAAUAGUGUAAGAAAUAGAUGAUUAAAAAUCAUAUAUUGGUUAUAUUUUUAAUUAAGUUGAUUUGGAUUCAAAUGUAGGGUUAGCUCAUGUUAUUUUAGUAAUGGCAUAUAUGUGGGUAAUAUAAAUGCAAAUUUAAGGGGUUCACUUUAAAUUACUUUUUAAGUAUUAGUGGUGGGCAAUUUAGUUGCAAAUUUAGGGGUUAUUUUAAAUGUUAUUUAUAAUGGCAUAAGUGGGUAAUUUUGAUGAAGAUUAGGGGGUUACUUUAGUUUGUUUUAUAUAAUGGUAGAGGUGGGUAAUUUAGAUAUAGAUUUAGGAGGUUAUUUUAGGCUAUUUUCAUAAUGGCAGAGGUGGGUAUUUUUUUAGAAAAUAUAAUAUAUCCAAUGGCUAUAAUGAUUUGAGUCUAGCUAGAUGUUUUGCUUUUCUUAUAGAAUUUUUAGAUUUUUUUUUUCUAUAGCGUUCACCUAGGAUUCUAAGUGGCUUGACCUGAAGGGUUAAAGAAACCUCCAAUUUUAGUAAAAGUAAGAUUUCCCAAAGGUCGUAUGGGAUCCAGCCCCGUGGUUAAGGAGCAGUGACACGGGGGAGUACGAGCGGUGCUGCCACGGAGGCGCCCGGGGGGGGGGGGGGGGGGCGCGCGCGAGGAUACAGUAGUGUCCUCCUUCUGUGCGCGAGCUCGGAGCAGUGUUUUCCAUCGCAGGCGGAUCUGGAGUCCCGUAUGAUACGGGAACUGAUACCGGCGCUGGCUGACGCUGCUGCAGGGAGGGAAGGCUCGCCGUUGCCAGUUCGCCACUGUGCACUCUAGCAGUUGCAAAGCCAACGGAGCGAUUCAUCGCUCAACAGUGCCACUCUGACGUCACAACAGAAGAUCUUUUUUCCUUAAAAAAAUAAACCAAAUGAGGAGGAAAUGGGGGGAAAAUAAUGGGUCUCGCUGGGGCGUCGAGUGAUACAGGAAGGCCAUUGAAAACCUGGCGGCUGAGCCGAGCGUACCAGGAGGAGGCACCGUCCCAUGUUCUCCCAGUACGGCGAUUUUUACCGGACGUAGCGUCAGACGUCAGUACAGUACACCAGCGUCGCGAGUGGUGUAUAUGAUUGACUCUCUCGAGAGCCUUUUCUUUUCUUUUCUUUUCUUUUCUUCUUCUCUAUCUGAUCGAAAAAUGAUUGGAUCUUGAUGUGUAGGGUCCCUCGCGGUAGCGGCAGGAAUGCAUGCAUGCAGCAUGUGUGGUGUGAGCUGGGGGUGGGGCUGCGUGGGGUUCUUGGCUUUGCGGAUUUGCUGCGGCGCGCCCGCUGCGCGGGGACAGAAAGAGCGAACAAAAGAGGGGGAGGCCGGUGUGGGGAGGAGGAACUGCGCGGCACAGGCGCACAGCUGCAGGAGGCGGGCCCCACGGCUAGUCGGCUAGAGCUCCUUUUGCAUACACGCCAUUGUUGCCACUAAUAGCGUCUUCAAUGGCACGAGAUAGCACUAGAAAAUAAGCGAGAUUAUCUUUUCGGCUCUGCUUAGAAAGAAGAGGGCCGUUAAAGAUCUCCUCCUGCUCUGCUGCCUGCUCUCGUCAGUGGCUCUCUCUCUCUCUUUUUAAUUUUACUUUGUGAUGCCCCUGAGCUUUGCACCCUCCGAUUCAUUCUCUCUCUUUUCCCCUUUCUUUUUAUGCAAAAAAAAGGAAAACAGAGAGAAGUAAACGCGUCUGCUUCGCUAGGGAUCCCCGACUGGACAAAUAUUGAGCUACGGACGCAACCGGCAUGCAUGCCGUUGCCGUGUCUGCCUGGCCUGCUACCCGUCCGAAAGGAGAAACUGACCCUGUCGACCAUGGCGCGUGGUGCAGCCGUACGUGCAGGACGCGGGCGGUUGUUAAACUCCAGAGCAACCAUCUGCGCGGCCGACACGUGCCCGUGCUGCCCUUCGUCCUUUCGGAAAUUGGAAUGCCAACCGAACAGCACGAGAGGCGCCAGUGCAGUGCAGCAGCCACGUCCGCAGCACAAGAGGAACGAGCAGCACCCUGCUGAAAAGAGAAUCGUCGAGUACUACGAGCACAGGCAUCUGCGAGACAGGUCUCUCCGAGCAUGCGAUGCAAGCGGCAUGGUGCGCCGCAGCUGAUCGGACAAGGGAUUAAAGGAAGGAAUAAAGAGCUGCGGCGGGACGGAGCGACGGCGACACGGGAUCGGCGGAGGCGGCGACCGGCGAAAGGAAGGAGGCGGUAGAUGGCGGGAGGUAAUGCGACGUAGGCCUGCAACGCGCUAGCUGCCGCAGGCCGCAGCAGCCUCCCAGAUCCGAUCGGAUAGGAUUGGCCGGGCGCUUUUGUUCCGGUAGUGAGUGGAGGCCUGGGGGCAACUGGCCCCCGGGCCUGCCUCUAGCUACUAGUAGCAGCAGGCGACGGGACCAUCCAUCCAUCGCUGCGCGAGCUGCGAGCAUGGACGACGCCGUAGUCACCGAGGCAGCGAGCAGGGGUAGGGGGUGCAUGAGCGGCGCAUGUGAUUGGGGCCCAUGCCACCGCCUCCGGGACGGAGGAGCAAUCAUGGGUAGGGGACCUCCCUCCCUCCCUGCCUGGUGGUAGGGGAUCAUCAUUCACUCGACGGAAGAAGCGGAGUGAUGGCAUGGGGGCGGACCGGCGGAGUAGGAGCGGACGCAGCGGCCGGCCUCGUGCCAUCCCCCCGCGAGAGCUUCGGCAGAUGGAGUCGGAGUUGGGGAGCGUAUGCGCUGUGUGCGCUGCACUGCAUGGAGGGCGGGGGUUUCUGGUUUCGGAACGUUUCUAUUCCUGGCCUGCCCCAGCAAGCGGCUGCGCGCUUUUAUUUACUGCGCGCCGCCUCUGCUCUCGCCGCCCAUUUCUUACUGUUCAUCCGGUGAGUGUUCGCCAGUUCGUGGAUGCAUCCUCGAUCUGCAGGCACAGUGCCUCUCGCCCAUGGGGUCCUGUUUAGGACGCCGGACUUCUGCGUCAAUGAAUUCUGCGAGAAAAAAAAAAGGUCGACAGCAGAUGAACAAGUCAAAUCCCUCUUCAACUUCAACUGGAGCUACAGUUUUCCUUUAACAGGAUCCUGCACCUUCCAAAAUGGGGGCAAUGAACUUUGGAUGCCCGGAAGGAUCGAAGCUGGUCCAAAAUAAAGCCUGAAGUCGUUAGUCUCCCUCGUCUCGCACGAUCUGAUGAGCGAGUUCAUUACAGUACGGCACUCAUAAGCUGCAGCAGUACUGCAUGCUUAAGCGUAGCUGCCAAAUUACUGUUCGGGUUUGGUAGCGUCAGUACGUGCCGGUUUUAAGACCGGUGCGGAAGCAGCUUGCGAGCAGGUGAGAGCUCUCAAGGGCGUCCCCUGUGCGGAGGAGCAGGUAGCGGCACCAGUAACCACUGACCAGUUUGGCCGGCGACGACGAGCCCAUCCGGCCAUUCCCCUCCUCGCGUUUCCGUCCGUCCGGUGGGCGGCGGCGGGAUGGUCAGGGAAUGGUACGUUCGUACGCCGCCAUGCAUGGCGACAGUCAGGAUCCCACAUGACUUUGCCGGGGCCGUAGGCCACUGCACUCGGUAACUGUAUCUGUAUGUACCAGCGGGUCGACUGCUUUUCCAAAGUAGAUUCCGAAUCGUACGUAUGGUUGUAGAAUGAGGCCACAACGGUUAUGCUUUGUGCUCAGAACAUAAUGUGUUUUGAAAGCAAGCAAGCAAUCCGGUUCCUGUUCGAUGCUUCCAAAAUCCAUGCAUUCCGUCGGCAUCAAGAUCUGGAAUUUUUUUUCCCUUAAAGUUUACGGUUCAACUUUGAGACCAUAGCGAUGGAGACAUGGAGUCUCGGACUCUGGGUAACCUUGCUGCCCCUUCAACUCUGACGAUAACUAACUUGUUGAACAUGUAGUAAGGUAACAUGUUUGGGCCAUCCAUGGAUGCCCAUGAAGGAGCCUUAGACGAUGACGUUUCGGCCCAGGGCUUGCUGCACCUGCGUGUGGUGGCCUCUUGCUUUGUUGGUAUAAGGCCCAUGGAAGAAAUGAUAUUUUUUUUUCCAUUUUCCAUGACCAAAAUGAUUACCAAAUCACCUCCAAACUUCAUGAAGCGUUUUCUAGUGAUAGAAAAAAGAUAAAAGGAUCCAUUUUGAUCCAAAACCACACACGUACAAUUAAUAUUCUAAAACUAAAAAUCACCCAAUUAUGCGACUUUUAAAAAUUUUGUCCGAUUCAUGGCACCAAAAUACUUUCUCGAAAUAAUGACAAAAUAGAUAAUAUUCUUCAAAUGGGAUGCAUCAAUUUAUAAAAUUAUUUCUCAUCGUAAGUUACAUAUAUUUCUCUAUGUAACUUAUGAUGGAAAUAGUUUUAUAAAUUAUUGCAUUCAUGUAAGGAAUAUUAGAUGAAAUCCAAUAAUUUUUGGAAAGAAAUUGGUGUCAUAAAAAUUCAGAUAACUUUCAAAAGUAACAUAAUGCGGUGAAUUUUAAUUUUAAAACCAUAAUCGUACAUGUGUGUUUUCUAAGCAACAUGGGUUCAACUCCAAUUGUCGUAUCACUGGAAAAAUAUCCAUGGAUUUUUUAGGUGAUUUGGAGGCCAUUUUGGUGAAGAGAAAUAGAAAAAGGAGGAUUGGUUAAUGUUCACCCUACUUAACCGAUGGAAGUAAUGUUCAAUGACCUGUCUCAAUUUUUACUAGAAAAAUUGGUGUCAUGGUAAGCGAACGAAUUGGGAGUGAGCGGACUUGGCUAGGGAUCGUAGCCACGCAUGGGCAUGAUGCUAGUUUAAAACAAACAUAACAAAAUGGUAGGUGCUAUAAAAUGGUAUGAUAUCCAUAGUCAAAUUAUGGGGACAAAAAAGGCAAAUUCAUUUGCAAAUAAAAAAAGAAAGCUAAGCGAUCAGCUCUAAAGCCCCCUGGUCCCCGGACACAAAAGGCUUCCAUGGUGCAUCGCAACAGCACAGUAAUCUUCGACUGUGGCCAGAUCGCCCCAGGUUCUUGUCUUUGGAUCAUAUGCUGUGAGGACCCCUGCCUCCUCCACCCAAACAACGAUCCUCCCGUCGCUUGAAGCUACUAGUAGUGGAUAAAAAAAAUACACUCAUGGCGCUCCCUCUCGCAUGUAGAGAAACAACCCGUGAGUAAAUCCAGUCAGGCGCCCACCGCAUGGAGUAUCGUCCACAGGGCCUCCUCCAAGAACCAGAGAUCUGUGGAUGAAUCCUCCAUGUUGCAAUGGACUACGACCAGGCAGCCGCUCAACCCGGCUAGCCGGAAAUACCUCAUGUGUUCAAAGGGAAGCAGCUUCUUGCCGGUGCUGUAAUGGAGAGGGUGCUCACAGGCCCCUGUAACACCAUAGGGUUCCACUCCUCCGACGCCAUGUCGAACGAGGCCAUGCAGUCAGGCCCUACGUCGACGAGAACCUGACAAACCGAGAAGUAGGCGACGCCGCCGCCGACCACCGCGUGGCACGACAGCGGCACGAUCAUCACCGGAGCGUACGGCCUCGCUCUCCACCUCACGUCGCCGAGCGUCGUGACGUGGCACGUGGUCAUGAAAGCCUUUGGUGCGCUGGUCCAUGAACAUGCGGACGCGGAGCACCUUGUACUCGCCGGUUGAGGGGACGUGCCCGAGAAUGUACGCCGCCGGCGAGUGCAGGAUCGCCGGCGCGCAGCUUAUGCCGCCGGGCAGGACCGUCGCCGCGCCAGUGGCAAGGUCGAGCACGCAGGCUUCCCCCGUGGUUUCUGACGACGAGGUCGACAUGGUCACGGUGUGUGCUUAUUAGGCUGAGGCCGGCGGGAUCCGCGAGGGGUAUGCGCUUGAGGACGUUGCCGGACAGGGUGGCGCGGAUCUCGUGGCGGCCGCGGUGGAGGUCGACGAGGAUCGGGUGGCGCGGUGAGUGGGCGGCGGCGAAGAGCCGGUCGGAGGUGAGCUACCGCCAUGACCGGCAGACGAGGUGGAGGCGGGCAACGGCGGAACCAGGGCGGCCGGCCGACGGUGCGUGCGUUGGUGCUGCAGGUCGCCCACGGGUGCCGAGGAUAAGGCGUCAGGGCUGCUGAGGCCUGAUGGUGGGCUGGGCCGUAUCGCCAAACUCGAUUGGUACGUCUCGGCCCACGUAUCACAUUUUUUCAUAUUUAUUACUAGGAAUGUGCCCGUUGCUACGGACAAAAUAAAUUCCCUUCAUAAUGACCAGAACCAGAAGGAAAAUGCCUCUCAAAUAUGUCCGCGACCAUGUUUCCAACCAUAAUAAUCAUUUUGCAUUCAUACAUUCAACCACAAUCAAUAUUAACUUGUCAUGCACAUAUAAAUCCAAAUCUCAUUCCAAUACACAUCCAUGAACGUGUCCCAAUUGUUCAUUAUUAUAUUUCAAAAAAGACAUAUGUCAUGUGUACAAGACCUACCAUUUGUCACGUACAUCCACUUGAGUGGUGAACAAUGUUGUGGAACCAAAAGGUUCUGUUUAAGUUUGCUAGUUACCAAAAGUAUCCCUCCAUCAAGAACCAAAAGAGCCCCAAAGUAUGAAGGAUCAUGUAAUCCUUAACUCCCCUCCGUUCCAUUCCAUGACAAUGCUUCCUUUAGUUGACAAUAGGUGAACUGACUGUAACGAAGAAUAUGACAAGUCAGUUUGCAAAUUUAGCAAGGAAAAAUACAUGUACUGCUGUACAGGUGAUACCAUAUGGUUAUGUUGAACUAAAUCAGGCUUAGAUUUAAACUAAAUUUGGUUAUGUAGUGUUGCCCUGUUAGCACAUGAAUGCUGCAUGUUGCUUAUGCUGGACAGGUUAUGGAAGUAUGCCACCACCAUUUUGUGCAUCAGUUAGACAUGAGCUCAAGCAGAGUAUGGCACAAGUGACAAAGGUACAGAUUUAUAUUCAAAUUCAGCAAGAUAGACAAUCAUUCAAAUAAACACUGCAAAUUUAUGGUAGGAACUUACCUUCAAAAUAUAUUCUUUGAUGAAGAAUCUAAAGCUAAAUGCAACUAUUUAAUUUUCCUAUGUAUUAUUGCAUAUGGCAGUAGCCAAAUUAUUUGAUUCAAGUAAAAUAGUUUCUGCUUCUACCUGCUCAUCAGACACAUUAUCCCAAUGUUAUAAAGUGAUUCCUCAAAGACACAAGUAGUUAUCCCAAUGUUAUAAAGUGAUUCCUCAAAAACAAAAUACUAACUUCAGGUGUGCAAUAACCAACCAGAAAAUCAGAAAAUUACGCAAUCCAACCUUUCUCUGAGCACGCAUCUUCUUAAAAUAAAGUAGCAUAUUACUGGCUUGCUAUUCUACUUCUUUCCUGUAAGCAGUUCCCGUGAGUCUGGGAUAAAAUUUACCACCAAUAAAAGAAGGAAAAUGGCGAGUUAGUACUCAAAUAUUGUUUUCGCACUUGCAAGGCUACAGAAAAGUUUCAGUCUAUUGGUGCAGUCUGCCGAAUCAAACAGUAGGCCUGGCAAAUACUUGGUUCAGUAUAAGAAGAGAAUCCAAAUUAUAUAUAGUUCAAAAUGAUGGAUAUUCUUCACCAGGUUUAUGGAAAACAUUAGUCUCAGUACAUCACGGCUAAUUAUCUACAAGACCGAGAAAGAACUUAUAAUUUUCUGGCAACAGUAAGCAACAUGACAAGAUCAAAGAUGAUGACAGGAACCAAUGUACCUGGUAAAAACUAAGAGCAAAAAUGUAUGCAUAAGUAGCCAGACUGUUAUGUAUCAGACAUGCAGAACUGACCUCUCUCUGGACGUGGUCCAUAUGUUAAGCAUGGUUGGCUAGAUACAAAUGAACACAAUCACAUAGUAAUGCACUGUCAUGUAAGGUCGUUCAGUAUACAACCAAAAUUCUAUGUAUAUCAGUAUAUCUAUUGCCGAUUGCCCCUAUUGUGCAACAUAAACCAUUGCAAAAGCAUAGCGAUUUCAAAAUUUUGGUACACCUCAGUACCUUACCAUGCUCUGGUUUCAAGAGGUUACCUUCCUAGAAUGCCAUAUACUAUUCCAGUUCUACACUUUGUCUGGCCCCUCUUUCGUCUCCGCCUGUAACUUACUACGCACGAAAUCUCCAGCCAGGCUAUUAGAGGAACUUGACUCUUCUAUGCAGAUGGAACUUCGCCAGCAGGCUUAUCCUCAAGAGCUCUAGCUGCAGGUUUGUCAAACGGUUUCACAGGCUCAGCAGCAGAGGACAUGUCAAGAAUACAAGGCAGACAAGUUAGGUUUAAUUAUCUCAAGAAUUUGUAUGUACACAUAUCUAUGAAAAAAAGCCAUGUGUAAAAUCAUUUUCAAAUAUAAGGCCCAAUUGCACAAAGAGGUAUUUAUAGAUCACAAGACAAAGGACAUUAUUGCUGGCCUUUUAAGAUGCAUUUAGGUUACAAUACAUAGCAGCUUGUUUCAGACGAUAGUUGCUAACACAUAAUCAAAGAAGAACUCCAUCAAGUAAUGCAGAACACCACGCUGAGGAUUGCAUAUUUGCAUGCUCACAUUUGAGAUGAACUAAAAAAUUUCAAUAGGGCCUGAAGCUUUCAUACUUCUGUAGUUAUGUUACAAUCCAUAGUUUUCUAUAAAAUGAUGCAAUCGAUAUGAACACUGUAGUUUUCUCAUUGCCCGACAGGUAACAGGUUCCAAGUAGGUUGUGUACAAUAAUAUAUCUAUGCUUUUACUUUUCAGGCAAAGACAUAACCGCUCAACCUGAGAGCUUGAGGCUAGGUUUCUGAAAGAAAAAAAAACUGUUCCUAAUAAAAGAAAAAAAAUCUACAAGCCUUUGAAGGAAACAUAAAAGGUAGUAUACUAAAUUGACAGCAGCAGCCUAGCCUGUUCUGUUCCACGUGAUGAUCCAUCCAACAUUGCUAUCCAGAACUGCAACAGCUCCACAAUUACAACCUAAGAGAGAAAUUGAAUGAAUACAUGCAUCCAACAGUUUCAUAGUAUUAACAGAACUUUCUUUUUUUGUUACCUCUUGCAAGAUUACUCAAAACAUAUUAACAAUGUGUGCACUAAAUUGACAAUUUCGCACCCAAACAUCCAAACUUUCCAAAGCAGAGUAAACCUAAUUUCAGAUCCAACAUUUAGCACUGAUUUCAGCUAUCCCAUGGUCGAAGCUGCUAGAGUUCAGCUAACCCAACCAUGAAUUCUACCCCCAAUCACAACAUGGUCCAAGGCAUCUCAUACAGGAGGCAAUAGGCUAGACAAUAUAUCAUUAAAACACCAAUCCUUUGCAGCACCGUUUCGUGGAAGAAUCCGGCAUUGUUUCAUUGCAGAAUCAACCAAAAAUAAAUCAAGCGUGUGUCAAGUGAAAGUAUAAUUUUUUUAUUAUCCUAAAAAAGAGUUGCAGGCAGCAAAGCACAAAAACCAUUGGGCUCCCAGCCGGCCACAAAAUUGCCAUGAUGGCUCAUGCCAUCUCGUGAUAUGAUGACUGGAAAGGAAAAACUAAUCCCAUGGCCAUUCAAUCCUACGACGAUUGAUACGAAUUGGAUCAAAUUGGAUUGGUCGAAUGGAAUGGACAAAAAUCAUGGAAGUGAUUACCUAAAGGCUUGCACGGGCAGCGUGUUGCUAAACUUGCAGGCAGAGACGUCCAGAUGCCGCGGCCGGAACAGAUGCAGUCGUCGCCGGUUUGUUGCCAGAGAAGAUGGUUCGCACGGAUCCCCAUUCCUACAGCCCAUGCACCAUCGGCGGGACGGUUGGCGAUGGAGUUCCGGCGGGGGAUGGGGCGUCACCGGUGGGGGAUGGAGUGAGAGAGGAGGCGGAGAUCGAGCGAAGGAGGCGCCGCCCUAGGGAGGAUGGCGACCUUGCGGCGCUUGUACCUGGGGCGGCGCUGCCCGGGGUCGGCGCCCGCGCCGGCGGCGGAGGGCGAGGUGCGCUCGGCGUCGGCCUCCGAGUCCGAGGAGAAGAACAUCUUGGGGCGCCAUAGGGUUGCGGCGAGUGGAGCGAGGCCACGACGUCGAGGAGGUGGAUGGAGUAGCGGAAGGAGCGGAUCUUGACGUCGCGCGGGGCGGCGCGGUCGGCGGUGAGGCGCUCGAUGCCCAGCUCGAGAUUGGCCACCACGGCACGCUGCGGCGGUGGCAAGGCAUACUUCUCCCUGAGCUCACUAAGGAACUCAGCGUCCACCAGUAACCUCCCCGCCGACCGCGCCACCGUCAGCGGCCUCCUCCCCUCCUUCCCCUUCCAAGCCAGCGGCGGCGAUGCGUGCCUCCGCCUGCACGACCUGGAUCUCGACUCCGCCCCGCACAGCGUUGCGCAGAGCAGGCCGAUGCGGGAGGGGAUGGAGCUGAGGAUGGGCCCCACUUUAGCGUGCGGUAGAUUAAGUUCCGAGAGGAAGCAGCUUGUAGUCUACGGUGUACGGUGGACAGGGUCUACGUAAAGGGUAUGUUAUUGAUGGAAUAAUCUACACCAUCAGUUUUGGAUCUAAGGAUUGCAACAUCAUCUCCUUGCCCCAGCAUAGGAUGCCGACGACCAUUCACGGUGGCGCCAUGCAUGCUGCUCGUGUGCUCGGCCGGAGCAUCGCCGGAGACACUGGAGAACGGCAUACGGUGCACAAAAAUCGACGGGGAUAGGUAAAAUGGAACCGUCUUGGGAUAGGGAUCUCACCUUUGGUGACUCGGAAGGCCGCAGCAGCCAGCAGCACAACACGGACGUAGAAUGGAGAGAGGGCUUUGUUGGGCUCGGAUGAGAUGUGGCGGCGUGGCUGCCUAAUGGUCCCGCGACGCCGGCUCCCUGGACAUCUGUGGCGAUGGCGACUGUCCACGGCGUCGGGCGCCGUGUGGUCGAUGGACGACGGCAACUCGCCGCCGAUGGAUCACGGCUGCGACCGGGGAUUGGAGAGGGCGUCGUGCGGUGGCGGCGGAUAGGAGUUAAGGGGGGCGCUCGGCCGAUCGUAGGGCUUAGGAUCGUCACUCCUCUCCGUGGGACGGUCGUGGGCGCUGGUGGGUCCUCUACAUCGAUCGGAGGGUGCUGGUGGUCUCGUCGCCGCUUCUUCCGGAGACGGACGGCGAAAAUUAGAUGCAGCACGGUACUAUGGAGCCGAGGACCCCCGACGUACGCACGUUUCGUCGCCUUUUUGCUUUUUUUUUAAGGAGGAGUAGAGAAGAGAAGAGAUUUUUAUAGCCUAUACUUCUUGAUAGUACGUAUCCGUAUCGUAUACGUAUCCGAUACAGGAUACGCUACGUAUCCGUGUUACAUACUCCUGUAUUUAUCCAAUUAUCCUGUCCUCGUGUAUUCACACACAUCAAUUGCCAUCGUCGGUGGACCAUCUAACAAACAAACCAAAAAACAAAGUCAACGGCCGCGGCCAGCGAAACAGCAAUUUGGGCGGCUCGCAUGUAACGACAUCGAUUCAAGGGAGCGGCGGAAGUUGACACCCCACCUCAGUGGCCAGGUCCGAUCCGGCGAAGAGCGGCGGCGCGAUUCCCGCCGGCGGCGGGCGGUGAGUCCUAGCUGUCUCUCGUACUCCCGUUCUUUAAUUUGUGCGGGUCCCAAGAUCGAGAUCCUACUCUUAGGCCAUGGUUUUCUAGAGCACCACCAUUCUACUCCUCACGCCACUACUAUUGGGGUUCUUCAGAAAUGUUCCACGCGCAUACACAGCAACCUUACUCGCAAUCUUGCAGGGACGGAUUCAUGGAGGUGGUGAUGGGGGUAAUGUCGAGGCUCAUCCUCAAGAUUGGGGAUCUGCUCGUCGGCGAGUACAAGCUGCAGAAGGGGGUGAAGGGGGAGAUCAUGUUCCUCCAACCUGAGCUCGAGAGCAUGCAGGGCGCCCUGAAGGAGAUAACCAAGGUUCCGUCAGACCAGAUUGACAGCCAGGACAAGGCCUGGGCCAGCGAUGUGCGAGAGCUCUGCUACGACAUAGAGGACAGCAUCGACACAUUCAUGGUGCGCUGCACGGGCAUUGAGCCUGCAGGGCCGGAUGGCAUGAGGGGGUUCAUUAGCAGGAGCCUUGAUUUGCUGACAAGGCUCCGGAUGCGCCGCAAGGUUGCUACUGACAUCAGGGACAUCAAGAGGCGUGUCAUUGAGGCGGGCGAGCGGCGUGAGAGGUACAAGAUCGAUGUCGAUAAGCCUGCUGCUGUUGAUCCUCGUUUGUUGGCUCAUUACAAGAAGGCAACAGAGCUCGUUGGCAUUGAUGAGGCAAGGGAUGAGGUGAUUAACAUUCUGGUGGAAGGGGAUGGUGUGUCCAGCCAGCAUGGCAAGGUAGUUUCCAUAGUUGGAUUUGGGGGGCUGGGAAAGACGACUCUUGCUAAUGUGGUGUAUGAAAAGAUCAAGGAAAAAUUCGAUUGCUGGGCUUUUGUUAUUGUGUCUCAAAAUCCUGACAUGAGGAAAUUCUUCAAGGGGUUGCUCUAUGAACUUGGAAAGAACGUCAAUGAUGAAACAUUGGAUGAGAGGCAGCUCAUCGAUCAAACCAGAAAACUCCUUCAGACAAAGAGGUAUGAAUAAAUCGCACGACAUUUACACUCCGUCAAUUUCACAAUACUACUAUACUAUAAUCGUCAUGCACAAAGGUUACAUUGGCACUAACUCAAAAGGUAAGUGCAGGUACCCUAACUAGAUUAGUUUGCUUAUUAUGAUAAGACUUUUGUAUCAUAUGUGCAGGUACUGCAUUGUUAUUGAUGACAUAUGGAGUGUGUCGAUUUGGGAUAUGAUUAGAUGUGCUUUGCCCGAUGAUGUUGGUGGAUACAUAAUUAUCACAACUACCCGUAUUUUAAAGGUAGCCGAACAAGUUGGUGGUGCCUACAUGAUGAAACCCCUUUGUCUUGAGAGCUCCAGAAAAUUAUUAUACAGAAGAAUAUUUGGCAAUGAAGAGAAAUACAAAUGUCUUGAUGAGCACUUAACAGAAGUAUCUGAUAGAAUUUUAAAGAAAUGUGCAGGUGUACCAUUAGCCAUCAUUACCAUAGCUAGUUUGUUGGCUAAUAGAGCUAGAGAUAAAAUGGACUGGUAUGAGGUGUGCAACUCUAUUGGUACUGGAUUGGAGUAUAGUCUAGAUGUAGAGAAUAUGAGGAAGAUUUUGGCAUAUAGCUAUUAUGAUUUGCCACCUCAUCUACGGACUUGCUUACUAUAUUUAAGUGUAUUUCCUGAGGAUUCUGCGAUUGAAAAAUUUCGGCUGAUAUGGAUGUGGAUAGCUGAAGGUUUUGUACAACAUGAAGAAAAAGGGAAAGGCCUAUAUGAACUUGGAGAAUAUUAUUUUAAUGAGCUCAUAAACAAAAGUUUGAUCCAACCAGUGUAUGACAGUUAUGAAGCCAUAAUAGUAUCCUGCCGUGUACAUGAUAUGGUCCUUGACCUUGUACAUUCCAUUUCAAGUGAAGAAAAUUUUGUUACCAUGUUAAUCAAUGAGCACAACGCAUCUCAGGAAAAAAAGGUUCGUAGAUUAUUGCUUCAGAGCAACACAGAUCAAGCUAUUCCUUGUGCUCAUAUGAACAUGCUACAAGUGAGGUCAGUUGUUGCCUUUUCACUAGCUUUUAAUCUAAUGCCAGCCCUUGGGACAUUCAAAGUUCUGCGUGUACUGGAUUUAAAAAGCUGUCAUCUUUCACAAGAUUGUGAUCUUAAGCAUCUUGGAAAUCUAUUUCACUUAAGGUACUUGGGAAUAGGAAGGACAUAUAGUGAUCAGCUCCCUGAUGAUGUAGGAAACCUACGAUAUCUACAAACAUUGGACGUAGUGGGAAGUAGUUUUUUAAGUUUGCCAUCAACAGUUGUUCAGCUAAGACAUUUGAUGUGUCUAUGCAUCGACCAGAAUACAAGAGUGCCAAACGGGAUUGGGAGCCUAACAUCCCUUGAAGACCUCUCAACCCUGUACAUUUGUGAUGACUCCAUGAAUAUUUUAGAAGAGCUAUGCCAUCUGACCAAACUCAGGGUGCUAGAAAUUUUCUUAGUCCCUGCAGGGAAUGUCACCUUGGGGAAAUCUCUGGUGAUGUCCCUAUGCAAGUUGCAAAAAGUCCAGAGUCUGACUAUCUGGACCACUGGUGGUGAAUGCAACUUCGAUGCAUGGGUUGCCCCUCGACAUCUCCGUAGAUUGCAACUACAAUACUGCUGGUUCUCAAGGCUUCCAGAUUGGGUGAAUUCAUCACUUCAGGACCUCUCCUCCCUAUGGAUCUCUGUGAGGGAGCUACAUCAGGAUGAUCUUGAAAUUCUUGGAAGGUUGCCAGCCCUCCGUUAUUUGUAUCUGAUGGUGGACCAUGAGAAUCUCAAAAUCCCUCGGAGAUUCGUCAUUGGUACUAGUUCAUUCCCAUGCCUUGUAGGAUGCAGGUUGUUGGGAUUUUUAGGUGCAGUGGUGUUUCAACAAGGAGCUAUGAUGAGGCUUGAAAUCCUUGCAUUCACAUUCCAUGCAGGGGAGGUGAGAGAAAUUACGAGCAGCGAUGGUAGAUUGAACUUGGGCUUGGAGAACCUUCUGUCACUCCAGGAGGUCCUGGUUUACUUCCGAUCAAGAGGUGCCAGUGUGAUGGAAGUGGAGGAGGCCAAGGCUGCACUAAGCCAUGCGAUUGAGAUUCAUCCCAGUCAUCCCAAGCAUGACAUAUGGGGAUGAAGGUUAGCUAGCCGGCUAGCUGUGGUUGUUAUUUUUUUUCUUUCCUCCAUUUUGUCCGCUGAUCUAAUCUUAAUUUUCCUCUGUUUUUUUCUCACAUUCAUAUUGAUGUUGGUCCGCGCAACAGAUAUUCAUCCUACAGAUAGAUGAAUCAUACAUGCCCGCAUACUUAACACAUGUAUUUUGCCCAAAAAAAUCUAUCUGAUUCUGCAUACCAGUACAUUUUGUCAGUAGUGGCGAUCUUGUUUUAUUUACUCAUUUGACCGAGGACAUGAUGCUGAUGCAUGUCCUCUUUUGCUUUUCCAUCCACCCUAGGUAGGCAAAUGUGUUUUUUAGUCAUGUCUCUAUUUUUAAAGGGUAAUUGUUUUGGGUGAACCUAUUGCAACUUGUACCAUUUCGCCCAUGGUUGCAAUGCUCAAGAAUUGGGAGCAACUAUGUCCAUUUCGCCAUCUGCACCUGUACAAGUUGUCGAUCACCUGCUGGAAGCGGCGGCAUCAAGACCAGAGAGGCUCUCUCUGACUGGGAGCGGAUGGAAAGCCUGGAGGUUCAUCUCAGUGAGAAACUGAGGAUGUGGCCGGUGCUGGAUGGCUGCACUUGAACUGACCUGACCUGAGAAAUCAAGUAAUGCUAGCUAUGGCCGAUGUGCUGUCUAUCUAGAAUUAGCCGGAAUGUAAUGUGUGUGAUGUCAGCCUAUUAAUGCUAAUUGAGUUAAGAACUCAGGCUGGCCUGAGUGCCAAGCUUCUGUGAAGAGUGACAGGCACUUCCUUGUCGUAAACUGAACCAGAAUCCUUGUUUUCCUUUUUGCAAUGCGAUCGGACUGGGGUAUACCCCUGGAACUCUAAAAAAACCUAUUGCAACUUGUGCUAACUAAAAGCUGACUUGAUACUUACUGAAAUGGAUGAAACUACAUCACUGCUGGUUCCCUACACUGAUGUUUGUUUCACCCUUCAACAUCAUUGUAGACUGAAACUGCGUGACUACUGGUUCUCUAGUCUGCUAUUUUGGACUCAUCCCAAACUUAUGGAUCUCUCUUUCAUUUGAAUAAUCUGGAUACCUUCGGGAGGUUGCUAGCUCCCUGCUAUCUUUAUUUGAAGGUGGGCCAUAGAAAAUUCAAAAUCCCCUCGUUUGGAUAAAACCAAAUCAUCCCAAUACUCAUGUAUUGGAGUGAAAAGAAAAACCAAUUGGAAGGGACUAUUGUGUUUCCAAUCAAGACCAAGGACAUUCGCUGUUGGUGCUUGUUCGUUCCAAUGCCUGGUAGGAAUUAAGUUGUUCAGAUUUAUAGGAGCUUUGAAGUUCCUAAGCAAAAGAAGCUAUACUGUCGUGAUUUUCACCUUGAUCAUCUUGUGAAUCAGUCAGUGAAUAAAUAGGCAUAGUAUUUGUUUGUUUAAGGCCCUUUUCUUCUUUUAUCUAUGUAGUCUCUGCUAACAAAUGGCAUUGGUGCUUGUAAUUUCAAAUCAUUACACUUAGGACCUGUUUGGUUCCAUGGGACUAAAGUUUGGUCCUCCCUUUUGACCUCUUUUAGUUCCUCCCUAAACUUCCAAACAGAGAGACUAAAUGGAGGACUAAAUGGAUUAGUCCUCUAGUCCUCUAAUGGUGACUAAAGCUUUGUUCGGCAGGAGGGGGUUUGAUCCCGACGCUGAUUUAUUCCCUGCAGGGAUUGGGUGGAUCCCCUUGCUACCACCCAAUCCCUGUGCGGUUUAAUUCCCCGUUAAUCCCUUCCUACAUAUCUUAUUCGGUUAGCCAGGGAUCAAGGAUAGUUCCAGAGCUGCAAGUUAUGCAUCAGCCUCCAGAAUGAAAGUGAGGCAUUUUUCCUAUCUCUACGUACUGGCCUCUAACAGACAUAUUAUCCAUGUUAUCAACUGAGAGUGCUUAGAAGUACAAACACAUACAAGCACAAGCAAGGCAUCAUCGACUCGUAAUCUCAAAGCAUUGCAAGGCAUUAUCUAACAGGCACAUUAUCCAUGUUGUUUGUUGGUUACAUGUCCCUCUUUAACUCAGGGCAUGGGCAUUACAACACAAUAUCUAAAGUGGUCAGUACAUUAGAAUGACGCUUCGACAGAUCACAGGUUCGCGAUGUUGUUUCAGUCCUUCUAUGCCAGUUUCUUCUUUAUCCUCAGCUGGAAACGAAAAUUUGGAGAAAGAACACAUUAGAUGCAAAAAUCAACAAAAUUUAAUUCCAAAGUGUGUUUUGACAGUAGCUGAUGACACAUUGUCAAAUGCCAUUUCAAGCAACGUCCACCAAAAUCGGAAUUGAAAAUAGUUGACAUCACAGCCAAUUUAAUGGACAAAAAAUGCUGCACGCAUGCAAAAACCAUCAAUGUUGGUAAUUGUUGUACUGCUAAUUACAGUUGCUGCUAAAAGGCAACUGCUAGUACAUAGUUCAGAGCCAGAAUGAUUUUCGUUUUCCAUUCAGACUUAAUUGGAAAUUGCACAACUAAGAAGUCAGGACCAAGCAACUCCUUGGGACUAUAUCAUAUUAUCAUGGAUGUAUCCCUACAUGUAACUAAGAUCCAAGUAUGAACAUUAAUCAAUCAAACAAGUUUUACAGCUAAGAUUUCUGCAAGUCCUGACUAGUGACUACUGCUCUAGACAAAAUUAAGAUACACAUGACCUUUCUUGUUCAACCACAAUCGACACAAGCAAGUACUUUGUUUCGGAACUUUGCAGGAAGACGGGCCAAUAGCCACUAAGCUAUCUGAACCAGCAAAAGAAAAUAAGUUCAUGUUAGUGUCCAACAAAAUAAGAAAUAUCCAGGCAUUUCCUCAACAUGGUUUGUGCACACUUUAUAUAUAUUCAGGCAGAACUCCGAAAUAUUAGGUGAUCAAGGAAUAACAUAAAUAUGUACGUGAAUGCUCAUCAUCGAGAUGGUACCGAGUCCCAAGAUGGUGGAGGUUGAUCUUCUCCUACUCGAACCGUUGCAUGGAUAAUCUACAAAAUAGAUAAUUCAUAUUAGAAAAUGCUUCUAGAUACUUGCAAAAGAAUUAGUAAAGGAUAACAUACUGAAACUAAAUGAUUUCUGUUUCUUAGUACUCUACAAUGAAAAUAACUAGAUGCAUGCAUAUGAUCUGUGCAGCUUAGCAUUAAUGCAAGACCAUGAACAUGGUAGCUCAUUCUGGAAUACUGAACUGAACCCUCCAUGAUGAAUGCAUCAUGGUAGAUAUUGCAUUCAGUCAUAAGAAAAAGAAUGAACAUGAUGUGUUAAUGACCCAGAAAAAGAAUAAUCAGUUGAUAUAAUUGUCCGUGCAUCAGAAUAUGAAAUUCUUAUACAUACCGCUAUUGUUUCUAUAAAUACGGCCAGACACACAUAGUCUUGUAUAGGGACACACAUAUAUACUUAAGUCGCCGUCGUGCAUUUGGCCAAACCGUGAAGCAAGCACUGCCAACAAUAGCUAACGACAUUUCUUACAGAAAUUAAGCUCAGGGUCAGGGGAAAGAAAGCGACAGGUUCAGAAAGAAUAAGCAUGUAUUUUUUUCUGAGUGUUGAGAGGUCAUUAUACAUGACUAAGCUAGUGGUGGUUGAGAGAUACAUUACAUUCCUCAAGUAACUUUCAAGGUACAAAGCACUGCUGAUCGGAGAGGCCUCAUCAAGUGAUUAGUCAUCAUUUCUACUACACACUGCGUGGUGAGUGGUGACUAGCUUGUGCAAGGCAAAGGCACCCAUAUGUAUCCUAGUUGCUUGCUGUAUGCAGUUACUGGCACCCAUAUGCUGUAUGCAGUCCUAGUCGCUUAAACGUGUACAACUCCAUCCUAAUCUGAGUACCUGAUGACGAAAGACAUCAAUCAUAGCGGGCUGGGGUGGGAGGAAAUGAGGGGUUUUGGGCCGGGAUGCGACCUAGGCCGGUGUUAAACGAACGCUGAGUUUUUCGUGGGCCGGGAUCCGAACCAGGCCGAGGUGACCGGCCGGGAAUGGGCUAAACGAACGAGGCCUAACACGUGAACAACUCUUUGACACCCCCCUCUGUAUUAGCAUGGUCUUUGGCACUGAGAUUAGCACUUCAGCUCCUAAGCCAACAAUGAAUGUAGAAAGUAUACUUAGAACAAGCUAGGCAGCAGGCAGCAACCAAGUGGAUUAGGAGCCACUCUAGCUAGUCUAGCUUGGAGGCUUUGUAAUUGUGCAAAGGACUGCUGCGGCCAACGUGCGGAAGAUCUGAUGGCCUGAGCAUGCAGCGCCGCUCGUUAUCUGACAGACGACGGAUGGGGUCGGGACCUGCAGUCCUGCACAAACAAGAGAAUUCUAUUAAUCGGAAAUAUUGCAAGCCGCUGGGGGGCAAAAUAGGGGGGAAAUAUUGCAGAGCGAUGUUCACGAACAACAGAAAUAACCACGCAUAUGAAAAAGGUUAGCUGUAAACCUUGCUUCAUAUCCUUCGUUCAGUCACUCGCCCCCGGAGUUCUUGCUGGUGAUCGGCAUUGUUCUUCAAAAGGAACUGUGUGGCCGCCACAAGACCUUCAGUUAUUGGUGAGUGGUGACAGAAUGUGUUAAUGUCAGGAUUCAGAAGCAAUGCUAGGAGCAACGAAAUCACAAAGAAUAAAGUUAACAUGCAACAGGAUGUUAGCCCCCUGCAGUGUGGAUGUAUGGCAAGGAUUAACUGGAGCCGUGCUUUAUUUGUUUGAUCCCAGUACAGAAUUAUGGAACAAUUAGGCUACCAAAUGUCCUGACUUGUUACAUACACAAAGCAUUAGCAUCGAUGCUGUCAGUCAUUGAUUUUCUUAAUCCUUGGCAAUAACUAUCGACAUGCACGAUCAAUUCAUUCGAUACUGAUUAUAGAUAAGGUUAGGAUUUGAAACAGCUUGUUACUGAUACUGAUUAAAAACACUAUGAUCACAUAAAACCAUUAGUCCUGAACUGAUGUCAAGAACUAGGAAGUGUCUAGCUAGUCCAGCAAUCCAGAUAUAAAAGACGAGACCUAGUUAACUAAUCUAGAAGGUGAGCAAGAAUAAAAGAGUGCGGAGGACUGGAGGUGGUCGGCAAGGGCACCAACUCACGACUGACGGCUUCAACAUGUUAGGAUUCUAGGAUGGUGUACAUCCAGUGGGUGAAUAACUUAGUUCUUAGAUUAAAACAACAUUGUCCUAGAUCUAAAUCGGAGAAACCGAGAGGGAGAGAGAGUGAGUAAGAGCACCACCAUCGGGCUUGGACAACGAGCUCGCCAUGGCGACAACGGCGGUGUUGACGGCGAGAGCGGUGACGGCGGCGGCGGUGCUUCCCGCCGCUUACCGUGCUAGUUCAGAUCGAGUUCUAGGUUUGUCGAUGGAUCUGGUGGGAACGUCCAACCUUAGCGUGCGUGCCCCGGCCCCACCUUUUCUUUUAUAGUGCUGCACGACGGGGGGCCGCCAACCAUAUACGGUUGGACGCCCCCCAUCAGGGCGCGAUCAAGGAGUCCGGCUCGAUUGUUGGACCGAGUCGGAUGAGAUCAAUACUAACAUUCUCCCACUUAAUCUCUUCUUAUACUUAAACUUAGUCUUAAACUUGGAAUGCUUAAUUUAGCACCCAUUUCAUCACGGAUCAGUGCAUAGAGCAUGCCUCGUCAUAAUAGUCGGUUACGUACUAUCAGAUUCAACAGCUACAGCACACCUUUCUAUUUUCAAACAGAUUCUUGUUCUAGGUCCUUAGUAUCCAGGGAUCAUAGGCUUUCUUGUAAACCCAUGCCGACUAAUUGUUCUCUGAACACAUUAGGCGAUAAACCUUUCAUGAGCGGAUCCACGAGCAUUUCCAUUGUUCUUAUAUACUCUAGACUAAUGGUAUGCCCCUGGAUUUUCUCUUUCACAAUAUAAAACUUGAUGUCAAUGUGUUUGGCAGCACCACUUGACUUAUUGUUGUGAGCAGAAAAUACUGUUGGCUCAUUGUCGUAGUACAUCUUGAGUGGCCACGGGAGAACUAACAACAGGUGCUGUUAGCACAGUGUCCUGCACUAUCGGUGCAGCAUCAACAGGUAUCAAGAAAAAAGAUUCCUAAAUCAUCGGAGUGGGUACGUAUACCCGCUUCUCCUCAAGGCUAAUUUCUUGGGGUACCCUGCUCCCCCCCUGAUCAUCCCAUCCUCGAAAAAGACAGCGUGUCUCGUUUCUUCAAACUUAGUAUGUCGUCAGGACAGUAGAAACGAUAACUUUUUGACUUAUUUGGAUAGCCAAUGAAAUGGCAACUGACUGUCUUAGGAUUUAGUUUCCCAAUAUUUAGGUUAAAUACUUUAGCCUCAGCCAGACAGCCCCACACACGCAAAUAAUUUAGUGAGGGCUCUCAUCCAGUCCAUAACUCAUAUGGUGUUUUAGAUACCGACUUACUGGAAACUCGAUUAAGAAUGUGAAUGGCAGUUUUUAACACCUCCAACCACAAAUUAAUCCGUAAAGUGGAGUAACUUAUCAUACUUCUCACCAUAUUCAUUAAGGUACGGUUGCGUCUUUCAGCUACUCCAUUCUGCUGAGGCUCGCCCGAUGUGGAGUACUGGGCAACUAUGUUAUUUUCCUAUAGAAACCUUACAAAAGAUCCAGGAAUUUGGCCAUAUGGGAUAUGUCGACCGUAGUACUCCCCCCACACGGUCGGAUCUUACUAUCUUAAUCUUUAAAUUAUACUAAUUUUUUACUUCAGCCUUAAAUAUCUUAAAUUUAUCCAACGCCUCUGAACAUUCCUUAAUUGGAUAAAUAUAACCAUAACAUGAAAAAUCAUCUGUGAAUGUUAUAAAUGAAUCAUAACCAUCCACAGAUGUCACAGGAAACAGACUACAGAUGUCUAUGUGAAUUGUUUCUAAAAUUUCUGUACUUCAUUUGGCGUCUUUCCUAAUUUUCUUAACAUACUUUCCCUUAGGCCCCGUUUGUUUCGCUAGAAUCAGGUGGAAUUGGAAUCGGUUUCCUCAGCUGGCCUGUUUGGCUGCACACUGAAUCGGAAAACGACUUUCCAGUUGUUUCCACAGGCUGAAUCGAACAAGUAUGAUAGAUUCUUAGCCUCUCAGAUGGAAAAGGAUUCCGAGCGAUGAGCACCUCAUCUUGCGACUCGUCUCCCUCCACCUCCCCGUCCCGAUGGAGGACCCCGUGAGCCGCUUCCACCCGAUGGAGACACCGAACAGCCUCGCGCCAGCCUUGCUGCCGUCGUCGUCAUCGUUGUGCUCCGUCCCCGCCGCCUCGGUCGGCUCGGCGGCCACGGGCGCGGGGCCGCGGCACGAGGGGAGGAGCUCGAGGACCGACGGCAGCGGCGGGGGCAUGGCGGCGGCCUCCGACGAUACGCCGGAGCAGUUCCCUACCGCGGCAGCCGUAGCCUUGGCGGCCUCAACCUACUGCGCGGCGGCGUCGAGCUGCUGGGUGGUGGCGUACUUGGACAUGAGGAGGAGGAUGUUGUUGCAAAGCUUCUUCAUCUAGCCGAGCUCCUGCGCGAGGCGUGCGUUCUUGCGGCGCAGGCGGUCGUUCUCCUCGCCCAUGUUGCCGCCAUCGGAGGUCGCUGUCCCGCCGGAGCCCGACCUAGCCGACGCCUGCGACUGCAGCGGCGGGGGCUCCGAGGAUGAGCUCGACGACAGCACCUGCUCCUCACCGGAGUACAUCGACGAUCCCACGAGCAGCGCUAUCAGGAUGGCGGUGGCGGCGGCGGCAGCCACCGUGACUGCCCCGUCGCCGCCACGGCUGGCGUCACCUUCCGGCGGUGGAUGUCGCAGAGCAGCCACUUCUCCUCCGCCGGAAGCAGUCGUUGGCGAACUCCCACGGGUCCGGCGGCGCUGAAGAAAGAAAGGAGGAGGAAAAUGCGCUAGGGUUCCAGAACCAGCACGUGUGGGCGUUUUUGCUCCCGCGAAACGAACGGAGAACCGUCCAUCGUGAUGAACGACGCAGAUCAGCCGGGCCAGAUUAGGCCCAGGCGGGACAGCACUUUGGCGGCCCAGGCCCAGGUUGUGGUUUCCAUAUUUAGUUAUCCAAACAUAAUAUGGAAUUUAAUUCAUGGAGAAGAAUUCCAUCAACACCCAAACAAAAAAAUUGAAUUGAAUCAAAUUUUGAUAAUUCAUUUCUGGUGGAAUCCAAUGUCUAGAAUAUAAUUCCUGGAAUGGGUUUCAAUUCCUGCGAAACAAACGGGCCCUUAAUGGAAUCGAUGCAUUGCUCUAAGGAUGGAAGAAUUGAUUCCUUAAUUAAUCAUUCAAUUCCCCCCUUGAAAUAUGGCCUAAACGACCAUGCCAUAAUUUCGAAGAUAUGUCAUCAAUUGUUUUUCGCUUAUUUCUUACAUUCAUAGACGAGGAGGCAUUCACAUUCUCAGCACUUACAACAAUCACAUUCUCACAAAGUGAUAGCAAAUAAAGCUCAUCUUGUUUGAAGGCAAGACCAACACACUUAUUAUUAAACUUGAUCUUAUAUUGUCCAUCACCGAAGUGACAAGCAAAACCAUCACUGUAUAAGCAUGAUACACUUAUUAAAUUUCUACGCAAAAAGGGUACAUAGAGAACAUCUCUUAGAUGAAGUACAAAACCAUCUACUAAUUCUAAUGGGAGUUCUCCAAUGGCUUCAACUUCAGCUUCGACGCUAUUUGCUACUUUAAUGCUUCUUUCUCCUCUUUGCAGGGUCCUCCUCGUAUGGAAUAUCUGUAAUGAAUUUGCAACAUGAAUAGUUGCACCUGAAUCAAUCCACCAAGUAGAUUUUGCAUAAGUUAAAUACAAGAAUUCAUCUACGAAUGUAAUAAGUUCCUCACCUUUCUUACACAGAAACUUCAUGAAUUCCACACAAUCCUUCUAGUAGUGUCCCUUCUUCUUGCACCACUUGCAAGUGUCCUUGUCCACCACAUCUUCAUGGUUUGAUCUCUGAUAGUGAUCAUUUAGUGGAGCCUUUCCAUGUUCUUUAGAAGAAGAGGUAUUGUCCCACUGAAGUUUUUCUUGUGGCUUAGAAUUAUUGCUAUGAUAAUUCCUCUUCUUAUUUUAACAUGGUAGAAAUAUAAGAAAUUAGAUAAGGAUGAUGAGGGUUCUAGAAUUAGGAUAUUUUGUAUGGAAGAGUGUGAAAGUUGCCACAUGGCAACACCACAAUAAUCAUGAGUACCUAUAAAUAGAGGUGCCUCCCUCCCUCCUAGCCAUAUCAUGGCAUAAGAGGUCUCAAGUAGGAGAUUGCAAGGUAGCCAUGUAGUGUAGUAUUGUUAUGGUAGGAUAGCCACAAAAAGAGUAUACAAGUGAGUCUUGUAUCAAAUUGAGUAGUAAAUAAAGGUUUGAGUUUCCUUGCAGAGAGUUGGUCCUCCGCAUUGGUGUCAGUGCGAAUGUCUUCUCGAAGUAGUGUGGGUAAGGGUAUACAAAAGAAGUGGUAGAACACUACUUUGGUACCACUUCUAGGAAGUCGGUGUUAAGUUCGGGGCGCCGAUUUCUCAACAAUUGGUAUCAGAGCAGGUUGGUCAGGGACCGUCAUUAGGAGGAGUUUUGUGGUGAGUACGGGACACUCAUAGUGGUCGGUAUAGUUGUUAGUAGGUGCAGGGCGCUUACAUUGCUUGGUGUGGCACCGAGAGGUGCUAAGGGGAGACUCUGCUAGAGAUCACAGUCCGCGACUGUAAAAGAAUGCUAGUCUGGGACCAAGCGUAGGUGAUGCUGGGUGUCAGUUGAGAUGGAGGAUUUCUUGAGCGCAAGAGGCAUGAGGAAGCUCAAUAGCCACAACUAUGGCUAUUGGCAGACUUAUAUAGAGUCCUACUUGAUGGGUCAGGACCUAUGGGAGGUCGUAGCAGGCAUCGAGAAAACUCCUGCAUUGAAAGAGAACGCGGAAGCCUUGUGGAAAUGGUGAAUCAAGGUAGGCAAGGCUAUGUUUGUGUUGAAGACGAUGAUCGUGGAAGACCUGGUAGAGCACAUCAGAGACGCGGAGACACCAAAUAAGGCCUAGGAGACAUUGGCAAAGCUAUUCUCGAAGAAGAAUGAGGCACGAUUCCAGCUCCUACAGAAAGAGCUUGCAGGUAUCCCACAAGGAACUCUUAGUAUUAACAAGUAUUUUACUAAGGUGAAGAAUAUCUGCCGGGAGAUAUUUCAGCUUGACCCGGAGAAGAGGUCAGCGAAGCUCGGAUGAGAAGGAUCAUCAUCAACGGUCUAAGACUCGAGUACAAUGGGUUAAUGGCUGCAGUGAGUGGAUGGCCAGUAGAGCCAUCCUUAGUGGUGCUGGAGAACUUAUUGGCUAAUCAGGAGGUAUUAGCCAAGAAGAUGGGCAACAUCACUUUGGAUGAGAAGGAUGAUGAGGAGGCACCCUUCAUCAGGAAGAAGGAUCCACUGAGAGGCUAAGGAGAGGUGAAGGAGUGGACAAGAGGUGAUAGCCGUUGCCCAAAGAAGAGCAGCUAUUCAAGGGGAGCUCAACAAGAGAGCAGUGACGAAGAUGACGAAGAGUUGGUCAAGAACAAGAGGAGAAUAAGAGGUGAUGCUUCAACUUUUGUAAGAAAGGGCAUCUUACACGGGACUGCAGGAGUCUACAGAGGCACUUAGAAGGAAACAUGGCUACAACAAAAGAAGUUGUCCUGAGUGGGUGGCUAACUGAAGAAGAGUGGGAUGCUGUGGCAGCAGCCACAAUUGAAGAUGAUGGAGCUUACUUCAUGGAAGACUUGACAAAAGGUGAAACUCCAUCAAAUAGCAAGAAGAAGAGUGGGAUGCAGAAGGUGGCUUCUCCUUGGAGGUAAGAGAUCCAGAUACUUCAGAAGGAUUCAUAGUAUUUGGAUAUGAUAGUGAUGAAGAUUGGGAGGCUCUAAGAGAUGAGGAGGAAGAUAUUAAAGAUGAGAAGAUAGAGCCUAGUCUUCAUGAUGAUGAGGAGCCACAAGAGCAUGGUGAAGAUAGACAUGGAGCAUUGGUGAUCCAUGAAGAUUUGGAGGAGCAUGAUAAGCGAAGAAAAUUCCGAAAGGACGCAGUUGUGAAGAUCUCAGGUACGACAAUGCUUCUCCGGCUAAAGUUAUUUUGCCCUCGUACAAGGAAGCAUCUAGAGGAUAGACAACUAGAAGGGUGAAGAAGAAAGAAGAGAUGCAUGGAUGCAUCAAGUCUGCAGGGAACCUCCAACUGAAGACAAAGGCAUAUGAGUUGAAGGAAGAGAAGACCAUGUCACGAGGGUAAGUGAAGAAAAAAAUUCAUAAUGGCAGAGCGCAGACGAUCCAAGAGCAGUGACACGUAUGGUUCGACCGCCCAAGACAAGUAUGCAUUGAGAGGGAGUGUUGAAACAUGCAAUGCAUACUUGGAACAUUCUAGAAGAUUAUGGAGAUCUCAAGAGACUAAAUUUGCCAUGUAUAAGGAUAAGAUCAUGGCAAGGUAAGAAGAUUCUAGAAAAUUGGAGAGAAUGUAUGAGCUAUAGUGCCAUGCUUCAUGGUGAAGUGUGGAAUACUCUAAAACUAGAUAUUUUAGCAUGGUAGAAAUAUAAGAAACUAGAUAAGAAUGAGGAGGGUUCUAGAAUUAAGAUAUUUUGUAUGGAAGAGUGUGGAAAUUGCCACAUGACAACACUACAAUGAUCAUGAGCACCUAUAAAUAGAAGUGCUCCCCUCCCUCCUAGCCAUACAAAGGCAUAAGAGGUCUCAAGUAGAAAAUUGCAAGGUAGCCAUGUAGUGUAGUGGUGUCAUGGUAGGAUAGCCAAAAAAGAGUGUACAAGUGAGUCUCAUAUCAAAUUGAGUAGUGAAUAAAGGUUUGAGUUUCCUUGUAGAGAGUUGAUCUCCCGCAUUGGUGUCAGUGCGAAGGUCUUCUCGAAGUAGUGUGGGUAAGAGUUUACAAAAGAAGUGGUAGCAUACUACUUUGGUGCCACAUCUAGGUAGUUGGUGUCAAGUUCGGGGCGCCGAUUUCUUAACAUGAAACAAUUGAAUCAUGUAACCCUUUUCAUAAACCUUUGAUUAGUUGUGUUGCCUGAAUGUGGUUCCAAUAAAAGAUCUGAUAGGACAUGCUAAUUCAGGCUAACUCCUGAUUUGUUUGAAUUGUAUUAGCAAAACUAAAAGUAAGCACGAUAGUUUAUAAUUUGUUGUCCAACUUUUAGCGGUGGCUAACCUUGGAUUCUUGCUUUUUUAUGGAGGGUCUAGAUCAGAGACAGUAGUACUAGCUCAAUUUUUUCACACUUCCAAAUAGCAGUAGUUAGGAUAGGGUAAUAUUGAACAGUAAUACCUGACAUAAUUUAGUGCCGAAUUCAAAGUCAUUAUCUCAUUUAAACUUGGGUUUCUUCUCUUUCAGUUUUGUUUAUCUUGAGACUGAUGUCAUGCUGUAAUCAUUUACAUGAUAAACGUAGGAGUAAAAGGGCCAGGAUACCAAAUGUACGGGUACGGAUUCAGUAUGUGUUAUUUGGAUUAUGUAGAUGACAAUCGACAAGACUGGGGUUGUUUUUCAAAAAUUAUAGUCUUCUAGAAGAAUAAAAGGAAAAGGAGGUAGAAAAUUUUGAUGUCAGUCUUAUCUCAUGAAAACAUCACCUUUGUGUGUUUGUAGUUGAGCCAAGUGACUAACUAGACAUAUUUCUAUAAAAGGGUUACCAAACUAGUUAAGCUCCAUUUUUUUCAUUUAGUUUUCUGUUUUGCCUGACUUCUCUGCCCACAUGAACUGCAUGCAAAAUUAUUUUACAUUAUAUAAAACUUUCUUAUCCAAUGUGCUGGACCCUCCGGUAUCUCUGAUUCUAGGUCAUUUUGAAAUAAUUCAUGAUCCUUCUUGUAUGUGCUUACCUGUUCUUCCUAAUUGCUUUUUGUGUUGUUUGGACCAUGGAAGUUAUUCCUGAUGGAUAAAAUGAGAAACUUUUCAGAAUAUUGAGUGUGAUGAGGUACAUCAGUUUUGAAAGACAUAAAUGAUGUGUUCAUGCUCUCAAAGGGCAAGCACCAAGUUAAUGACAUGGGUUUGUUGCUGCCUGAGCAGCUAAUAUGUUCAUGUAAACAAGAUUUUGUGUGCAUAGAUUGCAAUUAAUUCAGUCUCAUUAGUAUUUUGUUAAUGUUUUCGCUGACUAAAAAAAAUCUCCAUUGUGGUUCGAGUCAAUUGGAGCAAGAGAUGCUAUCAGGACUCGAGAGCAAGAGAUGCUAUCGGGACUCGGGAGCAAAAGAGCGAUGUUGUCAAGAGACUCGAGGCAUACAUCCAUGAGAUGGAUUAUUUUAUGGGAUGUGCAAAUUUAUGUUGAAAAGGAAUAUAAGAUUCAUGUUUUCUGUAGUUUUUAGUAUUCAAACAAUAAAACAAGUUUAAUCCAUGCUCUAUUUUGCUUCUGGUUAUGUUACUUGGCAAAUUGUACCAUAUUGUUAUUUAAAUGUUGGUAGAAUUUUUGAAUCUGAUGCCUCCAUAUGAUUUAGGCCUUGUUUAGUUCCUUUUUUCCCAACUUUGGCACUAUGCAAAAAGAAGAUUCCCCAUCACAUCAAACUUGGGUACAUGCAUGGAGUACUAAGUGUAGACGAAAUCAAAAACUAAUUGCACAGUUUUGUUGUACUUUGCGAGACGAAUCUUUUGAGCCUAAUUAGUCAAUGUUUGGAUAAUAAUUCAUAAAUACAAACGAAAUACUACAGUUGCGCAUUUAUGGCAAAAUGCAAACUUUGCCACUCCUAAUUUGGAAACUUAACAAGGCCUUACUCGACAGAUGAUCCUGUAGUUGCCCAUCUGCAAAUCGUACGUGGACCAGACUACACGAUCAUUUUGGUAGGAGUUAGUGUGGUUAAGAUUGAGUUAGAGAUAAGGUUAGCUUGUUGGAGUAGCGUAGGUUUCAUAUACAACAGACUAUAUUUGGGUAAACUCGUGUCAGGCAUGUAAAUAAUAUGGACCAAAGAUAUUCUAGAAUAAAAGGUACAUGUACAUUGGAUUUGGAGUGCCAUAAAGUACUUGCACAUAGUUUCAGUGGUUCAUCCUCGUGAACACAGCAGCAAAAAAGAAAAAAAAAACUAAGACUCGAUUAGACGAUAUAUGGACUGCAUACCUAGAAAAUUACUAAGAGCGUUUUUUAAAAAAAAGAAAAUUUACUUAAGGAUUUGUAACGCAAUAUCACAGCAGCGUCUGAACGUACGCUUAGGGAAAUCUGAAUUGUAACAUCGAUGUGUCGAUGGUGUCGUCGGGGUCGGUGUGAUUUGCGAGGCCGUCGGAAUAAUCGAUGCUAUGGCUCGGUGGUGCUCGCUCGGUCGAAGAGGCCGGAGGCGGAUCCAGCAAACGGCGCCCCACCCUCAUUCGGCCACUCCAACCCUUGCACCGCCUCUUGCCGCCACCUUGUCGGCUUCCUCCGUGCUCGCGAGGAUCUGCCCUGCCGGCUAGUUGCCACUGCUCACGCUAGCCCGCACGAGCCCAUCCCCUAUUGGUCGCCGCUCGUGCGAGUAAGCUCGCCGUCGCUCACGAUGUUGGAUAUAUAAGCACUUUUAGUUUUAACUUAAUCCAGAAAUAAAUCAUGAAUAUGAUGAACAAGCAGCAGAUUAAACUAGACAUGUCUACGCAAGAUCUAGACAAGUCUAUCAUUGCAAAUAGAAUCAGACAUUCUACCAUACUAUCCAGUGCUAUCAGACUGCAACAGAUCAUAAUAGCUAGUAUGGAAGACAUAAUGUGAGUUAAGAGAACGUACGUUUCUUUCUUGAUGAAAACCGGCUCCUGGACGACUACCGGAUAUAGCAGGCGACGACGAUCAGCAGCUUGACGUUGUUCGCGACGACGAGUGAGACCCGAGCGACGAAGAGGUAGACGAGCCGUGGUGAAGGAGUCGACGAAGAACUUGACGAAGCGGAGGAAGCGAUCGAGCAGUCGCGCAGAGCGCUUCCCAAAAACCUUAUUCGCCCUCUCCCGGUACAGGAUCGCUGAAGACGACGGUUCCGGUAGGUCGCAUAUAUAGGAGAGCCCAUGAUUCUCACGUCGCGAUCGUGAUCUAAACCGGUUAGGAUUCCAUAUAUCUCGCUGACUUAACGACCAAGUAACCAAAAAAUAAAACGGCGAGGCGAGGCGAGGCGAGCGAGCGCGCGCGUGUGGAGCUCUCCUUCCCUCCCCACACACAUAGCUUGGAGGAGUGGAGACAACUUCCAUAUUUAAGUUGGUCAUCCCUCCCCUCCACUAGCAAUGUGGGACUAAAGACUUGCACCACUCCACCUCUUGCCCACAUGGGCCUUUGAGAUUUAUUUGAAAUUCUGAAAUUACUUAUGGGCUAGGCCCAUUAUUUCAACAGGUCUGCCCUGCCGCCGCCGCCAGUACGCGAGAGGAAGAUAAGAUGAGAUGAGAAAGAAAUGAAGAAUUAAGAAAAAAAAUGGAGGAACGAAAAGUGAUAUCAUAACUUAUAACUAUAUUACGAUGACACCCCUCGUGAUCUUUUCUAUAAUACCCUUAUACUACAUAUACUACUCCACUAUACUACUCAUACCACACGUGAGGGUUUUAGUAGUACACAAUUAAUCUGGACUAUUGGAUUACUAGUCCUUUUCGAACACUAGUAUAUGCUAGUAUUAUGCACCGUAAAAGACCUCAACCCAUCUAUGUACAUUGGCAACAUCGGUCUUUGGGGGCAUCCUCUUCCAAACAAUUGCCUGAGGGAAGGUGAUGCACCAAAGCAGGGUCCCCAGGGAAGAACUGAAGAAGAUCAUGGGAUAGAAUUCUUUUAUCUGGACUUGGGUGGCACUUGGUGUUCUGUUGUUCAAGAGAAGCUGGAGAAUUGCUUACUUCCAACUCCCCGACAAGCUGUACGACAAAGUUUAUAUGCUAGUUGCUACUACAUGGGCAAGACAACCUCAAAUCGAUUACGAUGAAGCUGCUGCGAUGGUUGGUUCUUCGACUAAAUUUAGCCAAGGUAUGCAUGAAUAAAUGGAAGUGGAGAGAAGUCUGUUCGGUGCUUGGACUUCUGUUACUACUACAUAAUUCUGGUUUCCUUUUUGUCACUGUUAUAAGUCCUGUGCCGAUCCACAUUCUUUGGGGAUAGGAGUUGUAAUAUUAACUAAUGAGAUGGCGAAGGGUAUAUUUUCUUAAGCAGCUACCAAGAACCUGAAUGCCAACAUGGCACAACGUAGAUGCAUUACUAUGCAUAUAGGCAUGCAGUAGUUGCCAAUUAUUGCCGCCAACCCAUGUAAAAAUUUCGGCAAUAAUACAUCACUAGUAGUUGUAGUUGGAGCAAGUGUUGUGCAUGGAAGGGGCAUUACAGAACGUUCUAUACUCUUGCGCUCCAUGCUUUACUGUGUGCCUGCUCCAUUUCUUACUGGUAAAAGCUUUUGGCUCUGAUACACGCAGCGUAUCUUCACUUUGGUUUCCGCUUGCCUUGUGCUGUGCUUAGAAUUAGUUUCUCUAGUAAACUAUUACUAUGUUAAAGUCAGUGGUGGGUGUAGAGUCCACCUACACGGCGAACAUACCACUAAUAUCAAGCCCUGGUGUAUAUUUGUUUAUACCAAGGGUUCCUGAAUCCUGAGCGGGAGAGCAGAGGAGCGGAUCUGCCUUCUAAGCGCUACGGUUGCCGUCCCUCCCUACCAGGGGUGCACCGCGCUCCGGCCGCCGGACAUGCCGUCGCCUGGCGGCGUUGGGAUCGCCGAGAGAAAGCCUAAACGUCAUUUAGGUUGUAGUUCUCGUUUUCUGGACUGGGCCUGUGGACGUUGGUUCCACGUUAGGGCUAAAAGGCCCAGUAGGCCGAAGUGGACACCGUCAUCCUAAGGCAGUGCCUUUCUUAUUUGUUUCAACAAAAAGGGCGAUUCUACCGUUCCAUUACUUGCACAGGUUGCAUCAAAUGAAGUGCUGAGUGUAGCUCAACCGGUAAGAUUUCUUGUAGUGAAACUUAUCCACCAGAGUUUUAGUCCUUGACUCGGCGCUGGUGCUUGCAUUUCAGAGGUGCCAGUUGUGACUUUCUCAAUCUCGAGGAUCUGUCGGUUCAGUCUUUCGGAGGUGCUCAUAGGAGUAGGAUUGCGUGCAUAUGUUUGUAGGGAGCGAGUGUGCGUGCGUGUUGUGAGCGUAUGUGUCUGUAAUGUGUUUCGCCAAAAAAAGAAAGGUUGCAUCAAAGCUAUUGUAGAAUGGCUCUACCUACCAAUCUUUUGUUAGUCAGAUAAAUAGUUUUACUUCAACAAUUUUGUUCCAUCGAUAUUUUGGCAUACUAUGCACAGAACGGACAUGCUGAUUCAAGUAAUAAAAGAUCAUAAAGUAUGUAUGAAUCUGUCAAGCAAACAUGAUUUUUAGGAUCAGAAAUUUGAUAGCCGUAAUAAAAAUUUUAGCUUCUGAAGGUUGGUGACAUCAAUUAGGAGCAGCAUCAAUUCCAAUUUUAUUUUCUAUCCAUCAGUUAAAAUUGGCAAUUCUUCACCAGCUCUAAUUGUUAACCAAACAGAAAAAUAUGUUCAAACAUUUCAAAUACAUAAGAGAAGAUUAUGUCUCCUUAUUAUGCUCAAGAGUCAAGAGCAGAGUUAUUGCCUCAAACACUUGUCAAUUUGUUGGUUACCAUGUGUUCAACUUAGUUUACAGUGUCAGAAAAUUGAUUGCUAGUUUUUCACUUCAUUCGGUGACAAACUGACAACUACAUUCGCAGUUGGUGUCUUGCCACCAGGCUUGAAGGCAACUUUAUGCAUUCGUUACUCACACACAAGCCCAGCACGUAAAAUUGCAAUCAACACAAUACUCGAAUUUUGUAAUUUUUCAGUACUGUUCACAAGUUACAGGACACUGCUGCUAACGUACAAGGUGUCUGGUGUUAGCCAUGAACUAAGUACAUGUACAUCAUUACAUACGCAAUCACUAGUGCGAAGAGCUAGUUAAUAAACAAAGAUCAACGAGCUGUCGCGGGCAUCAGCAGCGAUUCAGAAACUCCGGCAUCAAGUUCCUGUGUGUCAGAAAGCAACCUCCGAUCUUCCUCUGCAUCUUCUCUUGAAGCCAUCAGCCUCCACGUGUCUAUGAUACUCCUCAUCGGCCGUCCUCCUCCUCCUCCCAUGGCAUCCGUCGUGGUAGCCGGCCGGCGCCGGGACAUCCGUGUAGCCGCCACCGUAAGGCACGUCAUAGUGCAGGUAAGGACCACAUGCCCACGGCGUCGCACCGAAGAAAGGAUCGUAGCACGCCGGCGGGCCGAACGGGUUCCCGUAUCCGUAUUGCUCGGGGUAGCCUGCGGCGGGCUCCCCGAUUCCUGCCGACGAUGCCGCCGCAGUCUGCUUCGUUCUUGGCUCACGCGCCGCCGUAGCCGCCGCGCUCGUCGACGUUGAUGAAGCGCUCCCGUCGCUGCGCUCCGAGCAGGCGGUCGCCGUGACGUGCCUCCAGCUCUCCUGCGAGGCGAACGCACCCGGCGACGGCGUGGGCUCCGCGUUGCUGCCGGCCGAGCUCUUCCGGUUAUUGUCUGCGCCGCCCGAUCCGCUUCCUGCGGGCCUCGCCGUCGCAAGGAGCUUGGCGAUGGUGGCGCGCAGCGUCAGGUUGGGGAUCAGGUCGUCGGCG